rnacentral:lncRNA from 1 species
AAGCUAGGUACAGUGCAAUAAACCUUAGUGCCUCAUCAUAGCUCCCUUAGCUUCCAGGAAAGUAUAAUGCUGUAUUUGCAGAGAAAAAAAAUAUCACCUUCUAGUGGUGAUCAAGUACGCGAGACUCUUGCAGUUGCAAUAGAAACGUCUGCCAAACCGGUCCCAUUUGACCACAAUAGCAGCUGCAAAGCCAACGCCGAAGCCAAGCCCAACGAAGAGAAACAAAACCACAUCAAUAUGACGAGAAGACUUGUCCCCAUGUGCCACACCUGGAGAGUGAGGUGAACUACCACAAGGAAAUUUUGGCAAUUGCAGCCCACACAAUCCAGCAUUCCCUUCAAAUGAGCUGCUGUCAAAUGUAGAGAACUGACGUGACUGCGGUAUCUUCCCCACCAAGUGAUUGUAUGACAAGUUUAGGGAGCCAAGAAAGGUGAGAUCAGUUAGCUCUUGUGGAAUGUCCCCUGAGAGUUGGUUGCAGGACAGGUCUAGUGACUCCAAAUCAGUCAUGCUUCCAAGUUGGGCUGGAAUUUUUCCAGUGAAGGCAUUGUGUGACAGACUCAGUACGCGUAGUGAUACAAGGCUUCCAAAUGUUUCAGGAAUAGUACCCUCCAAACUAUUUUUUGAGAAGUCAAUUGCUGUUACGGUAGUCAGCAUCCUUCCAAAUGGCAUAUCUGCCCCCUUGUACAUGAUCUCAACAGAAUAUUGAUAUGAAUGUUCUCUGUCAUUGACAUUUAUAGUGUUUAGAAUUUCGAGAGUUUUCCCAGAACUAUUAAACUCUGCCAUCAUUGACUUUAACUGCUUGAACCAUUGUGGCCUCAAAGUACCAGAGAAAUUGUUUGAGGCAAGAUCGAUAAUUUGCAAGCUAGGGAAACAUUCCUCACGUUUUGUGUCCCCAACAAUAUCACCUAUGGUGCCAUACAUUUGGUUUGAUCUCAGGACGAGUACAGAAAGCUUGGGAAGCCCCCUCAACCAAGAAGGAAAAGCAUCAGCUAUUUUGUUGCUUCCAAAGUCUAUAACCUCCAAGUCUGUACAGUUAGAAAGGCCCCUAGGAAGCCUCCCUUCGAUCUUAUUGCCAUGUAAAUCUAUCAUCUGUAAAGCACAUCUUGUUGUUAUAUUGGAAGGCAGCAUCCCUUUCAAGCGAUUCUCCCUCAAAUUUAAAACACCGCUGGGGAUAUUUUCUAUAAAACAAGGUGGAAUCGGGCCAUUAAAGUAGUUAUAUGAUAGAUCAAGGACAUCCAGGUAUAUUAUUUUUGGACAUGCUGAGAUACAUGGUGUCCCGAAGAUAGGUGGUCCAAUUUGGCAGAAGGGAAGAGAACAUGUUGUUGGAAUAAUCCAAGAUUUCUCCUGAUAAUUUUGGCAUAGGGAUCAUCCCUGAAAGUCUAUUGAAACUAAGAUCAAGCACUUCCAUUGAUGUAUUGAAAGGGACAACAUCCGAAUUAAGUUGCAUGCCCGUGAACAUGUUAUGUGAAAAAUUCAAAUGAGAUUCCAUAUCAUUCCAUGUCGUCUCCCAGAUCCAAUUUGGUAUAUCCCCACUGAUUUUAUUACAUGAAAGAUCCAAAUACGAUAUAUGGUCAACAUGCCUCAAAAAUCUUGGAAACUGAGUUAUCUUGCAAGAUGCGAGCCUUAAUUCUCGUAGUCCAGCCAAAUAGCUGGUUUCCACUGGAUUAUUAUCUUCUGAGGCCAUGACAUGCAACUUAUUGUAGGAAAGAUUCAAAACAGCGAAGUAAGUUAAUCUCCGAAAAUGUGCAAGGUCCACGGAACCUAUCAAGUUGUUUGAGCUAACAUCUAUAUAUACUAAACUUGUUAGUUGAAAGAUGGCUUUGGGAAUAAAACCUGACAAUUCAUUGUUCUUGAACCUCACGGUCUCCAACUGUGGACCUGCCUUGUCAAAGCCUUGUAUAGGGCCAGAAAGCUGGUUGAAAGAGAGAUCAAGGCGAUUUAAUAUAGGAAGACUGAAAAUAGAUGGUGGAAUCUCCCCUGGAAGGACAAUAGAAAACAUUAAGUUAGAAAGUGUUUCCCCUUCUACAAAUUGAAAUCAGAAGAUGCUACCUCCUAUUUUGUUCAGAACAUGAAUACUUGACCCUUUCUCGAGAAAAGUAAAAGUUGAUAUCGUACCAUAGAAAUAUAUAUCCCAAAUUUAUUUAUUUUAUUUUGAGAAAAUUGCAUUACUAGUCUCAAAAUAAAAGGCCAAAACUUGUGUGGUAACCUCGCCGACCCUUGCACUUGUUGCAAAUUACUUUCCCCAGCCCCCUCGUCUUUGUUGUGCCACGUGUUAGGCAAUGGUUUGAUGCUGGUUCAACACAUUAAUUUGCUAAUAGUGGGGUGGGUGAGAUUAGUGUGCAAGUUUAAGGACUAUCGGGAGAAUUUAGUGCACCUACGGACCAUAGAAUUUCAUAAUCCUAGGACCCAUGAAGCUGAAAUGAUCCGGACCCAUCAUGGAUCAUGAAAUAAUCCGGACCCAUCAUGGAUCAUAAUUUUAUGGUAUUAUGAUUUAUGAUACCUGGUGUAUAGUCCUGUACCAUCAAAAAGAAUUGGUAAGAUCACUUAUAUAGAAUCCCGAUCCUAACAUCAAAAUUUGUUAAUAUCUGAAAUUAAAUCCAUGAGUAAUUAUAUAUGUUUCUUCAGUUUAAUUCGACAUCUUUUACUCUUUGCAUGACAUCUGACCAUUAAAUUGUUUUAAAUUAUGAUUAGAUAAUGUUUGGAGUUAAGUUGAAAUGUCGAAUUGACAUUGACAUGAAUAAGUAGACUCGAGUUUACAAGAAUUAAUAAAUUUAUAAAAAUAGCAUUGUAGAUUUCUUUUCAAGACCUUGUUUAACUUUUUAAUACAUGCAUUUUUUUACUCAUUACGCUGCAAAAUCCCCCCCCCCUUCAAUUCUUGACACAGUGUCAAACUCAUUUGUUGUGUUUAAGCUCUUGCAAUGAUCUAUAUAAGCUGCCAGCUUUUGUAUAAGAGGGCCGGGUUAGAGAAGUAUAUCGUGUCAACUGCGCCAAUGAAAUCCUUUUAGAGUAAACUAGAGCAAAUGAGAAGCUUUAUGAGCCCUAAUACCAUUUAAGAUUUCCAUUGUCCUUCCUACCCUGUCAAAUGAACACUCAAGCUCAUAUAGAAGUGACAUGUGUGGUUGUUGCAUCAAGAAGCAACCUUAAGGGAGGAUUUUGCAACAGGGUUAGGCUUGUGGGUUCGUUAGGCCCUUCACACAACGUGUGCUUGGAGUAUUGCUUGAAAUGGAGAGAGGAGGUUUGGGCAUCAAUCACUCCCCCAAGUGGCCAAGUUGAAACCAGGAGCAGCACUGUGACAGAACAAAACAGAUGCCAACUUUUCUGACAUGGGCCUCAACUUUUUUUCCUAGAGUCACUCCACAUAGUAGAGGCCUUAAUGUAACUAUUUUUCUUUUAGGGGAUAAUUGCAACUCAAGAUGACUACUAGGAGCUUGAGCCGUGCACACAUGCGUUAGUGGCAAGCUUGCACCUACUCUGAGCAGAGGAGGGCACAGUUGGAGCUUGCAAGGACCACGGUGUGGAGCACUGACGCUUAGGGAUGCAAACAGGCUAACCCAGAUAUAGGGCUGAAUCAUGUUGGCAACUGUAGCAUAGACUAUAAGUGGGUUCGCAGGCUAGCCUGCUUGAUUUGCAGCAAUAUAUUAUGGUGGAGGGAUGCCAUUGACCUUGUUGACGCCGGAUUUCGUCAUCAGUAGAAUCGGCGCCAAAGAAGAAAGAAAUCGAAGGAAUACGAGUGGGGAUCGGCCAAAAGGUGCUACAAUGCGGAAUCGGUCAAGUGGCUUUUACUUCGCUUCAGGGUGAAUGCGCCAGGUUCCCAAUCGGCAAUCCUUUAAGAAAUCGGCCGAUCGGGAAGGUGGAUUAAGGUGGGCCUGUAUGGGCUUGGAAAGAUGGAGGGAUAAGGUGGAGUUCAGCCCACGGAGUGUGGGGUAAUUAGUUUAGUACGGAUUGUGCUUGUAGAUAUUUGUUUUCUGUUUGAAUUAGAGAUAGAGUCCUAGUCGGUUAAGAAGAUUAUUUGUACGGGGCUAUAAAUAGCUACCUUUGUAAAUCUGUAAACACAACAAUCAAUCAAUACAACAAGUUACUUUCUUCUGCGCAUCUACUUUUGAGCAGGCGACUUCGCCAUCAAUUUUCUUUCUCACGAGUUCGUACGGGUUGGCAGGGCUGCAUCGUCUUGAUCUCCGGCCGAUUCUGUAAGUUCCGUUUAUCGAGUAAUAUCUAGGCUUUGACUUCCGGCGUAUCGCUGUUGUUUCGUCUAGAUUUAUUCACCAGUUAUCGAUAUUGACUAGAUUCAUAGGUUUUUACCUGCCUUCCUAGUUUUUAUCACCAGUUAUCCCGCUAGGAAUCGGUAGUAUCGGCUUUCAUUACUUCCUGUUGCCAGAUCCAUCUGUUGCCGAUUAGAUCUUUUCCUAGUGCUGUUAUUACGUGCCUUGUACCGAUUACUUUAAUAUUUUUCUAUCUACAAGGCUACGGGGAUCGUGCUGUCUCGUGGCCGAUUUCUUUACCAUAGUAAAUCGGCUGAUCUGCCGAUAAACUCUCUCGAUCGGAAACUUAGCCGAUCGUAGUUACUGAAUUUGACACGUGUUCUUCCUUGCCAAUCAACAGGUCAGAUUGGCUGGCACGCCGCGUGAACCGCACCAGGGCAUUCACCCGAACAGGAGCUAAGCAGAUUCUCCCGGGUCGUGUGUCGGUCGCUGGGAUUCGGUUGACCGAGUUCUAGCGCCAACACACUUUUGGCACGCCCGGUGGGACCAAUACAACCGCUAUCAUGUCGAAAGCUGCUGAAGUCUCCGAAGAUAACGUCAUCGAAGUGACGGAAGCAGAUCUAAAGGACGACCAAAAAGAAGAUCUGAAUCAGUAUUUGGAGCAAGUCCGGAAAACUUGCUUGAAAUCCUUCAGUCGUUCCAGGAGCGGGGAAACUGUUAAAAAGUCUCCUUUCCCUACUCCCCGCCAGAUCACGAUUUCAGAAGAUUCGGACAAAAUGUCCGAUAUGAUUCAGCAAUCUCUUCAUCACGCCUUCAUCAACCAAUCCCCGGUACUUUCAAACAUGGUGCACAAUGCUGUUGUCAACUCCUUCGCCGGAGGUAUACCACAAGGGUACAGGGGGCCUACGUAUUUUCAGCCGAUUCCACCAAAUCAGGCUUAUCGGGCUUCACAGCCGAUCCAAUCCUCUGUCGGAGGAUCGGUGCUUCUACGUCAUCAACUCCUUUGGGAUACGGCUCCAUCCAGCCGUCCACUGCACCACUCCCUCCAGUCAUCCCUUUACCCUGGGGGGCACCCUUAAACACGACCGGUUUGAAUCAAUCGGUCAGCCAAGGAAAUCCUCCGUUCCAGACACCCUCCCAAACGGCCACUCGGCCGAUCAUACCACCAUACCAGCCUAUCGCUCCGGAGGUCAACAAGACGUCAGAGCUCAUGCUAUAUGAUGAAACGAGUGGUGCCUACAAGCAGCCGUCCUUUACUACACCGCCGGCUUAUACUCAGAUACCACCUUUUCAUCAACCUCCUUUUAUUCAACCUCCGAUUUAUCAACAUGUGCCGAUUCCGCCGCCGAUUAUUCCCCAACAACAACCGGAUUGGACGGCGCAAAUCGCGGAGGUAAUGCAAGAACAAUUCGGCCUGAAGCCGAAGGUGCAAACUUAUACCUACAGGACACCAUACCCAUCCACGUACGACUUGUUGCCGUUUCCCCAUCGGUACAAAGUUCCGGAUUUCACUAAAUUCUCCGGAAUGGAUGAUACUUCUACCGUGGAACAUGUGAAUAGAUUCAUCAUCCAAUGCGGAGAAGCAGCUACGCAAGAUGCCCUGCGGGUACGGUUGUUCUCGUCAUCUUUGUCUGGAUCGGCUUUCCAGUGGUUCACCACUUUGCCACCAAACUCGAUUAUCACAUGGGCCGAUCUAGAGAGGCAGUUCCACAAGUACUUCUAUGCUGGAGUCCACGAAAUGAAGUUGUCUGAUUUAACUAGCCUCCGGCAACGAAGUGAUGAGCCGAUACCCUUGUACAUACAGAGGUUUCGGGAAAUCAGAAACAAAUGUUACUCCUUGGCUCUAACCGAUGCACAGUUGGCCGAUAUAGCUUUCCAAGGCCUGCUGCCACACAUUAAAGAAAAAUAUGCUUCACACGAGUUCGAGAGCUUGAGCCAGAUCGUCCACCGAUUGUCCGGGCAAGAGGUGCGUCCAUUUGAUCCAAGGAGGAAUUUCUAGAAGAAAGUAGCAUUCCUGGAAGAAGUAGAGGAUGAAGAAGACGCCGAAAUCGGACUUGCAGAGUGGAUUAAGGGAAAGAAGCCAAUAUCAUGCCCGUUCGGCAAAAAGGAGCCGGAGGCAUUCGGUUUCGAUACUACUAAAGCUGACAAAAUAUUCGACCUUCUACUCCAGGAAGGACAGAUUAAACUCUCGCCUUACCACACGAUACCCUCUGCCGAACAGUUGAAGAAGAUGAAGUAUUGCAAAUGGCACAAGGCCACGUCACAUGAUACCAAUGAGUGCAAAAUCUUCAGACAACAAAUACAGUCGGCCAUUGAGCAGGGCAGACUCAAAUUUGAAGUGCCGGCAAAACCGGCCAAACCAAUGAAGAUUGAUCAGCAUCCUUUUCCUACCAACAUGGUGGAUACGGGUAAGAAUCCCCUCCAGACAAAAGUGCUGACAUCCGAAUCGGCAAAAAGGAGUGGCGCUGUCGAUCCCAGGAAUCAAGUCACGUCUGAAGACAUCAAGGGGAAGCGACGGAUGAAGGCCGACGAUGGUGAACCAGAAGGACCACGCAUUACUUCCCAGUUCCUGCUCCAAAAAUACCAACGCCAACAUGAACGAUCAAGGUCCCGAGAGGAAGCAAUGCGUCGGCACGAGGAACACUGGAGAUGCCCAUUCUUCAUCCAUUGUUGGGAAAAUAACCUCAGACUUCCAUCAGCCGAUACUUGCCCAGAGUGCAACGGCCCCUAUCGAAGCAAUCGGCCGUUCACAAGGUCUCGCUCCAGAGACGGAAGGCCAGAACCGAUCAGCAGGAAUCGGCGUAACCCAGAUGAUCAGCGCCCUUCCAUACGUGAUCGGCUGGGGGGCAGAAGUGACCGAUAUGAUCGGUCAGAAGGCAGAAGCCAUAAUAGGCAGGGGGGCAGGACCGAUCAACACGAUCAAUCAAAUAGCAAAGCCAGCGUUCACAGCCGGCUCGAAGACAUGGCCGAUGCUCGGGUAACGGACGAGAACCCGUUAGGACGCGAACCAGAAUGGGAACGCGCCGGGAAAGAAGGGAGGCCAAUAAACCCCAGAUGGUGCCCCGACGGUUUAACCAAAUCACAAAAACGGAGAGUCCAACGCCUCCACCAAUGGGAGCAGCAAGAAGAAGAGGGCACGAUGGACAAAAAGCAAGAAAGGCCUCAGGUGUGGCGCCCCAAAAGAAACGACAAGGGCAACGAUGAGUCGGCGGGCGACGAAUCGGCAGCCGAAAUCGGUAUGGUCUUCAUAUUGCCGAUGGAGUUUAUGACCCCUGCCGAUCAACAGGAUGUGUCGGCGAUAGAGGAACAAACAGCACGGUUGACUUUAGAACCGAUGAUGGCCACGUUCGAAAAGCCCGAAGACGACGAACGACAACAUAUGAAGGCAUUGUUCCUUAAAGGGCAUGUUGACGGACGCCCCCUCACUAAAUUGAUGGUCGACGGGGGAGCCGCCGUCAAUAUCAUGCCGUAUGUCGUACUUCGGAAACUAGGAAAGAGCGACGACGACCUGACCAGGACGGACAUGAUGCUCAAGGACUUCGAAGGCAAGGUGUCAAACGCUCGUGGUGCCCUCUGCGUCGACCUCACCAUCGGCAGUAAGACCCUUCCUACCACGUUUUUCAUCAUUAAUGGCAAAGGGUCCUAUAAUAUGCUUCUUGGACGAGACUGGAUACACGCAAACUGCUGCAUACCGUCAACUAUGCAUCAAUGCCUGGUACAAUGGGUCGGCGACAACGUCGAGGUGGUCAAAGCCGACUCCGCGUACAGCAUCGCAGCAGCCGACGCACAGCAAUGGAGCUGCGAAACCGUCAGGUGCAUAUUAGGUAGGGUGUGGGAAACUGAUUUCCUGAAGGUCACCGAUUUUGGCCUACAGCCGAUCCGAGCAGUCGGCUCUGAAGAAGCGCAAUAAAUGGAUCAGUUCGCCCGAGAAGACGGGAAGCUGGGACACGGAUUCACGUCGGCCGAUUCAUUAGAAAUGGUAGAUUUAGGUGACGGGACCAAGCCAAGGCCGACUUUUAUUAGUGCAAAUUUAGAUCCAGAGUACAAGUGUAAAUUGACAAAUUUAUUAAGAGAAUUCAAGGAUUGUUUUGCGUGGGAGUAUCACGAGAUGCCCGGAUUAGAUCGAUCUAUUGUUGAACAUCGGCUACCCAUAAAACCAGGGUAUCAGCCGUACCAACAACCCGCACGGCGAUGCAAUCCUAAAAUUUUACCAGACAUAAAAGCCGAAAUAACUCGGCUAAUUGAAGCAAAAUUUAUUCGGCAAUGUCGUUACGCCGAGUGGAUUUCUAAUAUCGUACCGGUGUAUAAGAAAAAUGGGAAGCUGCGCGUUUGCGUCGAUUUCAGAAACCUUAAUCAGGCCACACCAAUGGAUGGCUACCCCAUGCCUACGGCCGAUGUACUGAUCGACGCUGCCGCGGGGCACAAAAUUAUUAGCUUCAUGGAUGGGAACGCCGGAUACAAUCAAAUACUUAUGGCCGAAGAGGACAUACCCAAAACGGCUUUCAGAUGUCCAGGCCAUCUUGGUCUAUUCGAGUGGGUGGUGAUGACUUUCGGUUUGAAGAAUGCUGGUGCUACGUAUCAGAGGGCCAUGAACUAUAUUUUCCACAAACUCAUCGGCCUCCUGGUGGAGAUCUACAUCGACGACGUUGUGGUCAAGUCCAAAAGCCACGAGGAACACCUAGCCGAUUUGCGAAGGGUCCUAGAGUGUACCAAAAAACAUGGUCUUAAGAUGAAUCCCAACAAAUGCGCUUUCGGCGUCUCCGCCGGACAGUUCUUAGGAUUCAUGGUGCACGAACGAGGCAUUGAAGUCAAUCAGAAGACCAUAGCGGCUAUCAACAAAGUCGUCGCCCCACAGAACAAAACUGAGCUACAGUCUCUAAUCGGCAAGGUAAACUUCAUCAGAAGAUUUAUAUCUAAUCUAUCUGGACGGAUCCAGGCGUUCACACCACUUCUGAAGUUGAAGCCAGACCAAGAAUUUAUUUGGGGAGAAGAACAGCGCGAGGCGUUAGAAGACAUCAAGCGAUACUUGGUCUCACCCUCGGUCCUGGUUCCCCCUCAAACGGGUAAGCCGUUUAAACUAUAUUUAUCAGCCGGCGAAAAAGCUAUUGGGUCGGCUCUAGUCCAAGAGUUUGAAGGCAAAGAACGGGUGAUUUAUUACGUUAGUAGAAGACUCCUGGAUGCCGAAACAAGAUAUCCUCCAGUGGAGCGUUUGUGUUUGUGCCUUUACUUCUCGUGCACCAAACUCAGACACUAUCUACUGUCGGCAGAGUGUAUAGUCGUAUGCAAAGAUGAUGUAGUGAAAUACAUGCUGUCACUGCCGAUAUUGAAAGGGCGAAUCGGAAAAUGGAUUUUAGCUCUAUCAGAAUUUGACCUACGGUACGAAUCGGCAAAAGCCGUCAAAGGUCAAGUCAUGGCCGAUUUCGUUGCCCAGCACUGUGGGCCAGAGAUUGCCUUCGUGGAACUAGCUCCUUGGCAGUUAUUUUUUGAUGGAUCAUCAUGCGGAGUCGGAUCGGGAAUCGGCAUCGUUCUCAUAUCGCCUCGGGGGGCAAGAUAUGAUUUUUCUCUGCCGAUAGAAACCGCCGCCACAAACAAUCAAGCGGAGUACAGAGCCGUAUUAAAAGGCUUACGAUUAUUGAGGGAAGUCAAGGCCGAUUCUGUUGAAGUCUUCGGAGAUUCGAUGCUAAUUGUGGAUCAACUAACCGGAAGGGCUGAGUGCAAAGAUGACAUAUUACGAAUUCAUCACGAAGAUUGCUUACAGCUUUUAAAAGAAUUCAGAUCGGCAGUAAUCGAGCACGUCCCAAGAGACCGCAACGAGGAAGCAAACAAACUCGCUCAACACGCAUCAGGGUAUCGGCCGAUUCCAGGCGCCAUGGCCUUAGAGCUUGCAGCCGACGAUUGGCGUAAGGAAAUUGCCGAUUACCUGAAGGAUCCAUCUAAAAAGGUGGAGCGACGAGUGCGCUUUCACGCUACCAAGUACGUACUGCUCGAAGAUGAUCUGUUCUACCGAACGAUCGAUGGUGUUCUUCUUAAAUGCCUUGGGACAGAAGAAGCCAAGACUCUAAUGGGAGAAAUCCAUGAAGGGGUAUGCGGAGCUCACCAAUCGGCACAUAAGAUGAAGUGGAUGAUCAGAAACAACGGGUACUAUUGGCCUACGAUCCUCGAAGACUGUUUUAAAUAUUAUAAGGGUUGUCAGGAGUGUCAAAAGUUUGGAAAUGUCCAACGUGCACCCGCGUCGGCCAUGAAUCCCAUCAUCAAACCAUGGCCGUUCAGAGGAUGGGGAAUAGAUCUUAUCGGCCAAAUUUAUCCACCAUCAAGCAAGGGGCACAAGUUUAUUCUGGUUGCUACCGAUUACUUCACCAAAUGGGUGGAGGCAAUCCCACUAAGGACUGUGACUUCAGCUAUCAUGGCCGAUUUCGUAAGGGAUCAUAUCGUCUACCGAUUCGGCAUCCCUCAAACUAUAACAACCGAUCAAGGAACAAUGUUCACAUCGGGGGAAUUUGAGGAAUUUACGACCGAUAUGGGCAUCAAGUUGUUAAAUUCUUCUCCAUAUUACGCUCAGGCCAAUGGUCAAGCAGAAUCUUCCAACAAAGGAAUAAUCAAGUUGAUCAAAAGGAAGAUUGAAGAAUACCCGAAGAAGUGGCACCUAUGUUUGACCGAAGCCCUAUGGGCAUACAGAAUGGCCUGUCAUGGGGCCACCAAGUUAUCUCCCUAUCAGUUGGUAUACGGUCAGGAUGCAGUACUUCCGUGGGAGUCAAGGGCAGGAUCAAGGCGCAUUUUACUUCAAGACCAGUUGUCAGCCAAUGACUACUCGUCUCUUAUGAAGGAAGAACUUGAUGAUUUGGCCGGCCAACGACUAAGGGCUCUGAUAAGUAUCGAAGAGAAUAAAAAGAGAGUGGCCAGGUGGUACGAUAAAAAGGUCAAAGUCAAGCAGUUCUCCCCCGGAGAUUUGGUAUGGAAGUUGGUACUACCGAUCGGGUCGAAAGAUCCUAAAUUCGGCAAAUGGUCUCCUACCUGGGAGGGGCCGUAUAAAAUCGGCAAAUGCGCUCCAGGGAAUGCCUAUAUCUUGGAAACAAUAGAAGGAGAAGAAUUCACUAGAGCUCUGAAUGGGAGGUACUUAAAAAGAUAUUACCCAAGUAUAUGGGUCGGUGCCUAAGGAAUCAACACGAUCAUACAUGACCGACACGAUUCGGUCUUGAGACACACAUAAAGUCGACCGGAACGGCCGAUUACAUUCAUUCGGUAUGGGCGACGGGUCACAUGGCCGACAAAAUGUUUAGUCGCCCUUAGAACAAAAAAUACAGCAACUAAUUAUUCUUUUUCUUACGCUCCCUCUCAGCCCGACCUAACUCUAUCAUGAGUCGGAUGUAUUCUUCUUCUAUGGCCUUCAUUGAAAUCUCCGCCUCGACUUGACGGGGGAGAUCUACGGGAGGGCGUGAAGUCCCCGCUCCCGCAUCUUCAAGAACGACUUGCCGAGGGAGUGGAUGACUCCUGCCGAUGGGAGGUCGCCGGCUGCCGUUCCUCUCCACGAAGUCCAGGAUCGUUCGGGCCUCCGUGGCAAUGUCGUCUUCAAGAUCGCCACAACGAUUGCUCCUGACAGGUGGAGAUUGAUGGUUACUUUCACUCACCACGGAAUCCAAGACUACGCGAGCCUCCGUGGUAACGUGGUCCUGGAGCUCCUCUCGGUGAGCCACGAUCAGCAUCUUGUCCUCCGAUGUUAAUGGAUCUUCGAAAUGAAUGCGCUCAAUGGCGCGCACGAGCUCGGGGCUAAGACGUUGAUGCUGAAACAAAGAAGGAAUGAGGGGGAUAUCCUUCCCCUUAGGGUCUAAGAAAGAAAGGAAGGUAGAGGUCAAAGACUUCACCUGGUUAACAGAGGAAGAAGAAGACGACGAGGCCAUGGCAGAGAAAUUGCGCCGAUGAGAAGGGGCAGAAAAGUUAAACCGAGGGCCAAGAUUGGUGCUACCAGGAGUAAGCGCCGAGGUUGGUAUUUAUAAAAGAAUGCGUGGAAAUCUGGUAAAGCUACGUCCCAUUGGUAAUAAGAAGGCAAUAAAUAGAAAGGGCGUCGCGAGGGGCGGUCAAAGAAGAUAGUAAAUGAUUCGUACAAAACGGUCAGUGUUUUUACAGAUUACCCAGAAGGGUAUCGAUAGUCGUGAUGGCCCGGCGCCGGAUCUGAUCGGCAGAGUCAAGAACCCGUUGGUCUUCUUCCGCCGAUCCAGGAACCUCCGAUGCGCUGCGAUGAAGUCUCAGUGCCUCGUGAGCAAAGCGUUGCCUCUCCCGUGUUAAAUCGGCAAUAACAGAAGGAAGCUCUUGGAGUUUGUUCUCUUCGGCACUGAUUGCCUUGGUCACUUGCUCCAUUUCCUUGGCAAGCUCCGCCCUCCGACGUUUGAGACGGUCUAUCUCACCUAUGAUCGCCGGGCGGGAGUCUUCUAGAACAUGGAUACGCCGAUUCGCCUCUUGAGCCUGACGCUUGAAAGCGUCUUCCUCUUCGCGAGCCUUGGUCAGCUUGGCGCGAUCGGCCAUGUGACGAAGGGCUCUGAAGACCGGGAUCCUCAUAGACUCGAUGAAGGCUGCCGGCGCCAGGGCCUCCUCCGCCUCUUCUGGUACUCGUCCGCUGACGUCAUUGAAGAGCUGCCGAAUCGGUGAAGCGUCUUCUACUAAUCGGCCGAUGUCCCCUUGAAGGAGGGAUCGGAUGCUGGAAAGUUUGGCUCGGACGUCAUCAGGAACAGAACUCAAGGCGACUUGGCGAGAAGCAACUUCUUCGUCGUCAGAGAGGGCGACCGCAAAAGAAAAGAGGCUGUUGUCGGGGGUAUCCUGUUCCUGAUGAUAAUAAAGAAAAGAAAUAAACCAGCUGUAAGAAAGAGCAAAUCGGCUGAGAUAGAAGCAGAAGCAGAAAAGUUACCAUUUUGAAGCGAAUCUCCUCAUGUUGCACUUGAGAAGCCGCCAUGCCUUGCUCGGGGGCCUGCGUCAUGGGUUCAUCAGAUGAAGAGGACUCCACGAUAAUCGGCGCCGUGCUUGGACCAGCCCCCUGAAAGGAAAUCGGCGAUCGAGGAGCGAUUGAUGUGCCGAUGGCCUGUGUCAGAAGUUUGAAUAAAUACGGUACGUGAAUGCCCAAAGGAAAUCGGUACGAGAAGUUCUAUACCGUAACGGAAGGAAACGGGGGCGCGUCAAUAGCUGGAGGGGCUGCUGCCGAUUGUGGUACUUCUGUAGGAAUGCUCUGUGCAGUUUAAAGAUAAAAGAAAAGUUAAUAUCAAAAAUAAUAAUCGGAGGCAUGCGCAACUCAGUUUUACCUGUAUGGCCUCCAACAACAACGAUGCGGCGGCCGCCCCAGCUUGCGUCAUAGCUUGAGUAUCGGCACCUUGAAUGACUUGAGGAGGUGGUACGGCCGAAGUUUCUGCCGAUACGCUCACAGGAGGAUCCGCCGAUCCCGUACGAGCCCGGACUCGGCGACUGGUCUUCUUGGUAGUCCUUUUAUGAACUUGUUUCGAUCGGCCAGUAAUCACGUCAACAGACGGGGCGUUAUAGCCGAUAAGGGGAUAAGUAGUGUAUGGAUGACUCUCUAUCAGUCGUCCGCUGCGGCUGUGUGUUGGAGGGAUCCGAUUCUCGGCCUAAAAUAAUAAAAUCAUUAGUACUCGAUCGUGCUAAGAGGAAUAAAAGGGAAUAAAAAUCGGCUAUGUGAAGUACCUCGGCGUUUGGAUCAAUGUUGGUCGGGUCCAGAAGAUUGCAGUAUGCCGAUGCUGAGUUGCAGAAGAGGAAUUGCUUCCAAUCAGCCCACCAGAGUUUGAACGGCUGGACAGCAAAUGGAGCUACUAGCCAGUCGUUCAAGUUAAUUGUACUGGAGUCUGGAAUUCGGUCUCGCAACCGACCGUAAUCUAGGCCAGAUGUGAGAUCAUCUCUAAACUUGAUUUUGCCAGCAAAGUACACCUGAAUCGGCAGCUGAACCAUGCCGAAUUGUCGUGCUGCAGCAGAAGGGUUGUAGAAUUCGUACGUAGGGGCAUCCUUCCCUGAGAAGAAGUUGGCCGGUAGGAUCCCUGGCUUGAUCAACCCUUCAUAGAGAUCUUCAUCAAACCGGCCAGAAGUUGAAUCAAAGCAGGAAGGGAGCUCGAAGAUGGGAAUGUCUCGCUGAUAUGGAAACCAGAUAGUUGCGUCCUCAUUAAAUCCAUUAUAAAAAGACCGAAAGUACUCGGCUACCUUUGUAGCGGAAUACGCACAACCUGGAAAAGCUGAUGCUGCUUCACCAUAAGACAUGCAUCGGCGGCGCUCGGUAGGGUCUUCUGCCGAUUCAAUAUUGGGAAAUGUCAUGCGGUCCACUGGCUGCCGAGUGAUCCUGUUCAUAUAAAGGUUCAACCAUAAAUUGACAAACCACCAAGGCCCACCUGGGUUGCCGAUUGGUUCUCCCUUGGAAAGUUUUGUGCCGAUUUGGUGGAGCAUGUGGUACACAGCACCCAGAAGAUGUUUCCCGAGAGGAAUAUGGCUUCCUUUGGACAGUGCCUCGGCUAAAGAUUGGGUGUUGGUUGUUGGGCCGGCGGCUCUUCCACAGAAGAGGUGUUUUUCGAGCCACAUCAUCAGGAAAGCGGUGUGCUCCCUGUUAUCAACAGUACCGGUCUUCUUAUUAUCAUUAAUAAAGCCCUUCCAGCCGCCGAUUCUUCUUGUGUCCAGCCGAUGCGAUGGUACGGUCAGAAGUUGGAAAGGCGUGUCAGGGGAAGAUACAUCUAGGCCGGUCAAGAGGACCACAUCGGCCAGAGUGGGGGUCAUGGGACCGUGGCCAAAUAAGAAUGCAUUAAGUGCGUCAGACCAAAAAUAGGAAGCCGCCAUCACUAGCGGUUCGUUUUUUUCCAUUUGCGACAGGGAAAGGUUGAUACAUUGGCCGAUUUUGAGCUCAUCCCACGAGACGCUCCUUGAUGCGGCUACCCGUUGGUACCAUUCCCUCCAACCUGGGGUUUCAUUCGGCCAAGAUCUAAAAGUGCUGGCCCAUUGAUCUAAGUUCAUAUCAGAUCGUUUGAAAGGUAUCCGAUCAGUUUCCAAGUUUAUGAGGUCUGCUGGAUCCGGGUCUCCCAUGGGACCAAGACAAACAAGGCCAGGACUACCCAUGAGAUGAAUAGUAAUUCUAUGUCUAACCGCCUAAAAAAGGAAAAGGGGCAUAAGAAAUAUAAAGAGUAGAUCUAAGAUAAAUACGUUACCGAUAGAGGAAAGAUUCGGUAUUUACCUCCGGUAUAAAAUUCUGAGUAAUCGGUGUAGUCGUCGAUGCAGAUGCGGAUGAUGGAGUCGCAAUGGGGAUCGCCAUUGGGAUCUCUGAUGAAGCUCCUUCAUCUGUGGAUGGAGUGACGGUUGUCGCCACCGUUACCGAAGGCGCUACCUCUACCGGGGGCAUUAUUCCUGGAGCAUCGCGUGCUGGGGAAUUACCGGAGGGAGUCGCCAUUGAAGGGAAAGGGGAAGAAGUGAUUGGAGCUGAAACUGGAAGACUUCGAUGGCAAGAUUGAAGAAAGAAGGAGAUGCGCGCGCUGGAAAAGGAGAUGCGAGCUUGAAGAUGAGUUGCGGUGAAAUGAUAUUUAUAGGGUGCCUGAAGAAAGGGUAAAGAUGGAAUUUUCACCGCGCCGGCGCAUCGAGAUUUUUGGGGUAGUGGCUGUCGUGGGCGCCCGUUUCAAAAAAUUGCAAUGAUCAGCCGGGAGACCGCGAAACGGAUAUUUUCACUGCGGCCGUUUCGGAGGAGAGGUUAUAAAGAAUUUCGAAGUAAAAGAUUAUGUUUUACUCCGAAACUGGGGGGCAUGUGUUGACGCCGGAUUUCGUCAUCAGUAGAAUCGGUGCCUAAGAAGAAAGAAAUCGAAGGAAUACGGGUGGGGAUCGGCCAAAAGGUGCUACAAUGCGGAAUCGGUCAAGUGGCUUUUACUUCGCUUCAGGGUGAAUGCGCCAGGUUCCCAAUCGGCAAUCCUUUAAGAAAUCGGCCGAUCGGGAAGGUGGAUUAAGGUGGGCCUGUAUGGGCUUGGAAAGAUGGAGGGAUAAGGUGGAGUUCAGCCCACGGAGUGUGGGGUAAUUAGUUUAGUACGGAUUGUGCUUGUAGAUAUUUGUUUUCUGUUUGAAUUAGAGAUAGAGUCCUAGUCGGUUAAGAAGAUUAUUUGUACGGGGCUAUAAAUAGCUACCUUUGUAAAUCUGUAAACACAACAAUCAAUCAAUACAACAAGUUACUUUCUUCUGCGCAUCUACUUUUGAGCAGGCGACUUCGCCAUCAAUUUUCUUUCUCACGAGUUCGUACGGGUUGGCAGGGCUGCAUCGUCUUGAUCUCCGGCCGAUUCUGUAAGUUCCGUUUAUCGAGUAAUAUCUAGGCUUUGACUUCCGGCGUAUCGCUAUUGUUUCGUCUAGAUUUAUUCACCAGUUAUCGAUAUUGACUAGAUUCAUAGGUUUUUACCUGCCUUCCUAGUUUUUAUCACCAGUUAUCCCGCUAGGAAUCGGUAGUAUCGGCUUUCAUUACUUCCUGUUGCCAGAUCCAUCUGUUGCCGAUUAGAUCUUUUCCUAGUGCUGUUAUUACGUGCCUUGUACCGAUUACUUUAAUAUUUUUCUAUCUACAAGGCUACGGGGAUCGUGCUGUCUCGUGGCCGAUUUCUUUACCAUAGUAAAUCGGCUGAUCUGCCAAUAAACUCUCUCGAUCGGAAACUUAGCCGAUCGUAGUUACUGAAUUUGACACGUGUUCUUCCUUGCCAAUCAACAGGUCAGAUUGGCUGGCACGCCGCGUGAACCGCACCAGGGCAUUCACCCGAACAGGAGCUAAGCAGAUUCUCCCGGGUCGUGUGUCGGUUGCUGGGAUUCGGUUGACCGAGUUCUAGCGCCAACAGACCUGUUACAUGCCUUUACAAAGUAAGAGCAUGUUAGCAGAUCCUUACUCCCCAAUCCAACUACCAUAUUGGGAGGGUUAACGAAAAAUAGUGUUCCAGCAGAUUCUUUUUUACUUUUUUCCAUUUCACAAUAGUUAUUGGGACAAACUAAUAAUCCACCCUAACUUAUCCUAAAAAAAGAGUAUCUCAAUACGGUAGUUUGGAUUGUGAUUAUUGGGGAACUGCAAAAACAACUUUUCCGAUAACCAUAAAAGAAAUAUUGGGACAUUUCCAUUAGCUUGUUAUUAGGAAAAAUUGAUUGGAAAACUGUUGAAGAUGCUCUAAGGGAUUCUCAAGUUGGCGUGCGACUGCGCACGCGGUGGGGGGAGCACAAGCAACCCAAUAUGACCUAAUUUUAGCCCAAGUUAGGUUUAGUUGUGGCCGAACUAACAUCCAUGUUCUAUUUUUUUUCCCUUUCUUCAUUCUUUUGGGUUUUACAUUUUCUUGUCCUUUUCUUUAAUUAUUUCCUUUUAUAUUAUUCUGCAUAUUAUUUUUAUUUCCUUUAUAUUUAUUAUUUGUUUCUAUUAUUUGUUUUGUUUUCUUUUCUGUUUUUUGACACCCGGCCCAAUUUGGUUGGCCCAGUGUGGCCCAUUAGCGCAGGUGCGCAUGUUUAGUACCACAUUGCUAGUUUAGCAAGGGUGGAGGCAACUUAUAAGCCUUCGUCAACCAGCCAUAGUACCUUCGGGUUAACCCUUUUACACGAAGCGAGGACGAAAGUGUAAGCAGGGUGCUAUGUGUACGUGUGCCCGCCCCUCGGAAGGGUUGGGCGGUGCGGCUUUGGAGGACGGGGUGUUACAGUUUUCCUUUUCUACUAGGAAAUUCUAACUUUUCAUUUAUUUUAUUGUUUCCAUUUUUAUUAUCUUUUAUGCUUCUUUUCUUUUUUAUUUUUAGUAACAAUUUUUUUGUAUAUUUUGUUUGCUAGUAAGAAUAAUUUAUUCAAUUAGUUUUCUUUAUUGUUUCACUCUAGCACUACUUUAAAAAUCAUUUGUGCAUACGAUCAUUCUAUUUUUUUUUUACAACGGUGCUUAAUAACAACCGUCUCUAGCAAGGGUUCCAAAAAUACAAGUAUCUAUAGAGGUGGGCCACAUAAUUAAGUAAUUGUCUGAAAAUCAAUUCGAAAGGCACGCCACCUAAGCUACCACUACUAGAAAUUGACUUCUAGAGGCAGGCCUAAUAAGCAACUGCCUCUAAAAAUGUAAACAACCAAUUUUACAUAAAAAUAAUAGCCUUUAUUUAAUGAAGAAGAAUGAAGACAAAUUUACUAGCAUAACUAUAGAGCUCGAUGACAUCUAAAACUUCAUAGUUCAUAACCUUUUCAUUUAAGACUAUUUACAGGCCCAAAUAAAAUUCAUCACCAUUUCUUAUAUUUAUUUUUAAAAAUAAAUUAUGAUUUCCAAAAUGGCCUUGGAAGGAGAUGUGCUCUUCACAAAAGUUGUAGUGCAUGACGAGAUCUAAAAAUUUGUAAUUGAUAUUUUUUUUUCAAAUUUAUGAUCGUUAGAGUGUCAAAUGCAUAGUACAAUAUUCAGAGAAGUGAAAUCAAAAGAAUCCCUCAUAUAGUUAAUAUGUGUUUCGUAAAGAGAGCUACGCGUGAAGAGAGCUGUCAUACCAUGAAUUUUUUGGAAUUCAGGAUCUGACUAGAAAUAAUAAUUAAACAAUAAUUUUCUAAUAAUUUAAUUUUUUCAACAUUUAUUUUCUUGAGAGGAAAUUUAGUACUGGAAAAUGAUUGGUUGUUUUUUCUAAAUUAAAUAAAUUAGUUCUUUGUGUGUUGGAUUCAUGCCGAGGCAUCUUGGUGUUUCAUGAGUGCAGACAUUUUAAAAAUGCGUUUCUAUAACAUUUAGGUUCUUCUAAGAAUUUUCCAAAUUUUUCUAGGAUCUAUUCUCAUUUUCCUAGAGUUAAAUAUUUUUAUUAUUUUCUUGAGCUCCAAGUAUAUUAUUUGGAUUCAUCAUUUGGAUUCAUCGUGUCCCAAACUAUCUCUAGAAAUUUUCCUAGGAUUUUAGCUUUUUAGAGUAUUUUUUGUGGUUUCAUUGAUUUAUCUAGAAUUUUCUAGAUUUAUCUUUGCACGGGAAACAUCUCUAAAAAUGAAAUAGAAAGAAAUCCCCUUUCCUUCAGGCCGGGCUCGUGGGACUGACGUGCUCUAGCCCAGCAGCCGGCCUGCCAGGCCCAUCUGAGCCCUGCAGCUCUUGGUGUCCAUGCCGGACACAGUGUGGCACCGCCGCCUCCCCAGCUAACUUGGGUGUGCGUGCCACGGCUCCACCCCUGGCCCUAUAAAUAGCAAAGCCGCAUCCCCUGCUUGCCAUGCUGCCCCAGCUCGUGCAUGUGCUGUGCCUCACCCUUGCUCGCGCAAGCGCUGCCAACCGCCGGAGCCGAGCUGCACCGCCACCUCGAUCUGCCAGACCCCGGCGUCCCAAGACCAAGCCGCCACCUCCCAAAGUUGCACCACGACAGGCCGCCUCCAACCAAGGCAUCCGCUACACCAAAAAGGCCAUUGGAGCAGCACCGCCUCGCCUCACAAUGCCAAUCCGGCCGCCGUCUGUUGUCCGCUGCCAGCCAAAAUUCCAGCUGGAAUCUGUCCACCCCUGUGGCGGAACCGCCCAGCUUAAGCUGGUUUAAGUGCGCCUAAUUGCUGUCGGAGCAGCAAUUAUCCGAAACGCACCUAAAACAGCAUAAGUCCGGUAGUCCGUCGAGUGUCCCUAGGACUCCUCGAAAGAUCCACGGCGUGUUUCAUCACCAUACAUCAGGAUAAUAUCCGCGAUGGGAUAACAUCAACAAACAUUACAUUUUUACAUACAUAAUUAAGAGGUACGAGUUAUUACAAGACUUCAAGUUGAAACAAACUUAGUGAUGCAUAGUUAGACAAGCUCUAAGAUUAAACAUAAGUAGUUUAGGAGAAGAUGCGUUGAUAAACGGUUUGCUAGAGUAUUGAGAGACUCAGGUCAAUACUCUAGGUCUUCGGGGUCUCCUCCUCGACAGCUUCUUGGGUAGCUUCUGAAAGAUAACCACAAGGGGAAAACCCUGAGUACGGGGUACUCAGCAAGUCUUACCCGACUAACCACUAUAAUAGUUUUUCUUUUGGAAUGCAUGUCGGCCUUUAGGUGUGCUUGGUUGACACAAUUUUUGCCGAAAAGCUUACUACGAGUGAAGCCUUAGUUUUGUCUUUUAGUUUAGUUAAGUUAUUACCUAACCGUUCUAGAUGGUAACAGAAGUAAAAGCAAUCACAGCUGUUGAUUCAUACAAUACUUGGCAACAAAAAUUUUAUAUCACAUGAGUUCAUGCUACGAAGCUCAACGGUGAUCAAGUGCAUUCAUAACCGAGAAUUGCAGCGAUCCGGAUCAGAUUACAUCCUGCAGGAGAGCACCCGAUCACCCGCAUCAUACGACUGUCCAGGUCGUACUAGCAACCUCUCGAUUAGUAAAGUCAAUGAUUAGGAACACAACUACCCGGACCCAGGGAUGCACCCCCACAUGGGACCCCACGUCUGGCCUGAUCCCCAUGUGAGUUUCAGGCUACACCCCUGCCAAUCUCCAGCACGUCAAAUGCGGGUACGAAGCAUUCCUGAUCAUAGAAUUUACUAACCUACUGGGCUUUACUGGUCCCAUACCCAGUAAGUGAUCAGAUGUUAUCACUUGAUCAGCGGUUAAGACACGGCCCGGUCCUUAAGCAGAUUAAUGAGCAGACAGAACUACAUCUCUAGCUUCUGUCUGGUUCUAUACUUCAAACUAUCCUUCAUAAACAGCAUGUAUGAUUAAGAGUUUUCCCUAAGGUUGGUAAACCAAGCAUGUAAGCAAGUAAGCAAUUCUAGACUUGGGUGGUUUCUAGGAUUUGAACAAGUGGCAAAGAUGUCCUUAAUUCAAGGCAUGAUCAUACACAAGAAUAGGUUUCAUCCAACUCCUAGACCUAGUGCAUACAAUAACCAAGUAACCUAUAACUAGUCACAUGAAAUAACGAUUCCAAAAUAGAUAGGUAUAAAUGCACCGGGGCUUGCCUUGAUCGUUAAAAAGAUUAGCAGACGCCGACGGAUUCACUUCACAGGGGACAAAUUCAAACACCUCCUCGGACUCCAAAGGUCCUUCUGAAAAUUCCCAGUAAUCUUCUUCCGGCGCUUCUGGAUCUACGGUAUAUAUGCAGGGGUUAGAAUGCAAACUUUUUAAACAACAGACUAUACAACUUUCCUUCAUGAUAAAGUUGCAAGCCAACAAGGACUAUACGACUUAUCAUGGGUAAGUUGUAAGUCAACACACAAAAGAAAUCUAAAAAGAUUAACCUAUAUUUUUAUUUUCUUAUUUAACCCUUCCUAUAGCUUUUUCUUUUAUUUUUAGAAAAAGUGGUAAUUAUUUUCUAACUUGAAAUUCUAAUUUCCUAUGAGUUAUGGAUUAUUUGUGAUUAAUAAAGUGUUAUUUAUAUUUUAUACAUUUUAUAAAUAUUAAGUAUUUAUUUAAUUACCUUAAAAGGAAGGCAUUAAAUAAAUACCUAAAUUUUUAUUAUUUUCCUAGGGUGUAAAAAUUUUAAUGCAUAAAGGAAAAUAAAACAAGCCUAACGAAAUUGGUUUCACUAAUUUUGGACAUUCCUACAAAUUUCUGUGAUUAAAAUGGUGUAAAAAGAUUUUAAACGGAUUAUUUUAUUAAAGAAAUCUAACUUUUUCCCGAAAAUUCCCUCGGAAAACUUUUCUUACGCAGCUCAACUCUACCCCCCUCUCAUGCGUACCGGGCCCCACGACGCGGACCCACCUAUCCUCCUAUUCCCCCUACCCGCCGGCCCUUUACUCCUUCUGACGGGCUCCGUGGGCCGCUUCUCCUUCCCUUUCUCCUGUUAGCCCAACACCGGCCCAUGGCCCCUUUUUCUUUUUCCUUCCUUUCUCACGCGACGCCGGCCUGCAUCCGCUGGGCCCCCGGCCCUUUUCCUUUCCGGCCGACCGCACGCGCGUUACUGGGCCGCGAAACGCCGGCCCAAGACGACCGCACCGCUCUGGCCCGCGCCUUCCUCCCCCUUCUCUUACUGACAUGCGGGCCCGGUGCACAACACCUUCUUCCUCCUCCCGCCAAAACGCAACCGGAACAGGGGGCGGCGCGGCUCGCCGGCCGGCGCCCUCCCGGCGGCGGGUCUCGACGACAACACCAACCCUAACCCUACACGACCUCGCGCGCGGCGACAGCUUCCCUGGAGGUGACCGGAGCUACCUCCUCCACGGUGACGGGCGGCGACACCCCCGGCCGGCCAUCGUUACCCGCGACUACGGCACAACCUAGCCAAACGACUACCCCGACACCAUCCUAGGACUCUAGGGACUCGACUACGACUGCUCAAGAAGAAAGAGAGACAGCGCGAGAGGGUUCUCACCGAGAGCGGGCGGUGCGGCGGCGGCGGACAGAAGCGGCGGCGAUACAAGGUGUUGCGGUGAGGAAGCUGAGCAACAAGUUGCUGGGGUUAUUGGUGGGAUGUAGGCGGAGGUGCGGACGGAAGGAAUCGAUGAGAGCUGUUCGGAGGUGGUCGAAUUUUGCUUGGCGGCGGUGGUUGACAGAAGAGGCACGGGCGGCGGUAAAAAGAGAGGCAGUGAAACGGCGGCGCGGGAGCAGUAGAUAUUCAAGGGUUUCACCGCGCGCAUGGGUGACACCGUGGUCUAGCCGUAGGUGUAUGUGGCGAGGAGGUGGCUUAGCUUAGCUGCGCUGGCGGAUGACCGACGACGGCGGCGGCGCCACGUCUCGGUGCUCAGUCACCGCCCGUGACCUUCAGAGCUUCUCCACGGUUGAUCCUUGAUCCGAUGGCCUCUCGUGUUUUAACAGAACUUGAAGAUAAACUCAAGACCUUCAUCUUUUAUUUUGGCGUCAACUUGAGAUAAAGAUCGAAUUCACUGAAUUUUUGAAGUUUAGCUCGGGUUAGCUCUGAAUGUCGAUUGAAUUGCACUUGCUGUUCGUCAGUUCGACAGUGAUAUGGACUUUAAAUUGGGAACCAAUUUAAGGACUUAAGUCUUGUUUUUCCAGUCCAAUUUCUUCUCAAAGGUGUACUAUGAUCUCCCAAGUUUCCAUUUUGCACAAGAACAAGUACCUCUUUUGAUUUAAAUGGCUCUGAGUUCAAUCCCAAAGUUGAGACCACACUGUCAUUCAGACUUAGCAAAAGUUUCAGAGUUUCAGUCAUUUGUGAUCUUGUGCUGACUUUGAGCUCGAGGUUGACUUCCUUCCUUUUACUAUUCCUGGCCAACAACACAUGAUUAUUGCAGUCCAAAGUUUAUAUUUCAACAUGGUAUAGUUGUUCUAGUACACUUGGUUGGAAAAUUCUUCAGAAUUGAAUUUUGAAAACAGACUCUGGAACUGCUUUCUCUGAACCUAUUGUCGGACGAGGAACAGUAAACGGGAUUUCCCUUUUCUUCUUCUUUCUCUGAUUCUUUUGAGAUAUUUAGCACCAACUCAGCUCCAAAUUUCGAUUCCUUGCUUCCAAAUAAUCCCAUACUUGUAUUCCACAUGUUGGACAACUUUUUCUGAAUUUCAAAUUUGAAAUUCAAAUUUUUGGUCAAAAUUUGGCCGAAUUUGAUCUUUUUGCCAUUUUUCUUCUCUUUUCUUUUGGAUUUCUUUCUGAAUUUUUCAUAGUCACUAUGUUACUUAAAAUGGCACUUAUUACAGCCUCUCCCCCUUAACAGAAUCUCGUCCCGAGAUUCCUGGGGUUAAAUCCUUGGGUUUUGGAAUGGAAAGGAAACUGCGUCAGGUUAUUUACUCUUUCUUUUUCUGUACAAGGUUAGUGGGGUGGUGGUCCUUGUUCAUCUGUCCCUGACGGUUUCGAAUAACUCCGGAUAUUUAGACUCUAGGUCUUCUGCUUUUUCCCAAGUAGCUUCGUCCGGAGUAUGAUUUUUCCAUUGCACUUUAUAAAACGUGAUACUCCGAGUUCGGGUAUCGCGGGUCUUUUGAUCCAGAAUUCUAAUAGGUUUCUCUUCAUAUGUUAGAUCCGGUUCGAGCUUAAUUUCUGGAUCCUCCAAAAUUUCUUCUGGAACUCUUAGGCAUUUCUUAAGCUGGGAUACAUGAAAUACAUCAUGUAUAGAAGUAAGUUGAUCAGGUAAUGACAACUUAUAUGCCACGGGACCCUUUUGUUCCAGAAUUUCAUAGGGACCAAUGUACCUCGGGGCUAGCUUACCUUUUACUCCAAAGCGCUGUACGCCUUUCAUUGGGGAUACCUUUAAGUAUACAAAAUCUCCGACAGAAAAUUCCAAGGACCGUCUUCUUUUAUCUGAAUAACUCUUCUGCCGGGAUUGAGCUAUUUCUAAGUGCUUGCGAAUUUUCUGAACCUUCUCCUCGGUUUCCAUGACCAAGUCCGAUCCCAACUGUGUCCUUUCUCCUACUCCUGACCAAUUUAGAGGAGUUCGGCAUCUUCGACCAUACAAGGCUUCGAACGGUGCCAUCUUAAUACUAGCUUGAUAGCUAUUAUUAUAAGAGAACUCGGCUAGGGGCAAACAUUCAUCCCAUAGCUUAGAGAAGGUAAGGACACAGGCUCUUAACAUGUCUUCUAAAAUUUGAUUAACCCUCUCUGUCUGUCCUCCAGUUUGAGGAUGAUAAGCAGAACUUCUAAUGAGGGUAGUACCCAUGUCCUUUUGCAGUUGCUCCCAGAAUCUGGAAACAAACUGGGAACCUCGAUCGGAAAUAAUAGUUUUUGGCACUCCGUGCAAGGAUACAAUCCGGGCUAUAUAGAGUUUGGCAUAUGCCGACACCUGGUAUUUAGUCUUAACUGGAAUAAAGUGAGCUGAUUUAGUAAGGCGGUCGACAAUAACCCAAAUGGAGUCAUACCCCUUUGAAGUGGUAGGUAAUCCUACUAUGAAAUCCAUAGAAAUAUCUUCCCACUUCCAGACAGGAAUUCCUGAGGGUUGUAACAGACCUGCUGACUUCUGUAAUAUGGGUUUAACUCUUUGGCACGUGUCACAUUCUGACACAUAUCUUGCAAUUUCCGGUUUCAUUUUGGCCCACCAAAAUCUUUGCUUUAAAUCUUGGUACAUUUUAUUGGUUCCGGGAUGAAUGGAGAACUUGGAUGAAUGUGCUUCUUCUAGAAUUAAUCUUCUCAGGUUUUUAUCCUCCGGAACUACUAUCCGGUUCUUGAAGUAUAGUCCUCCUUCUUCUUCUUGAUGAAGUUCAGGAACCUUCCCCUCGGCUUUUUGCUGGUAAAGUGCUUUAAUCCAUGGGUCUUCUUUUUGGGCCGCUAUGAUUCUUUCUUUUAGGGUAUCUUGAAUCAUAACAUUCUGGAGGGUACCUUGUUUUACUAUUUCCAAAUUUAAUUCUCCCAUUUCUUCGCACAAGGUCUUCAAGUUAGACUGGAUGGUCAUGCAGUGGCAUUGGGCCUUUCUGCUUAAGGCGUCGGCCACCACAUUAGCUUUACCAGGAUGGUAAUGAAUUUCCAGUUUAUAGUCUUUAAUCAGCUCUAGCCACCGCCUUUGCCUCAUAUUUAGAUCCAUCUGAGUGAAUAUAUACUUCAAGCUCUUGUGGUCAGUAAAGAUACGACAUUCACUACCUAAAAGAUAGUGUCGCCAUAUCUUUAGUGCAUGCACUACGGCAGCAAGCUCUAAGUCAUGAGUAGGGUAGUGUUCUUCAUGACGCUUCAACUGGCGAGAAGCAUAAGCAAUAACCCUGCCUUCUUGCAUUAGAACACACCCGAUGCCUGUUCCUGAGGCAUCGCAAUAUACAUCAAAGGGUUUUUCUAUAUCAGGUUGAGCUAGCACUGGGGCUGUAGUCAAUAAUUUCUUCAAGAUUUGGAAGGAUUCCUCACACUCAGGUUUCCAUUCAAAUUUUGUAUCCUUCUUUAAUAACUCGGUGAUUGGUUUAGAAACCUUAGAGAAAUUGGGAAUGAAUCUACGGUAAUAACCAGCCAUUCCCAAGAAACUUCUUACUUCAUGAACAGAAGUUGGUGAUUUCCAAUCCAAUAUAUCCUUGACUUUUCCGGGAUCUACUUCAAUUCCUUUUUCGGAUAGUAUAUGCCCAAGGAAUGGAACUUUCUUUAACCAAAAUUCACACUUACUAAAUUUGGCAUAAAGCUGGUGUUCCCGGAGUCUAUUUAGAACAAUGCGCAAAUGUUGCGCAUGUUCCUUUUCGUUUUUAGAAAAGACAAGGAUAUCGUCUAUAAAGACAACCACAAAUUUGUCCAGUUCCGGCAUGAAUACUGAAUUCAUGAGAUACAUAAAAUGCGCUGGGGCAUUUGUUAAUCCGAAUGACAUAACCAAAUACUCAUAUAGUCCAUAUCGGGUGGAAAAAGCUGUUUUUGGUAUGUCUUCGGGUUUUAUCUUAAUCUGGUGGUAUCCUGACCGAAGGUCGAUUUUUGAAAAAACCUUGGCUCCAGACAAUUGGUCGAACAACAAGUCAAUCCGUGGCAGCGGAUACUUGUUUUUGAUGGUUACCGCAUUCAAGGGACGGUAAUCCACACAUAGCCUUAAGGUACCAUCCUUCUUUUUAACAAAGAGAGCUGGGCAACCCCAUGGGGAAGUACUGGGUCGGACAAAACCCUUAUCCAACAAUUCUUGGAGUUGUGUUUUUAAUUCUGCCAACUCUUUAGGUGGCAUUCGAUAUGGUCUUCUAGAGAUAGGAGCGGUGCCGGGUUCUAAUUCAAUAGUGAAUUCUACCGCUCUGUCAGGCGGUAGCCCAGGCAAGUCUUCUGGAAAUACAUCUAAGAAUUCAUUGACAACAGGAAUAGACUCUAGAGUCACUGCUCUAGUCUUUUUGACCAUCUGGUCUAAACAGGGGGAAACGGGUAAUUGGAGUUCGAAAGAAUGGCCCUGGUCAUCUUUCAGGCUAACAGCUCGUGUAACCACAUUAAUUUGUACUUCAUGCGCUUUCAUCCAAUUUACCCCCAAAAUAAUAUCUAUUCCUUGAUCUUCCAGAAUUAAGGGAUAAGCCCCCACUUUAUUUCCUUCUAGGUUUAAAAUCACAUUGCGAGCUACUUGAUUGGUAUUCUGUGUGGCACCAGUAGCUUGAAUAGCAUAUUUGACAUCUAAGGUAUGAACUUCUAGUUGAUGUUGCGUGACAAACUCUUUACUUAUAAAAGUAUGUGAUGCACCGGAAUCAAAUAAAACCAUAGCAGGAUAAUUGUUAAUAAGGUACAUACCUGCUAGGAUUGGCUCCCCUUCUGGAAUUUCUUCUACAGUCAUAUAGUGAGCUUGUCCCGUCUUGGUGUUGACAAACUUGCGACGAACAAACUUUUGUCCAGAGCCUUGGCCCGAGGUUUGAGCUUUUAAAUUCGCGUUUCCCCCAAUUUUGGGAAAACGACAAUCUCGGGCGAAAUGUCCUGGCUUCCCACAGUUGAAACAAACCGGUGGGGUUCCUGAAGAAGUAGGGUUACGAAACCCAAAAGAUGGUGCAGUUCCAGGACGAGGAGCAGCACUGGGAGCUCUGGCAUUCCAGGACUGGAAAGGUCGCUGCUGGAAUGAAGGACGAUACAUGGGUCGGGGAGGACCUCUAUAUACCAUCCUCAUCCUCUGUGGAGCAUUUCCAAAAUUUCCAGAAGGAACAGUCUUCCUUUUUAAUGCUUCUUCUUUUUUCAACAUUUCAUCCAGUGCUUUCAUCUUUUCUUCUGCGGUAAUGGCUGUACUUACCGCAGAACUGUAAUCAGCGAACGUGCAGGUGGCUAACCUUUCCUGCAUUCUGGUAUUAAGCCCCCUGAGAUAACAAUCUCUCUUUCUGGUUUCAGUAUUGACAUGCUCUGGAGCAUAUUGAGCUAAGUGGUCAAACUCAUUAGUAUAUGCUAGAAUGCUGCGAGUGCCUUGCUGUAAUCCCAAGAACUGUUCUAGUUUCAUCCUCAUGACGCCCUCGGGUAUAAACUGUGCCCGGAAGGCCUCCUUAAAAUCUUCCCAUGUGAUUUCCCUUCCCGCUGGCUGCCUAGCCAAAUGACUGGUCCACCAAGUUGCUGCGGGACCCUGAAGUUGAAGCCCCGCAAACUCGGCCUUUUGAAUGGCAGUACAUUGGGGAAUUACUCGAAAUUUCUGCUCCAUGGCCUGGAGCCACUCAUUAGCUUCCAAAGGAUGUUCAGCUUUUAAAAAGACUGGGGGACGUGUUUCCAGAAAUUGGGUGUAAGACACCCCUUGCUCCGGCUCCCUUCUACGUCCACCGUUGCCGGUAUUCUGUACUAUCAUCUGGAGUAAGCGGGCUUGCUCUGCCCCAGAAUUCAUUAAACUGGCUAUGGCGUCAGCCAAUGUAGGUGCUCGGGGUAAAUCCUCUUCUUGUCCUCCGGAGCCUGAAGCUCGGAUUUCUCUGGGAUCCGUCAUACUGCCAAGAGGAACAAGAUAUUAAUAUCUAUUGUACAUUCUUAUCGACAACUCGUUGCAUACUAACAUAUCACACAUCAUGCUUAUACACAAACCAUACUUAUGUACAUACUUAUUUAUAUUACACGCCUAGGAGUUAAUAUUUACAAAACCCCUUGGUACCACUUGUCCAUCACUCAUAUCUUACAAGAAUAUAUUACAACAUGUUCCAAACAAGUUCACGUCAACCAUCGUAAGGAAAGAUGCCCAGUUCUUCGGCAUUUAAGCCUAGUCGUGCCAUGGCUUCUUGCAGGACGUCUUGAUCCACGGUCAUCAAAGUUUGCCCUGGGGGAGCAACAGGUGGAGCUUGAUUGACAGAAUUCUCGCUUCCGGACUCCGGUCCAUAAUCACUCCAAGUGCGAGAAGUAUCAGAGGUGCUGAUUCCAGAAUUUCCUUCCAUCUCUUCUGGCUCCUCUUCUUCUUCGCCUUCCUGUUCUUCUUCUCCCCACUGCUGCAUGGGACCAUAGCCCUGAGGAUCUAGUCCAUCAGCAUUGGCAUUGGCCCACGCAAACUGUUGAUGGCCCGCAGGGACUUCGCCCUGAUCAUCUUCCAUAUCCACAUCAAAGCCUUCUAGAUUCUCGUGAGCAUAUAAAUCUAUUUCAGGUUCUGCCGGUGGCACUGGAUCUUCUUCCAUUUCUAGCACAGGCACUAGCUGAUCUGCUUCCUCCGGGUUUUGAGGUUGAGGCUCUUCUGGUGGGGGAGGUGGUGGAACAUUUAUCAUAUUUUGUGCCGGUGCUUGAGCUUGCAUUUCUUCCAGGGCUAGACGAAGUGACAGAAUCUCGUCUAGCUGCUGAAACCUCUCCGCCUCCAGCCUAUGGACAUUGGAUUCAGCUUCUUCUCUUGCUCGAUCCGCCAUGCUUCGACUUGCUUCGAUAAAUCCUUGCAGUGCCCGAAGUUUCUCUUCAUAAUCCUCAAUUCGCCUGGACUGCUCUCGCAUUGCCUUCUCCAUCUCGUGCUCCCUUGCCAUUGCUGCCUUCUUGUACAUUUCUUUGUCAUACCGGGCACCCAUUGCUUCCAUCCUAGUAUCUUCGUUCUUCUGUCUCUAAUUGUAAUAUUCCCGGAUACAAGCUUGAUGUAGAUUGUACAUAGCAGUCAUGUAGUCCGAAGCAGCGGCUACCAACACAUCGUGUUCUACACGAGAUGUGUUCUUCAAGGCUUUGAUCCUCCGCUUCCAUAUCCCGUCAUCUUGAUGCUUAAUUGGAUAGAAUCGAGCAGAGCUCGAUCCUAUUUCCACCUUAUGGUUCUCACACAGCUCCGUAAGAGCUGUCAUGGCUGCCCUUUCUAUAGUAUCAUGGAAUUCGAAACCUGAUUCCAUUACUUCCUCCAGGCGCCAAUUAGGAUGGUUAUCAUCAUCUGGAAUAUGCACAUACACUGUGCAAUAUUGCUUAUGUCCAGUAUCUUCCUUCCUCCAGUAAUACUCUGGGGGACUAUGGAAGCCCAACUCUUGUAGUGUCUUCCAGAGUAACUGCACAAACCCUGGUUUAUCCAGAUAACGGCCACGAGUCCACCCAUCCCUAUCCGUGUAACCUUCUUCGAACAUCCUAUAAAAAGAAACGAGAUCAGGUCUAGCGGCACUCACCAAACCCAAAAGUUUUUAAACAUGCAAUGCAAUUAUGAUGCAACGAUUCCUACGUACUUUCAGACUCAUAUACACACUCGUAGAAAAAUUGGUGGCAUCAUAAUCUCUCCCUAAUAAACUAUCGAAUACUAGCGACACGCAGCAAACAGUUAACAUCUGCAAAAUAAUCAACUGGUUAACACUACUGCCACCUGUGACUCUUGUUUUUAUUAUUUAAAAUAGAGUCUCAGCAUUUGAAAAGUAAUAUUUGUUGAUUAGCCCAACCUACGGCUCUGAUACCAGCUGUGGCGGAACCGCCCAGCUUAAGCUGGUUUAAGUGCGCCUAAUUGCUGUCGGAGCAGCAAUUAUCCGAAACGCACCUAAAACAGCAUAAGUCCGGUAGUCCGUCGAGUGUCCCUAGGACUCCUCGAAAGAUCCACGGCGUGUUUCAUCACCAUACAUCAGGAUAAUAUCCGCGAUGGGAUAACAUCAACAAACAUUACAUUUUUACAUACAUAAUUAAGAGGUACGAGUUAUUACAAGACUUCAAGUUGAAACAAACUUAGUGAUGCAUAGUUAGACAAGCUCUAAGAUUAAACAUAAGUAGUUUAGGAGAAGAUGCGUUGAUAAACGGUUUGCUAGAGUAUUGAGAGACUCAGGUCAAUACUCUAGGUCUUCGGGGUCUCCUCCUCGACAGCUUCUUGGGUAGCUUCUGAAAGAUAACCACAAGGGGAAAACCCUGAGUACGGGGUACUCAGCAAGUCUUACCCAACUAACCACUAUAAUAGUUUUUCUUUUGGAAUGCAUGUCGGCCUUUAGGUGUGCUUGGUUGACACAAUUUUUGCCGAAAAGCUUACUACGAGUGAAGCCUUAGUUUUGUCUUUUAGUUUAGUUAAGUUAUUACCUAACCGUUCUAGAUGGUAACAGAAGUAAAAGCAAUCACAGCUGUUGAUUCAUACAAUACUUGGCAACAAAAAUUUUAUAUCACAUGAGUUCAUGCUACGAAGCUCAACGGUGAUCAAGUGCAUUCAUAACCGAGAAUUGCGGCGAUCCGGAUCAGAUUACAUCCUGCAGGAGAGCACCCGAUCACCCGCAUCAUACGACUGUCCAGGUCGUACUAGCAACCUCUCGAUUAGUAAAGUCAAUGAUUAGGAACACAACUACCCGGACCCAGGGAUGCACCCCCACAUGGGACCCCACGUCUGGCCUGAUCCCCAUGUGAGUUUCAGGCUACACCCCUGCCAAUCUCCAGCACGUCAAAUGCGGGUACGAAGCAUUCCUGAUCAUAGAAUUUACUAACCUACUGGGCUUUACUGGUCCCAUACCCAGUAAGUGAUCAGAUGUUAUCACUUGAUCAGUGGUUAAGACACGGCCCGGUCCUUAAGCAGAUUAAUGAGCAGACAGAACUACAUCUCUAGCUUCUGUCUGGUUCUAUACUUCAAACUAUCCUUCAUAAACAGCAUGUAUGAUUAAGAGUUUUCCCUAAGGUUGGUAAACCAAGCAUGUAAGCAAGUAAGCAAUUCUAGACUUGGGUGGUUUCUAGGAUUUGAACAAGUGGCAAAGAUGUCCUUAAUUCAAGGCAUGAUCAUACACAAGAAUAGGUUUCAUCCAACUCCUAGACCUAGUGCAUACAAUAACCAAGUAACCUAUAACUAGUCACAUGAAAUAACGAUUCCAAAAUAGAUAGGUAUAAAUGCACCGGGGCUUGCCUUGAUCGUUAAAAAGAUUAGCAGACGCCGACGGAUUCACUUCACAGGGGACAAAUUCAAACACCUCCUCGGACUCCAAAGGUCCUUCUGAAAAUUCCCAGUAAUCUUCUUCCGGCGCUUCUGGAUCUACGGUAUAUAUGCAGGGGUUAGAAUGCAAACUUUUUAAACAACAGACUAUACAACUUUCCUUCAUGAUAAAGUUGCAAGCCAACAAGGACUAUACGACUUAUCAUGGGUAAGUUGUAAGUCAACACACAAAAGAAAUCUAAAAAGAUUAACCUAUAUUUUUAUUUUCUUAUUUAACCCUUCCUAUAGCUUUUUCUUUUAUUUUUAGAAAAAGUGGUAAUUAUUUUCUAUCUUGAAAUUCUAAUUUCCUAUGAGUUAUGGAUUAUUUGUGAUUAAUAAAGUGUUAUUUAUAUUUUAUACAUUUUAUAAAUAUUAAGUAUUUAUUUAAUUACCUUAAAAGGAAGGCAUUAAAUAAAUACCUAAAUUUUUAUUAUUUUCCUAGGGUGUAAAAAUUUUAAUGCAUAAAGGAAAAUAAAACAAGCCUAACGAAAUUGGUUUCACUAAUUUUGGACAUUCCUACAAAUUUCUGUGAUUAAAAUGGUGUAAAAAGAUUUUAAACGGAUUAUUUUAUUAAAGAAAUCUAACUUUUUCCCGAAAAUUCCCUCGGAAAACUUUUCUUACGCAGCUCAACUCUACCCCCCUCUCAUGCGUACCGGGCCCCACGACGCGGACCCACCUAUCCUCCUAUUCCCCCUACCCGCUGGCCCUUUACUCCUUCUGACGGGCUCCGUGGGCCGCUUCUCCUUCCCUUUCUCCUGUUAGCCCAACACCGGCCCAUGGCCCCUUUUUCUUUUUCCUUCCUUUCUCACGCGACGUCGGCCUGCAUCCGCUGGGCCCCCAGCCCUUUUCCUUUCCGGCCGACCGCACGCGCGUUACUGGGCCGCGAAACGCCGGCCCAAGACGACCGCACCGCUCUGGCCCGCGCCUUCCUCCCCCUUCUCUUACUGACAUGCGGGCCCGGUGCACAGCACCUUCUUCCUCCUCCCGCCAAAACGCAACCGGAACAGGGGGCGGCGCGGCUCGCCGGCCGGCGCCCUCCCGGCGGCGGGUCUCGACGACAACACCAACCCUAACCCUACACGACCUCGCGCGCGGCGACAGCUUCCCUGGAGGUGACCGGAGCUACCUCCUCCACGGUGACGGGCGGCGACACCCCCGGCCGGCCAUCGUUACCCGCGACUACGGCACAACCUAGCCAAACGACUACCCCGACACCAUCCUAGGACUCUAGGGACUCGACUACGACUGCUCAAGAAGAAAGAGAGACAGCGCGAGAGGGUUCUCACCGAGAGCGGGCGGUGCGGCGGCGGCGGACAGAAGCGGCGGCGAUACAAGGUGUUGCGGUGAGGAAGCUGAGCAACAAGUUGCUGGGGUUAUUGGUGGGAUGUAGGCGGAGGUGCGGACGGAAGGAAUCGAUGAGAGCUGUUCGGAGGUGGUCGAAUUUUGCUUGGCGGCGGUGGUUGACAGAAGAGGCACGGGCGGCGGUAAAAAGAGAGGCAGUGAAACGGCGGCGCGGGAGCAGUAGAUAUUCAAGGGUUUCACCGCGCGCAUGGGUGACACCGUGGUCUAGCCGUAGGUGUAUGUGGCGAGGAGGUGGCUUAGCUUAGCUGCGCUGGCGGAUGACCGACGACGGCGGCGGCGCCACGUCUCGGUGCUCAGUCACCGCCCGUGACCUUCAGAGCUUCUCCGCGGUUGAUCCUUGAUCCGAUGGCCUCUCGUGUUUUAACAGAACUUGAAGAUAAACUCAAGACCUUCAUCUUUUAUUUUGGCGUCAACUUGAGAUAAAGAUCGAAUUCACUGAAUUUUUGAAGUUUAGCUCGGGUUAGCUCUGAAUGUCGAUUGAAUUGCACUUGCUGUUCGUCAGUUCGACAGUGAUAUGGACUUUAAAUUGGGAACCAAUUUAAGGACUUAAGUCUUGUUUUUCCAGUCCAAUUUCUUCUCAAAGGUGUACUAUGAUCUCCCAAGUUUCCAUUUUGCACAAGAACAAGUACCUCUUUUGAUUUAAAUGGCUCUGAGUUCAAUCCCAAAGUUGAGACCACACUGUCAUUCAGACUUAGCAAAAGUUUCAGAGUUUCAGUCAUUUGUGAUCUUGUGCUGACUUUGAGCUCGAGGUUGACUUCCUUCCUUUUACUAUUCCUGGCCAACAACACAUGAUUAUUGCAGUCCAAAGUUUAUAUUUCAACAUGGUAUAGUUGUUCUAGUACACUUGGUUGGAAAAUUCUUCAGAAUUGAAUUUUGAAAACAGACUCUGGAACUGCUUUCUCUGAACCUAUUGUCGGACGAGGAACAGUAAACGGGAUUUCCCUUUUCUUCUUCUUUCUCUGAUUCUUUUGAGAUAUUUAGCACCAACUCAGCUCCAAAUUUCGAUUCCUUGCUUCCAAAUAAUCCCAUACUUGUAUUCCACAUGUUGGACAACUUUUUCUGAAUUUCAAAUUUGAAAUUCAAAUUUUUGGUCAAAAUUUGGCCGAAUUUGAUCUUUUUGCCAUUUUUCUUCUCUUUUCUUUUGGAUUUCUUUCUGAAUUUUUCAUAGUCACUAUGUUACUUAAAAUGGCACUUAUUACAACCCCGCCGCUGGUGAGCACCUCCAUAGAGUCCCCUUGACCUCCUCUUCCAAUCCCCAUCCUCACGACCGGACUGCCCCCAAUCCCGCUGGUCAGAAGCCAGCCGCCAUGGCCAUUAGAAGCUCUUUGAGCUUUUGUGAUUAGGCCACUUGGAGAUCCUGUAAUGUUUACAAGUUUUCCUAUGUCUUGCUCCUUUUACAAUGAACCCCAUAGACUUUAUCUGAUCCUUGCAAUCGAACCAAGUUGUAAUCUUUAUCAGAUCUAACCUCGAGCCUUAUCAAUUUCGCGAGCACUCUUUGAUGUGUCUUGCAAAUCUUCUCUGCUAGCCCCUAUUGUCUAGGGUUAGUCACGAUUAGACCCUGUAGCUUGUUUCAUCGAUCCUUUGUUUUAGCUCCGUUUAACCUCAUUCUUAUUGUGUUAGGUUGAUGAUAACAUAAAUUACACGUUAGUAAUGAUGGUUUCCAUCAUGCAUGUUUUUGAAAAUAAAUUUAAUAUUAAUUUUAUUGAUGCCUGUUAAACAUGUCUUCCUUAAUUAAAAGCUACUAUACACCUCUUUUUAUAAUCAAUGUUAAUUUGAUUAAUGCUUACUUCAUAUAUUUUUCUAAAUAAAAGCUAAGUAGAGCUACACCUCGGUUUUUCAUAAACUAAUGUUAAUUAUUUUAAUAUUCAACACUGAGUCAACUUUUCCAAAUAAAAGUUGAUUAGGCUUUUACACUGGCUUUUAUAAAUAAAUAUUAACUUGAUUAAUACCAACAUGAUUAUGUUUUCAAUAACAAUUUGAUCCACUUGAAUCAUAAAGUAUAUGUUUAGAUCUUUCAUAUAGUUUGGCUUUUCUAAAAGUUAAAUGUUUAAAUGAUAUAAUUUAUACUUCAAUAUUUACAAUUAAAAUAUAGAUAAAUUAUAACUCGGUUUUUCUUAAUUAUUGAUAAAAUGACCAAUGUCAAUAUGAAUGUGUUUUCUAAAUAAACUUUGUUUGGCCCAACACGACAGAUGUAUUAAUUCGAUUACAUGUGUUCAUCUUUCUAAAGUUAAGUGUUCAUCUUUUUUUAUUUGGUCUAACUUUAAUCAUUGACAAGUAAGCCUAAUAAUAAUCAUUGAUGGGUGGAACAAUUGUUUUAUUGGUACGUGUCCCUCUCCAUCUCCCCCAACCGGCCCUACCCCGCGUCCAAGCCCCGGCGACGCCCGCCGCUGCGUUCCCCGCCCGCGUCGCCGUCCCCGAGGAGAUCCACAUCCACCGCGCCGUCGGAGACCCUCUCCUUCCUCAUCGCGAGAACCUUCUCCAGCAACGGCGCCUCGUCUUCCUACUCGAAGCCGCUGCCCUCGCUCUUCCGCGGCGUACGUCCCAGCCCCAAGCCCGGCGCCGCGCUAGCCGGCGCUGCCGCGGCAUCCCGAGCGGUCCUUACCCCGCACGCGGCUGCAAUCAAGUCCCGCCGAUCAGUCUCGGCGCCCGUCGAGAAGCUCCUGGAGGAGGGCAGUGGCUUCGAGGCUUCCGAGGAGCUCCCUUCCACUGGAAGCUUGGAAACAGAGGUAGAAGAAAAGGGGAACUCGGAAGUGGUUCCUGAACCGACAAGAGCAAACCGCCAGUGGGAGUGGGACUGAAGAAUUUGAAGAGGAGAAACAUGCAGAAGUGGAAAUUGAAGAGAGUUCUGGGUCUACAAAGCUGGUGCAGGCGAGUACCCUUGAUUCUAUAGUCGCUGACGAUUUCAGUGGGCAUGAGCAAACGCUGAAAAUGGCAGCAUGGUGGAAACCGAUCAAGUUGAGAACCAUACUGCAGUUGUCUAUGAGGAAAAUGCAUAUGACCAAACUGGAGAUGAUAAUUAUGUGCAAUCAGCUCAGAGUAUGGAUCCAAUUGGGUCCGUUUCUGAGGAAAGUUUUGAUGAUGAUCGGGAGGCCGACAGAUCCGACAGAAUCAUCGAAGACCAAGUGGAAUCUGAGAGUUCAAUUGAUAAGGUGAUCGAGGAGAGAAUGGGGCAGCUGGAGAUCAGCAGGAAGGCUGAGAAGAAUGCAGAGAAGAAACAGAAAGUGUCGAUGAAACCGUUGGAGUUGGCAGAGGAGCUUGAGAAGAGGCAGGCCUCGUUUGGUCAACACUGGAAAGAAGGAGCAGCUGCCCAACCCAUGCAACUAGAGGGGAUAGGAAAGGGCCCACCAGCUAUUGGUUACAUGCAAAUCGAGAUGGACAACCCAGUAACUCGUGCCAUGUCCUCACCGUCAUUUAGGCCGGACACCAGGUGCUGGCAGUUCAUGGGAGCUAUAUAGCGAUGGGCACGUCUAAAGGUGCUGUCAUUGUCAUUCCAAGCAAAUACUCCAUUCAUCAAGCUGAAUAUAGCUAUAUAGCUAUAUACUCCGGAUUCAGUAUUUCGAUUUUUGGUAAGUCCUCUGGAGAUACCAAGUUGAAACCCAAAGUAUAAUCAGGACCAUUCCUGCACAUAUCUGUAAUCUUUGAAAAUAAAAGACUCGAUGAAUCUGAAAUCUUCUUAUCCAAACUAAAAGCUAGAACGAUAUUGCUUUUGACCCUGUCAGGUUUUUUAUGUUUAAUGAUUUCUUUGGUAUGCUACACUGUGUUGGUAAUAUCAUGGUCCAUCGCUGAAGGAUUAACUUAAAGAAUGCAUGCAGUUUUUUAUUUCUUUCAUUGUAAUCACCUUCAUAUUGUCCUGCUGCUAUUUCAGAGACGUUAUGUGAAUAGGACAAUUGUUGAACUUGAGGCUGCAGCACAGGAAGAACUUAAGAUAUAACUGAACUGCGUCUUGCAAAGCUUUUCUCAUCAGAGCCGACUGUUCCCUCUACUACUACUAAAACCCCCAACAUCCAAUCAGAUAAAGCAGCAGGUAUCAAUUCCAUUCGAUCUGCGGGAGCUAGAGUUGUCGAAACGAGAUUGGGUUCGCGGAGUUGGAAGAGUUCCAUGUGUGGAUCCCAGGUAAUAAACAGAUAGCAUUAAACCACCCACAAAUGUCUUCUACUACUGUACUUGCAAAGAGAGGACUAGGACAGCGCACCAACAUAUUGUGAAGCGAAGCUAACGUAUUAGUGAAUAAUAACGUGAGAGCAAGUAUGGGCCCGUAGCAACGCACGGGCAUUUCUGCUAGUGAACAUUUAUGAAUAAAACUUGAUUAGGUUUUUAAAUAAAGUAUAAUUUGCAUUAAUUCCAACAUAGGUUAUUUUUCUUUCUUUACAUAUGUUUUGUUAAUUAAAAUAAACCGGGUGUGACAAGAGCAAUCUUGGUUAAAUCCUAUAUACUGCACAUUUGCAUAUUUUGUGUGAGAAAUUGUAUGAUGUGUGACAGCUAGAAAUUUGCUCUACAUAUACCUAACUUUUUAUGCGCGGGUGCGGCUGACUAGCUUCUCCAGAGCAAGCAGACUCAUGCCCCUCCCGCAGGUGUAGUUUGGUCAAGGAGGGAGCAGAGGCGCCGGCCACCUCACACAUCUGUCACGGUUUAACUUGUCACUAGUGGCAUGUCGGGCGUAGGGCUAUGUUUCUUUUAAACUAAAUAGCACAGAAUGGAUAAUACAGCAUUUUGCAAUCGCAAAUAUGUGUGUGUGUGGGUAGGGGUAUUGUUACGUACCGUUGAGAGAAUUAGAAGAAAGAUCCAGCAUUGUUAGCUGGGUCAAAUUAACAAUUGAGCUUGGUAUGCUUCCGGAAAAAUUGCAACCUCGAAGAACUAACCAUCUCAACUUAUUGAGCUGCCCAAUUGCAUAAGGUAUCAACCCAGAAAUCUGACAACCAUGAAUGUCCAUGGCUUCCAAGUUAGUGAGGUUGCCAAUUGGAGCCGGCAUUGAACCUGAAAACCCAGAAUCCACGAUAUACAUGUUUCUCAAAUUUGUGAGCUUGCCAAUUGCAGGCGGCAUUGGCCCUGAAAACCCACAGUGUGCUAUAUACAUGUUUCUCAAAUUUGUGAGUUCACCAAUUGCAGCUGGCAUUGGUCCUGAAAACCAAGCAAACUCGAUAUACAAGUUUCUCAAAUUUGUGAGUUCACCAAUUGCAUCUGGCAUUGGUCCUGAAAAUCCAGCACCCUCAAUAUACAAGUUUCUCAAAUUUGUGAGUUCACCAAUUGCAGCUGGCAUUGGUCCUGAAAACCAAGAUAAUAUAUACAAGUUUCUCAAAUUUGUGAGGUUGCCGAUAGAAGAUGGCAUGGAGCCAUAUGUUGUGCAAUAAUGCAUUUCAAGUGUUUGCAAGCCCGUGAGGUUUCCAACUGCAUGAAGUACUGGACUUGGGAGGUCGCAGUUAUCUAUUUCCAAGUUUUUCAAGUUCAUGAAGUUGCUAAGUAAGAUAGGCGGUACCCCAGAGAAGUUACAUCCAAAGAGUCCCAAACUUGUUAGGUUUUUGUGCUGGCCAAUCCAUGAGAAAAUUGGACCUAAGUCGCUUCCUGAGUCCAAAUCGAUGUCCAACUCAUUAUCCAAAAAACAAUGAAGGUCCAACUGGUGUAGAGACUUAAGUCUACCGAAUGCAGAGAGAAAAUCCACAGAAAUUAAAUUCCUGUUAAGGGCCAACUCCUUCAGCGACGCAAAAUUACUAGAAGGCGUUGGUAUGGCAUAUACAAAGUUGGUCCCAUCUAGUCUCAAAGUUUCUAAAGAGCUGGCAUUAGAAAAGUUUGGCACAUGGCCUGAGAGAUUCAUAUUAUAGGACAAAUCGAGGACCCUUAAAUUUUUCGAUUGAAAGGGUCUAGAGGGUAACCGCCCCUCAAGAUUUGUCUCAGAAAGUUGAAGCACGGUUAAAUUGGGAAAAUCCAUGAAGAACUCUGGAAAUGGACCAGCAGCUGCAUCAAAGUUUCCUUGGAGGUUGAUCACAACAAGAGAAUGGAGUCUCGAGAGCGCUUUAUGAAUAGGACCACUCAGGGAACAAUCAGCCAAACUAAGUACCUGAAGUUGAGGAACAUAUGCAGCAAGAGAUGUGCCCCACUCUUCUCCACUAUUAGACAAAUCCACCGAGUCAAGGUAGAGCUCUCUUAAGUUGCUGAGGUUUGCCACAAAGGUAUCAAAACUUGAUUCCCAUAAAUUGUUAUAAUAAUCAUAAUAGUUUGGACCAUAAAAACCGAGAGAAUAAUCAAUAUUGUAUGUUGAAAGAUCCAAUGAGAGAAGGUUCACUAGUUUACUGAUGCUAGGAGGUAUCUGACCAUAUAAUCCUGAAUUGGAAAGGUUUAGGUGGGUUAAAAAAGUGAACCUCUCAAAACCAGCAGAUUGGAUGUUGUCUCCACCGAUGUCAUUCAUGCUAAGGUCGAGUCGCCAAAGUGAUAUGAGGCUGAAGAGUGCAGGGUCCAAGCCAUGACUUGACAAGCAACGGUUGUUGAGGUCGAGAAUGGUGACAUGGCCAGACGAAGGGUCACAGCCAACACCCUCCCAGAGACAACAGUCGGUACCAUUUCGCCAUGAUGAAAGCCUGGUAGUGGAUCUGCUGAAGGAGAAGGACUUCUUCAGCUGGAGGAGCGCCUUAGCUUGGUUUGGAUGGCACAAAAAUGAGACAGGGAGGUGAGUGAGGUUACCACCAUCAGCGCGGUGGGCAAUGGAGGUGGAGAGUAGUGUGUGGAGCUGAGCAAGAAAGAGCAGUAACACCCAGCCGAUGGAAGCCAUAGCAACUUAGUAUGAGCCGACGAUAGGCUUACAAAGAGGCACAAGGCAGAUACAUAAUGGAUUGUCUAGUCUAGUAAUGCGCGACAGAUUGUUAUGCAGCUUCCAGCAGCUGUCAAGUCUUUGUCCAUUAAUAAAUUAAUUAAUUUACGAGUACCAUGGCUAAGCUGUACGCAAUUGCGACACCUGAGGAGACUUGACUGUACCAUGGGCUAGCUGUACGCAAUUGCUACACCUGAGGAGACUUGACUAGCCUUUCGUCAAAUGCUGUUGGUAUCAUCCACUGCUACAACAGUGACCGGUAAUUGGAAGUCUCACUAUAGCAAGACUUCCAAGUCAACUAAGCCGGCCGCUACAUUCUGAGGAAGGUGGAAUUGAAGAUCAAAUCAAGUCGGGCGUUGGGAAGAAUUAGUCCGCACUCCGCUGAUAACAACAUCGAAUAUACUGAUCUGAUGUGCUUCAUUUUUUUUUGGGUUGGAGUGGAGCGGCAUCAAGAUCCUACUGCUGUGGAAAACACUGAAUUGACUCGUUUUAUCUCCCACAAAACGUGGCUGAAGAUGAUAGUGGUGCUUCAAGAAACAGCGAGAUGGAGCAAGUAAAAAUGCAGUUGAGCCGCAGCUAAAACUUGUCGAGGUUACCACGAUGCUCGUGAAUCAUAGUAUUCCAGCCGCGGUAGUUCUCGUCUUGUCGAAGGAGAUGUUGCAGUGUUCACGUCUAGAGCUCAUCCAAUCCAUGGCGUUCCUCUGGCCGAGUCGUCGAUACGAAGGAGACGUCGCGUCACAUGCGUGUUCCUCAUGUCACCUUUGCCUACGACCAAUAAGACGAUGACACCAGAACCUUUUUAUUUUUUCCCCUAAUCAGCAGCUUUCAAAGCGGGCGCCUGCGGACAGCACUGUCCGCGUCAGAUUUGGCACACAUUAGCCGCAGUUGCACUCGUCCACGUCCGGUCCUCCCCCACCCCACCCCACCACCACCACCACCACUGAUUGCCGAAGCUCCCUACACUACAGGGUAAGGAACAGCUAAGAUCUGAGCAAGUAAAGUCGGGAUAUUUAAUUAUUUGCCAUUCUUAUAACGAAUUCCUACAUAUCUGUCAUUGAAGAAAGAAUUAGUCUAUACUUUUACCAUUUUUGCUGAUGUGGUGAGCCACAUCCUCGUGCUAGCAUGAAUUGAGCAUGGCAAUGACCAUAGUGCCCCUGCCUCCCUCACGUUAGCCAUCCCCUUCCCUCUAUCCUACCACUAAUGGAUGGGGACUCACAUGUCAGGGUCAUCUUCAACCUAUUGCCGCAUGGUCUUCCGCUGUUGUGCGGCUCCUCUACGGUACAUCACGGGGGAGGAUACCACGACUUGGAGGUGUCGGGUGGACUACAUUUUCACUCAGAAGGACCUUAAUCUAGGACAGCGUCGUUGGUUGGAGUUGAUCAAGGACUAUGAUCUGGAAAUUCACUAUGAUCCUGGUAAAGCAAAUUUGGUUGUAGAUGCCUUGAGUUGGAAGGGUCAUGCUAACAUAGCUUUGGCAUUUCAGCUGCCUGAAGAGUUGAUGAAGGAGUUUGAGAAACUUAACUUGGGGAUAGUUGCCCAUACUGAAGGAGUGACUAUGGAAAGAAAUACGGAAUGGACAGCUUGAGGAUGUUGAGAUCAAGGAGAUCAAGGAACUUAUGAAGGAAGGGAAGGCUCCAGAAUUCAUAGAGGAUGAUCAAGUGACUAUAUGGCUCAGAAAGAGGAUUUGUGUACCGAAUGUGGGAGAUCUCAGAGACACCAUCUUGAGGAAAGCUUGUGAUUCAGCCUACUCAAUUCGUCCUGGGAGAACCAAGAUGUAUCAAGACCUCAAGAAGAAGUAUUGGUGGUAUGGGAUGAAGAAGGAUGUAGCUGCACAUGUGGCCCUAUGUGAUAGAUGCUAGAGAGUUAAGGCUGAACACCAAAGACCAGCUCGAUUGCUUCAACCAUUAAAGGUUCCUGAAUGGAAGUGGGAGGAAAUCAAUAUAGAUUUCAUUGUUUGUUUGCCCCGCACCUAAGAUGGAUAUGAUUCAAUAUGUUUUAUAGUGGGUCAAUUGACCAAGGUAGCUCACUUCAUCCGAGUGAGAACCACCUAUGCUGGGUCCAAGAUGGCAAAGCUGUAUAUAUCAAGGAUUGUGUGUUUGCAUGGUGUACCCAAGAAGAUAGUGUCUGAUAGAGGUACUUAGUUCACAUCCUGUUUCUAGUAGAAGCUGCAUGAAUCCAUGGGUACAAAGCUAAAUUUCAGCUCAUCUUAUCAUUCUUAGACAGAUGGACAGAUUGAUAGGACAAAUUAGAUUCUAGAGGAUAUGUUGAGAGCCUGCGCUCUAAAACAUGGAGGUAUUUGGGAUAAAAGUUUGCCUUAUGCUGAGUUCUCUUAUAACAACAACUACCAAGCCAGUCUCAAGAUGUCACCCUUUGAGGCUCUAUAUGGAAGGAAGUGCAGAACCCCUCUGUAUUGGAGUGAGACAGGAGAGAGUCAAUUAUUUGGGCCAGAGAUUAUCCAAGAAGCUGAAAGGCAAGUUCAGAUAAUUAGAGAGAAUAUGAGGACAGCUCAGUCCAGGUAGAAGAGUUAUGCUGAUACUAAAAGGAGAGAAUUGAUCUUUUAGGAAGGUGAUUAUGUGUAUCUUAAAGUGUCACCCAUUAGAGGCUUACGCAAAUUUAAGGUUAAAGGGAAGUUGCCACCUCACUUUAUUGGACCCUUCAAAAUUCUAAAGAGAAUGGGGAAGUAGCUUAUUGGUUGGUGUUACCCAAUCAGCUCUCAGAUGUGCAUGAUGUGUUUCAUAUCUCUCAGCUAAAGAAGUGUCUCAGAGUUCCAGAGGAAUAGAUACCGAUGGAGGAUUUAAAUGUAAAGGAUGAUCUCACCUACACUGAAUACCCUAUAAAAAUCUUGGAUACUCUAGCACGUGUUACCAGGAAUAGAGUGAUCAAGAUGUGUAAGGUACAAUGGAGCUACCAUGCAGAGGAUGAGGCAACAUGGGAAAGAGAGGAUGAACUGAAGGAGGAAUUUCCCCAGCUCUUUGCUAAUCCAUCCGAAUCUCGAGGACGAGAUUCUUCUUAAGAGGGUAGGAUUUGUAACACCCUAAUUUUCAACUUUUGCAAUUUAAUAAAAUUUGUUAGAAAUUAGGUGCAUGUGUCUAAGGAUUUUAAGGUUGCAGUUAAAUUUUCUUAGGCAAUUAAAUCUUUUUCAAAAUAAAGUAAUGAAUCAUAGGAGUUUAUUAUUGCAUUCGUGCUGGUGCAUUAUUUUUGGUUGCUUGAAUUCAAAUUUGUGUUUGAAUUCAGUUUUGAAUUUAUGUUUGUUUUCCCUUCAAACAAUAGGAAACCCUUUUCGUUUUCCCUCCUUUUCUUCUCUCUCUUUCGGCCCGUCUCCUUUUUCCGGCCCAACUCAGCCCGGCGCCCCACUCCUCCUCCGCCUGUCGCAUGCCACAGCCCAGCAGCAGCCCAACUCCCAUGUCGGUUCGUUCCGCCUCGGCCCAACACCACGCGCCCGCCGCCACCCGAUGACAGGCGGGGCCCGCCUGUCAUCUCCUUCCUUCGGUCGCCCACGCCGCAACCGACUCGGGGUCGAUCCCGAAUCCUCUGUGCUCACCUCCACUUGGCCCGCACGCCAAGGUGCCUCCUUCCAGGCCUAUAAAAGCACCGCCACAUCUCCUGCACCUCGCACCAAACCCUAGCUCCAAGCCACAGCGCUAACGCUGCAACCCUAGCUAGCCGCCCGCUGUCGUCGAUUUGUGCCGCCGCCGCCUUUCCGUCGCCAAGAAUACCCCCAGGAGCUUUGCCGCAAGGUGAGGAAGCCCCUGGUGCGGGUCUCGUGCGCUCCCAUGCCUCUCUCCGGGCGCACGAGCUCGUUGGAGUUGGGCAAGCUCGGCCGGGCCACCUCGUUGAGCCUCCGGCCACCACUAGCACCCAAUCCUCCUCCUCAACACCCUAGAUUGACUCUUCGUGUUAAAAACCAUGCCCAGAAACUCAAUUCCGAGCAAAGUUCAGCGUGUCGCUGCUCGUCGUCAUCGCGCGCUGCUCGCGUCCGCCGCCCACGCGCCGUCCAUGUCCUCUCGGCAGCCGCUAGCUGUACGAUCUGCUUUGGACAGCUCAGAUCCGAUCUAACCCGAGUCAAACCAACACGUACUAGUCAACCCCCAUGCCGCACCGUUCAUUUUGCUAAAUAGUCCCUAGGUUUUAGGGGUUUUGCACCCAAGGUCCAGAGUAGUUCAAAGAUCUUUAGAUCUCGGUCCUUUUUCUUCUGUUCUAGCCCUUGAUCUUUUGCAAAAUAGUGCCCACAAUCCUAGACUCUCUCUUUUGUGCGUUAAACCUUUAGUUUAUACGCAUAUUUAUGUUUUAGCCCUCGGUUUCUUCGAGCUUAACCCCUAAAAGUUUUAAAUCUUUGCCAGCAAGCCCUUGCACCUUGUUUAGUGCACAUCUUUAGCGUUUUAGGUCCAUUUUAAGUGCUUCCUACGUCUAUGAGUUCAUCUUUACGCAUAGAUUAGUUUUAUGAUCUUGUUUCUCUCUGUUGUUACUGAUUGAUGUAAUAUUUUCUUAUUUUAUUCCUUUGCUUGCUUGUACGUGAUCGUGUGAUGCAUUAGAAGGACUGUAGCUCGAGGGAUUCAGAGGUCAAGACUUUGAAGACUACGAGCAGCUGGAGCAAAUCCAAGAAGGCAAGUCAUGCCCUUGAUCACAACUUGAAGCUAUGAAACUUUUUAAUUUCCUAUUUAAUAACAUUUAUGCCAUGCACUUUAAGUUACAAACAUGAUGUGUCCUAAUUAAGGAGGAGUGACUAGUUUUAUUCCCAAUACCUCGAUCAACCCGGGCUUACAUAAUGUUGGGUAGUAUAUGCUUAGUUGCUCAACUUGGGUAUGGUGGUAUUAAUGAACUCAAUGGUUAAACUUGUUUUAUUUAUGAUAUGCCUAUCAUUAACACAAAAUCACCAUACUUAAUUAGAACAUGGAGAACCAACUGGGCAAACAGUACAACCACAAGAACUAAAUGGCUCUGGUCUUGACUAAUUAAUUAGAGAUUUUAGUCUGGGGUAAUCUUACCGAAAGGGCAAGAUGGGCGGCGGCAAAUGGGGUAUAACCCGGUCCACUUGGGAAGUGAGCUUUGCCCUAACAUUAUGCCCACUGGCGAGGUUUAUACUCUGCUACUGAUCCGGAAACCUUAGCGGGUUACCACUUACUAGGGGCUCUUUGUGAAGAUCUCGUAGCGUCCCUAUGCAAUCGCACCUCGGUAGUGUGGUAUUGUGCAUAGCCUGCACAACAUGGUUGGGUAUAAAGUUCUUUUGAACUUUUACGCGACUUGUGGGUAAAGAUGUGCAAGCUCUAUAGAGUGUAAAACUGACCGAUCAGUCAUGCUCACGGUCAAGAGCGGCCUGGACCCUCACAUGAUUAAAUUAUCGGAAGUUGAAUUAAAUUGUUAUUAUUUAUUUCUGUUAUCUUUAUUUAUGUUCACAUUGAAUGUGGGUGGUAUAAACUUACCGUUUAGUAAAUGCUAAUAAAACUUGACCAGCCAAGUAAAUGCUAAUAAAACUUGACCAGCCAAUUAAAAUGCUUGACUUGCUAAUCAAUCUUAACCUAUCAUUGAAUGGCCAUACACUACACAUUCCUCACGCUUGCUAAGUACCAACCAUAAGUGUACUUACCCUUGCUAAAAUCGCUGCUCAGAACAAGUCAACGCUGUGGAUGUCUUUCAAGAUUGGGAGGAGUACUAGGCGCGUACGUGUUUCUCCAGUCAUCUGCCUGUGGAGUCGCCGUUUUCGUUGAAGAUCCACUGCGACAAUAAUACUCUUUUUGCCAUUCGGUUUAAAAGACUAUCGAUCAUGUAAUAAUUAUAUACUCUCUCUACAUUAUGGCAUUAUCUUUGUUACUCACUAAAGUCAUCGCAUAUGUGUAAUUUGAUUCUGAUGUACAUGUGAUUCAUGCAUCUGGUUUUGCCUUUAAAAUAGAGAUACAUGGCCUUUUAUAUUGUUUCUGGACAUGCUGAGAUAUCUGGUGUCCCUAAGAUAGGAUGCCCAGUUGGGUGGAACGGAAGAGAAUCCGUUGUUGGAAUAUCCCAAGAAAGAAGCUGAUGCGUUUGGCAUUGGGAUCUGCCCUAAAAGCCUAUUGAAACUAAGAUCAAGCACUAGUAGUGAUUUACUAAAAGGGAGAACAUCCGAAGCAAGUUGCAUGCCCGUAAGCACGUUAUGCGAAAGAUUCAAAUAAUAAAGGCUACUACUGCUCCAUGUCUCCCAGAUCCGAUUUGGUAUAUCCCCACUGAUUUUAUUAGAUGAAAGAUCCAAAUAUUGUAUAUUUUUAAGACACAUCAAAGAUGUUGGGAAUCGAAUUAUAUUGCAAGACGCGAGCCCUAAAUAGUAAAGUCUGGCCAAAUAGGUAGCCAAAGGAUUAUUACCAUCUGCAUCCGUGACAUGCAACUCAUUGUAGGAAAGAUACAAACUGGUGAGAUCAGUUGAUCUCCAAAAAUGGGAGAGGUCCACGGAACCUAUCAACUUGUUUCGAGCUAACAUCUAUAAGUACCAAACUUGUUAGUUGAAAGAAGGCCUUGGGAAUAAAACCUGACAGAACAUUGUUGCUCAAGCGCACUUUCGCCAACCGUGAUUCUGCCUCGUCAAAGCCAUAUAUGGGGCCAGAAAGUUGGUUGUAAGAAAGAUCCAGGACACUUAAUGCAGGAAGACUGAAAAUAGAUGGUGGAAUCUCUCGUGCAAAGACAAUAGAAAACAUUAAGUUAGAAAGUGUCUCCUCUUCUAGAAAUAUCUGAAUUCAGAAAAUGAUGGCUCCUAUUUUGUUCAGAACAUGAUAAGUUAUGCCACUGAUACUGUACCAUCGAAAAAGCUCCCAAGUCUAGUUAUUUUAUCCUUAGAAAGUUGCAUGACAUAGACUCUAAAGCGAACACUUUAUGUGGUUACACUUAAAGAUUGCUUUGUUUCACCACUCAGUCCAACUGCAGAACGUGCGGCUAGCGGCUUUCACCGAGGAGCAAACUGGAGGGCAAGAGGAGAAAAUCACCAGAAUCAAGUAAGCUGGGGUAGCAAAUCGCCCAUUUGUUCCUGUUUUGUUGGCGUGCUGUUUAUGGGUAGUGUUGUUUAUUUUUAGGUGUAUGCAAAAUGUAUUCUUGAUGAAAUAUGUUGCAUCACAUAUUCUCGAAUAAAAAAGUGAAAACAUUGGUGCUCUGUUGAAUUUCAAUUAUAUUGCUGGAAUUCCUUCCUCCAUUUUUUUUCUUUUUCCUUUUCUUGAUUUUCAAUUAUGUUUGAUGGAAUUUCUUUGAUUCAAAUUUGACUAUAAUUUAUUGAGCUUCAUGCACCAAUCAGUUGCACCUAAAGUCUUAACCCGAUUGGGAAGGACGACAGUUCUAUUAUACUUCAACAUGAUUAACACUCGAAUUCCAAGGAAAACCACUUCAAAUCCCAACAGCCAAGUGGAGCCACAUCACAUUUCGAAGGGGAGAAUGGAGCAUCUGAUUAGAGAAAAGAUACUUCCAAAAUUUGAUUUCUCUGACUUAGAUCAAUCCGUUGACUGUAUUAAGGGAAAAUUUGCAAAACAAAUUAAAAAGGAUGGAGCUAAGCACAGUUCAGGAUUAUUAGAAAUAAUUCAAACUCAUAUAUACGGUCCAUUUAAUGUAAGAUCAGUGGAUGGUUAUAAUUAUUUCAUUACCUUCACUGCUGAUUUCUCCCGCUAUGGAUACAUCUAUCCCAUACUUGAAAAGUCUGAAGCACUUGAUAAGUUUAAAAUCUUUAAAGAUGAAGUAGAAAAUCAGCAUGACUUAAAGAUCAAAGUGGUAAGAUCAGACAGGGAAGGGGAGUAUUAUGGGAAACACUCCACAUAUGGACAAAUUCUGGGACCCUUUGCCAGAUUUAUCCAAGAUAAUGGUAUAGCGGCUCAGUAUUCCACUCCUGGUGAGCCUCAGCAAAAUGGUGUUGCUGAGAGAAGAAAUCGCACUCUUAUGAACAUGAUGGAUAGUAUGCUCAGUAACUCUACGCUGCCAGUGAGUUUGUGGAUGAAAGCUUUAAAGACUGCCGCGCACAUUAAUAAUCGUGUUCCUAGUAAGUCAGUUCCUAAGACUCCUUAUGAGCUUUAGACUGGUAGGAAGCCUAGUAUGAAUUAUUUACAUAUAUGGGGCUGUGCAGCUAAAGCAAAGAUUUUUAAUCCACAACUUGGGAAAUUAGAUCUAAGACUGAAAGUUGUUAUUUUAUUGGAUAUCUAGAAAAGUCAAAGGGGUACCGCUUUUAUUGUUCUAAGCGUACCACUAAGUGUGUGGAGACAAGGCAUGCUGUUUUCUUAGAGGAAACUCGAUGCACUGAGGCUAGGAAAAUUCAUCUUAAGGAGAUUCGGACUUAUGAGCCAUUACCCAUAAGAUAGAAUUAUUAUGCUUCUAUGCCAUAUACCAUAGUUACAUCUCAGGUGGUAGAACUUCCAGUAGAAAAUGUGGGAGUAACACCUACCUUAAGUGAUAAUGUAGAUGCACAUGUGAUACGUGAGCAUCAAGAUGAAGAUGUGGUAGAACCUGCUGGUGGAUUGCAAGGGGAGGCAACUGAUGAGCCCGAGGUGAUUCAGCAGGAACCGGCUCAAGUAGAAGCACCACAAGAAGUAACACCACAACAUCUGAGAAGGUCAACAUGUGAGAGGAAGUCCACCCGUUCCGAUGAGUAUGUGUACAUAAGUGAAGAAGGGCACAACAUGGGGAAGGUGGACGGUCCAAACUCAUUUAAGGAGUCCAUAAGAAGUGAACACUUGCAUAAGUGGAGCGAGGCCAUGGAAGAAGAGUUGAAGUCCAUGGAAGCAAAUAGAGUAUGGGACUUAGUAGAAAUUGCUGAAGGAGCCAAAACAGUAGGCUGUAAAUGGGUCUACAAAAUGAAAUAUGACUCUAAAGGUUAGAUUGAAAGGUUCAAAGCAAGACUCGUGGCUAAGGGCUUCACUCAAGUAGAAGGAGUCGAUUAUAAUGAAACCUUCUCGGCUAUCUCAAAGAAAGAUUCAUUUAGAAUCGUUAUGGUUUUAGUAGCUCAUUAUGAUCUUGAGCUACAUCAGAUGGACAUUAAGACUGUGUUCCUUAAUGGUGACUUGCAUGAGAAUGUAUACAUGAAGCAACCUGAAGGUUUCGUCGUGCUAGGCAAGGAACAUUUGGGAUGCAAACUAUGAAAAUCCAUUUAUGGAUUGAAACAAGCAUGCAGACAAUGAUACCUUAAGUUUGAUGAAGUAAUUAAGAGAAUUGGCUUCAUUGAAAAUAAGAAAGACAACUGCAUAUAUGUUAAGACUAAGGGGAGCUCUAUAAUGAUCCUAGUGCUUUAUGUGCAUGACAUCCUAUUAGGAAGCAGCGAUAAGAACUUGCUGCAUGAGACAAAGGGCUUUCUCUCAUCGAACUUUGAUAUGAAGCACCUCGGUGAUGCCGCUUAUGUCUUAGGCAUUGAGAUUCACCGAGACAGGUCCAAGGGUGUACUAGAACUCUCUCAAAGAGCUUACAUAGAGAAGGUCCUUGAAAGAUAUAAUAUGCAGCAAUGUUCAGGCACAACUGCUCUAGUUAUCAAGGACGAUAAGUUUGGGUCAUCCCAAAGUCCUAGGAAUCAAUUAGAAAUUGAUCAAAUAAGAACGAUUCCUUAUGGUUCAGCUGUCGGAAGUAUAAUGUAUGCAAAAGUGUGUACACGCCCUAACUUGGCCUUUAUAAGCGGGAUGCUUGGAAGCUAUCAGUCUAAUCCAGGAAUAGGCCAUUGGAAAGGAGUUAAGAAAGCUUUGUGUUACAUGCAAGCACUAAGAAUUACAUGCUAAUGUACAGGAGAACUGAGAAAUUAGAGAUAAUCAGCUAUUCAAAUGCUAAUUUUGAGGGUUGUGUUGGCACAAAGAGAUCCACAUUAGGUUAUGUCUUCACACUUGCAAAUGGGGCUAUAUCGUGGAAAAGCUCCAAACAAACAUUAAAAGCUGCAUCGAUGAUGCAAGCUGAGUUUGUGGCAUGUUAUGAAGCUGUGGGACAAGCUGUAUGGCUUAAGAGUUUCAUCCUAGGAUUAAGACUGGUAGACAACAUAAGUAGGCCACUAAAAUUAUACUACGAUAAUAAGUCAAUAAUUUUCUAUUCGAAUAACAACAAGUCAAGUGAUGCUGCAAAGCACAUUGAAAUUAAGUAUCUUGAUGUGAAAGAUAGAAUCCAAGAUAAUACCAUUGAGUUAGAGCAUAUAAGUACUAAGAAAAUGCUUGCGGAUCCAUUAACAAAGGCUUACCUCCCAUUAUAUUCAUUGAACAUGUUGCCGGUAUGGGAUUAUCGGAUAGCCUGUGAUCUUGGAGGGUCAUAAGACAACCGCCUCCCAUCAUGAUAGGUAGUUUUAUACAUUGUGGAUAACUGUGUCACAGUGGGAUUUUAAUCAUCAUUGUCACACAUUGUCUCCCUACAUAAUUCUGCUUUAAGAAUGGCAUAAGUUAUAGGCCUUUAGACCAAAGGGGAGAACGUUUGGAAAAAUAAUGUGGUGGUCAAAAGGCCGAGAGGAAAACGGGAAGGAUAAGAUUGAUGCCUCCCGAUCACAGUGGCGCUGGAGUUGGCCAAAGGCCAUCACCGCACCACCGUCGCUGUCCAUGGACAGACGAGGUGGAGACCUGAAGGGAGAUGUGAUCUACUCCGAGCUAGUACACCUAUGACAUCCGUCAUCCCGGCCUCGUCGAAGACCCUAAUGGCCAGAUCAUCACAAGCCGUGGCAGCUGGUUGUACUCUAACAUCUUCAUUGAGUGGUGUUCACGUUCUAGAUGUGCAAAGAUCCUGUUUUAGUUAAGAUUAAGUAAUGUAGAUUCCUACAGAGUUAAUGAAGCCAACCUCUCGAUUCCAGUAGCAAGGAUGUUGUCUGAUGGCAUAUCUUCAUCUUGUGCCCCACUAACAUCAUUCAUGCUAAGGUGAAGGCUAUUAGGCGGUGUAUAGCCGUAUAUAGCCGAUUUAUAGCUUUUCAUGUAUACUGAUUGUAUUCCUUGUAUACCAAACCAUAUUGGCUAUAUAAUAGAGGUCACCCCCCUCAUUAGGGUGCAUGGUGUUUUCCCAAACUCUAUCUCUCUACAUGGUAUCAUGAGACCAGGAUCAAUCUGACUGGGACUUUCCUUCCGCUCCACCUCUUCCCGACGCGCCUAACACUAGGUGCACCUCCUGUGCAGUGGCACUUCUCCCCUGCACCGGCGCCUCUCCCCACCUCCCUUCCUCCCAUGGCCAACGAUUCCUCUGCCAAGUCCUCCCUGUCCGGUGGCGGCCUUCUGUCCACUGGUGGCCCCAGGCUGGCGCCUGGCGAUGGCUCCCUGCCCAUCUCUGGUGACACCACCACCCCACUAGACCUGAACCAUUGGGCGGCUCAGGCGCCCUCCCUGCUGCUAGUGACGGCCCUGCACUGCCCCCGUGGCGGCAGUCUUCUCCUCCACCAGGCGCCGCCGGCCAUCAUCCACCGUUACGCCAUGAUCUCUGUCAAGGCUCACGUCCCCAUGACGUGGACGAUGAAAACCUUUGGCUACUCCAAGUGGGCUUUAUUCUUCAAAUCCAUGUGUGGAAAGUUCGGCCUCAAGUCACACAUCGACAGCACCGUGGUGUCCCAUCCUGACGAUUCCGAUUGGGAUCAAGCGGAUUGCUGCAUCCUCUUCUAGAUCUUUGGCUUUGUCUACAACUCCAUCGUGGACCUCGCCAUGGAGGACCACGAGUAGACCGCCAGGGCCCUCUAGCUCACCAUUGAAGGCCUCUUCCGCGCCAACAGGCAAUUUCGGGCGAUCUUCCUUAGCUACGACUUUCACUCCAUGACCCAGAGGGACAUUGGUCACCCCGUUCAGGACUCCCAGUUGGUCCUGAAUCUUCUCCAUGGCCUCAACCCGCACUACUCCAACACCACUGACGACAUCACCAACUCCCCCGCCAGCUUCCCGUCCUUCGCCCAGGCUUGUGACAUGCUCGCCUUGAAGGAGCUUCGCCUCGCCAACUUGCUGCUUACGUGCUGCUCUACGUCGAUGACAUCAUCCUCACCGCCUCAUCUUCGAUGCUCCUCCAGCACAUCAUGGCUAGUUUUCACUCUGAGUUUGCCAUGACGGAUCUUGGUGAUCUUCAUCACUUUCUCAGCAUCUCCAUCACGCGCUCCACUGACGGCCUGUUCCUAUCCUAGUGACAGUACACCCUGGACCUCCUCCAGCAUGCCAGCAUGGCUAAGUGUCACUCUACGGCGAGUCCUGUUGACACUCAUGCCAAGCUCUCGGCGACCGACAGCAACAAGCUCAAGGAUGGCUCUGAGUACAGGAGUCUUGCAGGGGCUCUCCAGUACCUCACCUUGACUCGACUUGACCUGGUAUAUGUAGUUCAGCAGGUGUGCCUCUUCAUGCACGAUCCCUGCGAGCCUCAUCUCACACUGAUCAAGCACAUCCUGCGCUAUGUGAAGGGCACCCUGUCCUCCGAGCUUCACAUCGGCACCGGCCAUGUCCAGUCCCUGACAGCCUACUCCGAUGCGGAUUGGGCUGGCUGCCCGGACUCUUGAUGCUCGACCUCCAGCUUCUGAGUCUAUCUUGGGGAUAACUUGGUGUCUUGGUUCUCCAAGCACCAGAGCAUAGUGUCUCGGUCCAGUGCUGAGGCUGAAUACCGGGUUGUGGCUCACGCUGUUGUAGAGUGUUGCUAACUUCGACAACUUCUUCAGGAGCUAUGUCCCCCUCGCUUUGGCCACUGUUGUCUACUGUGACAAUGUGAGUGUUGUCUAUAUGACAGCCAAUCCGGUUCAUCAUCGAUGCAGAAGCAUAUCAAGAUUGACAUCCACUUCGUCCGGGAGAAGGUUGCUUUAGGAUAGGUCCGAGUGCUUCACGUGCCUUCGUCCCAUCAGUUCAUGGACAUCAUGACAAAAGGCCUUCCAGUUCAGCUGUUCACUGACUUUAGGUCCAGUCUUUGCAUCCGGGAACCUCCCGCUGCGACUGCGGGUGGGUAUUAGGCAAUGUAUAGCUGUAUAUAGCUGAUUUAUAGCUUUCCAUGUAUACUAAUUGUAUUCCUUGUAUACCAAACCAGAUUGGCUAUAUGAUAGAGGUCACGUCCCUCAUUAGGGUGUGUGGUGUUUUCCUAAACUCUAUCUCUCUACAAAAGCGACAAAGGGUUGUCAAGCUGAAGACUGCAGGGUCCAAGCCAUUAUUGGACAAGCCACGAUUGUUGAGGUCAAGUACGGUGACAUUACUGGAGGCGUCGUUGCAGCCAACACCUUCCUAGAGACAGCACUCGGUACCAUCUCACCAUGAUGAAAGCCUUGUGGUCGAUUCAUGGAAGGAGAAUGACUUCUUCAGCUGGAGGAGCACCUUAGCUUGGUCUGGAUGGCACAAAAAGGGAAGAUGAGUGAGGUUGCCACCAUCAGCAUGGUGAGGUGGCAGGGAGUGUGAGGAGCUGUGCAAGACAGAGCAGUAACGCCCAGCCGGUGGAAGCCAUGGUCCAAUGGAGGUAUGAGCUGACAAGCGUCAAAAUGGCACAGAUAUAUAAUGGUAGUCUAGUCUAGUAAUGGGUGACAGAAUUGUUGUACAUCUUGUGAAGCGGUAGUUUCACACAAGGCUUCUUCCAUGAGCUUAAGUGAUGGUCGCAAUUCAGAAUCUCCAAGUCUCUGCCCCUGUAAACACGCCAAUCAAGUAAGGGUAAGAUACAGACGUACACUAGCAAUGGAUCAUGACAGUAAGUUAUGGAAGAGACUUGUUACAACUUAUGAGACUUUCCAUAGUUGCUGUCGGUAUUGUUCAGCACCACUGGACAUAAUUGCGACCUGGGAAGUGGAGCUCCAACUAUCAAGGCUUCCAUUUCAGAAAGAAAAAAAAGGACUUCCAAGUCAAGUAAAGUGGCUACGAACCGAGGAAGGUGGAGCUGAAGCACAAAUCAACUGGAUAAACAGUAAAAAGAAAGUAGAGUAAAAUUCACAAAACAUACCUCAAGCUUGUAGUUUUCUAAUACCAGAAAAACUCAAGUUUUCCGAAAUUCGCUGUUAAAAAAUGAAAAAAAGAAAACGAAGAGCAACGCUUUAUCUUUCAGCAUGCAAAAACUGGUAGCAGGUUAGGAUAUAAAUGAGGCAUGCAUCAGCAAUGCUAGAGCGAGGAUGCAGAACAAACAUUUAACGGUUUUCCAAAGUUGCAACGACGAUUGAAUUUAUCUUGUCCCUGGCGCAAUAUAACAGCACGAGCAUCCCAUGUUACAACAUUUGAAGCAUAACAGAGCCAACAUCCAAACAUUCAACAUUCAGUUAACACCAACCGUUCUGACUACAGCACAACCAGGUUGCAGUCUUGAACAACCAUAACACUAACCAGUUCAGAACCAAAUUAUCAGUCCCGCAUUUUCACUGGUAGCAGAGCAGCAGCACUUGCUUCAGUUUUUGAAGCUGCCAUGAUCCACUUCGUCCCAUCGUCAGAUGGUGCCAUCCUCACCAGCUCCAAGGAUAGUGCUAGAAAAGGAAGACAACGUCACAUUUUUAAUCAACCCAAUGCAAAAACAGAAAAAGAAAUUAAGCAAGAACAUUACACGCAAUUGAGAAUUUCUCCAUCAGUAAAAAAGAAAACUAGAAUAGGCAAUACACCAAGAGGAGCAUUAGAGUGAAGUACCUUCCAUCAAAAGACACUGCAGUCUGCCUUAUUGGUGAUCUGUAUUGCUGAUUAUAUAGCCUGAAAAUGAUACAGUAUUUGCAUCCAGAAGCAUAAGAGUUACUAAUACGCAGCACCAAUAAAAGUGGAGGACAAGAAUAACUGAAAUUCUUGCAUUAAAAAUUACCGGGCAAUUAGGACAGGAGGGCUUGACUGUACUUCCCACACAUAGAUUUUGCCUUCACGAUUUCCUGUUUGAAGCGGAGGAUGAUUAAUCAGCAAACGUUUCUAUGAAAAUCCAGUCAUAUAUUUUAAGUGUGAACAUUUUGCCAUGCCAAAACCUCUUUAUAACUUCUGGUGUGUGAAAUUUACAAAUCAAUAACUUAAAUAUAACUUUUAUGUCAGAAAACAGCCCAGAUCAUAGAUAUUACCUAUUGCCAACUGAUUGAAGUGAAAAUCGCACGAAAAUUUUAUAAACCAGAUGUCACACUCUGGCACAGGGUACUUCUGAAGAAUAUCGAUGCUUCCCUAUAUGAGGAAAGAGAAAGUCAUAUUACUUCAGAGGAAUGGGCAGUCAACGACUAGAAAUCAAAGAAACCGCUGGAAGUUAAAUUCAAGAAAAGUUAAAUUGUAUCACCUCCCUAGGACUUUGUUCUUUUGUUUUUGGUUCCCAAAGCACAAUUUCAUUCUCAACACUCUGCAAAUCCAAGCUAGCAUAGAUCAGAUUCCUCAUUAUACAGGAACCAAAACUGGCACUGGGAAAGAAAAGGUUGAAAGACUGAACCCAUGCACAGUACAAGAAUACAGGAUCCAGAUACAGUGGUAUUUUGAAGCAUCAAAAGAAUGACGACUGUACUACUACUAUAGCAGCAAUUUGUAUCCAUUUAAGGGAAGGAAUUUCACCUUUGACAGGAUGAAGUCACCAAGCCAUCUUGUACAAUCAACAUAGUUAGAGUGUACUGCAGCAAUCAACACCUGCAAGGAAAGAAACAGGUUGGUUUGAUGGCAUGAGGAUUAACCACCAACAGUAGUUUGCAAAGGAAUAGAUCUAAGAUUAUUAUAGAUGCUAAACAUACCGGAAACUGGACAUAUUUUGUUGGAAACUUUGAUGGAAGGUCAGUCCAGGAAUAUGAUUUGUCAACAUAUUGCCAAAAUUCUGUGACAACAUUGGGAAACUCUAUCAAUGAUAUGCAGCAUGCAAAUGUAAACAUGAUGCUACUUUGAAGUAGUUUUCCAACCUUUCAUUGACCAGAUUUUCACAGUGUUGUCCAUGCCACAACUUGCAAAACGCUCAAUAUCACUAGGGUGGAAGUCCUUCUGCCAAAAUAAUGUAUUUUGAUCAGUACAUUUAUGCCUAACGUAAUGGAAGUACAAAAGCCAUAGUAGUCACCACUCACCAGGACUAUAUUUAUCCCUGAUGUAAUGCUCAAUAACAAACAGUAACAUCAGAAGCUGAAAGAGUGGUAGCUUCAGGGCACUUUGAGCAAGUAAUAUUCUGAAACAAUACCAUAAGAGGAGGCAGGAGCUACUUACAACACUCAACACUUCAUUGCGAUGACCUCCAGCUCCAGCAAAUACCAAGAUGCAGAUCCCUGUAUGGACAUUCCAUAGCCUAACAGAUUCAUCCUAUUCAAUAAUGUCAUAUGAAACAGUGUCAGAACAAUUAUAAGAAAGUACAUUCAGCCUAAGAACAGGUUAUCUGCUAACCUUGCUUGCAGAGAAAUGAUGAGCGAAGGCUUCAACGCUUGAGUCCUUAUCUCAUUUAUUGAGUCACCAUGGCCAACAAAGCUCUGUAGAAUUCCAUAAACAGAAAUAACAAAUAAACACGUGCACAGUCUAAUUCAUAGGAUAGGAUAGUAUUUAUUGGCAUGCCCAGUCUCCUGACUAUAUGUAUAACGCCAAAAUAGAUACACUAGGUUGAACGUGUCUUGACUAUGACGGACAUGCUGAAGUAUCCAAAAACCAGAAUCUUCUGUGAGCAAAAGUUACAGUUUGCUAGUGGUAUUAAUGCAUAGCAAACAGACAAUUCCAUAAUCAAACCAAAUUCAAAUGACCUUCUGGAUCGGAUAUCAUAGAUGGUAUCUGUCAGGUAAGCAACUGAAGUACUGAUUUAUGCAAAUGAAGCUUCAUUCAAGUUUGACGUAGGAACAAAGACAAGGCUAGGGGUACUAUACCUUAGCUAACUUCUCCGUAGCACAGUUGAUGAGCCGAAUGAUCCCAUUGCUUCCUGCUGCUCAAUGACUCCUUUCUUGGUGACCAGUGUGGCAUCCAAGGUAUCAAUCAGCUCUUCCUUCUCCUUGAGCAAGGUGUUCUUCUCCUCUAUCACCCUGUCCCUAGCCUUCAGUGCCUCCUCCAUCCGAACAACUCUUGCCUCCAGCGUGGCAAUCCUCAGCGAGUCCCUCUCGUCGUAGUUGUCCAGUGCAGUGUCCACCUUGUGCUGCAAGCGACGGUUCGUCUGGUCCAGGUCAGUCAAAUAGUGCUCAAGUCCCAUUAUCUUGCCCUCAAGCAUGGCGUCGGUACCGAUGCAGUUGUCCCAACCCUUGCGAAGUACCUCCACCUCUCUGUCAUUCCAGAACAGUGCCAAAUCCUGAGCGUGAAUGCAGUGGGAGGCCACGUAAAACUUCUCGUUGGGCUCUGCAUAAACAUCCUCAUAGUACUGACGGGCUAAACUCUCGAAGUCCCUCAGCCCACGGCAAGCCCUGGUUAGGCAGCGGUAGGGAGUCUGAGCCAACCUGUCAAGGAGCUGCGCAUGCACCUCACGCACGGCCCUUCUGGCGGCAGUCCGGUGAGCCUUUGACACUAACAACUCAAACCUUGGUAGAAGAAUAAGCAAAGUCUAGUUAGAAAUAGCGGUAGUCAACAGCACUGUCCAUAGCCAGUGAACAUGGAUUAUAGCUAUAGCUUUAUACACCCUGCAAAGGAUGUACAACUGUACCCACACGGAUGGAGUCUAAACGGUGGAGAUCCGUCAAAACCCCACCUAACAGCCGGAGCCCUAGUAGGUAGAUAGCUCUCUCCUAUUUCCUCAAGUUUGGUCAGAGUAGGCCAAUACCUCGAACUCAUUACACGAUCCUCCAAUCCACCUACAGGCUGAGCAGUAUCCACCACUAGUCUCGGACCGAACCCUUCCCAUAAUGUAAGCGAGUGGUAUGUACGUAAAAUAGCUGUUGUGACUAGUGGUAAACUAACUCAGUGUUUAAGCGGCUGAGAGCGAGCACUCUACUCCAUAAGUAUGUGCCAAAGUACCUGCAACGUACAAGUACGCCACCUGCUCUUUAGUAACAAACAAGGUACCCGCUGUAACACCUAGUGUUAAUGACAACUUAAGUAUGACAUUAAGAAGCUAAUGGUGAAGUUGGAUUAAAGGAAGGUAAUUUGAGCCAAAAAUCAAAUUUGAGCCGAAUUCGACCAAAUUUGGAAUUUGGAGUUUCAAAUUUGGAUAAAUUUGGCAAAAAUAUGAAAUAGAGUCUUGAGAGUAUUCAGAACUCAAAGGAAUGAAUCUUGAAGUCUAAAUCAAGUCAUAAAGCUCUCAUAAAUACAAUCGAAGAGGGAGUCAGCAAAGUCACUAUUCGUCGUCCGAAAACGCGCAACUCUGAAAUUAAUAUUGAGUACACAACUUUGGAGCCAAUUCCUGGAGAAUUUCUCCUGUAAGUGAGCAGAUAUUUUUGGACAUUAGUGAAAUAUGGACUAUGGAGAAGGUAAAUGAAAUGUUGUUGUCCAGAGAAAGUGGAAGAUUUGAAUUUAAAAUGAAGCCCAAAAUCAGCAAAUCAGUAGAUUUCAGCCUUCUCGCCAAGAAAAAUCUUAAGUCUGAAAACAGCAUUGACUAGCCAUGUUUGGAGUGAAUUUUAGAAAAAUCUAGUGUAAAAGAUAUAUGAGUUCAUGUGCAAAAUAGAAUCUUUGUUAGUUGUAGAACAAGUAUGGGCAAGGGUCAAGCUGCAUGGAACAAGUUUGCCUAAUUUAAAUCAAGCUCAAAGAGGUAUAAAUGGCCUUGCACCGUACCUGACGAAACUGAAUCAUUGAGGUUCAGUUACAGAAGCUUCUGGUCGAACUUCAAGCUUCAAAAUUUCAGUGUUAGGGUGCUCAUUUCGGUUGGAGGUCAAUCUAUCAAAUGAAGUACUUGGGCUACUCUACAAGUUUGCUUAAGGAACAUUUGGACCUUCGGAUUUGAAAUUGGUCGAUGGGGAAGUCUGAAUUUUGGAGAAGAAGAAGAAGAAAGAGGGAAACAGGCGAGCAGGAACAGAGCCGUGCUGCCGCCGGCACCUCUGCCCGCCGGCCAGCGCAACAAUCCAAAUCGCGCCACGCACGCCUUCAAGUCGUCGAUGUGGCCGUCAUGCACGCGGUAGAAGUUCGUAUUUGUACCGCUCCCAUCCUCAUCCGUUCACCCUGCCGCCAUUCUUUUCACCGUCACAAAGCAGAGCUCGGGUGACCGGCACUGCCGCCGGCCGAUUCCACCGCACCGCCGCUCUAAUCCUCGAUCCCUUCCACCUGAAGCUCCCCUAGCCCCUCGCCGACACCCUACACCGCCCCGUCCACCAGUUUUCCCGCCGGCGAGCCACACCCGCCGCAUCUCCUAUCCGCCCGCCGCCGCUACUGCCCCUCCAGUGAGCCCUCCGCGCCGCCCCUUCUCCACUCUUGUGCUCGGGUUUAGAGGCUCCUUAGGUCGUGAAGACGCCGUAGGACGCAUCCGCCGGCCGCUUGCGCCGCCGCCAGACCUAGAAUCCGGCCGGCCUUCGGCCAUGGCCGCCGCCGCCCGUGCAGGGCCCGGCUUAGGCCGCCUCCGGGUGAGCUAGCGCCACCUGCAGGUGCGCUGGGGCCUAGGGGUGCUCCCCGGCCUGGCCCCGCCGUCGGCAGGCCACCGGCCGUUGAGCCGCCGGAGCCACCCGCGGGGCACCCUGUUUUGGGUCGGGCAGGGGAGGCCUGGCCAGGUUGGCCCCACGCAUCGGUGAGGAUAGGGUAGGGGGGCGGUAGCAAUAGGAUUCCAGGGGGUUUUUCCGAUAAGGUUGGAAUUUUUGGAUUUAAAAAUAAAUUUAAAUAACUGCCAACCCAUUUAAUUCACUGUAAAUUGUAUAGGUACCCAAAAAUAGUGAAAUAAAUUUCUUUAGGUUUAUUUUAAUCUCCUUUACACAUUAAAAUUGUUAAAACAUAUUUAUAGAAACCUUUUGAGUAUUUAUUUAGUGCCUUUAAUUAAAGUUGUUAAAUAAAUACUUAAUAAUUCCAAAAUACAUAAAAUAUGAAAUAAUGCUUUUAUAAUUACAAAUUAACCAUAAUCUAUAGUAAUUAGGAGUUUAAGAUUAGAAAUUAAUUAUGAUGAUUUUCAAAAAUAAAAACAAAAGGCUUACGUUUUUAAAUAAAAGAUAAAGAUUAAGUAGUUAUUUAAUGCUUUUCCUUAAAAUAUUUAAAUAAAUGCUUAAGCUUUAUAAAUAAAUAAAAUUCUGAAUAAUGUUUUGAUUAAUUCCAAACAAAUGUUAAUCUAUAGUUUUACAUUUUCUUUUACAUUAGAAAUUAUUUCAAAUGAUUUUCAAAAAUAAAAAGAAAAGUCUAAAAUGGGUUUAAAUAAGGGAGUUUAAAUCGCGAGUUACACGUUAUGGGUAGAGUUUUGUUGGCUUGCAACUUUAUCAUGAAGUUAAGUUGUCUAAGUCACUGUUGGCUUGCAACUUUAUCAUGAAAGAAGUUGUAGAGUCCUGUGCUUAAAAAGUUGCAUCUCUGACUCAUGCAUACGCUUUAUCGUAGAUACUGAAGCUCCAGAAGCGGAAUUUCUAGAAAUUUCUGAAGAACCUUCGGAAUUUGAGGAGAUCGUUGAGUUGAUCCCUUGUGAAGCCAGUCCGUCGAGCAACGCUAACAUUUUUACAGAUCAAGGCAAGCCCCGGUGCAUCUAUGCCUAUCUAUUUUGGAGUUAUUAUUUCAUGUGUCCAACUAUUGGUUAUUUCUUUAUGAAUGCAUUAAGUCUAGGAGUUGAUUGAAACCUUACUUUUAUGCACAAUCCAACCUUGUUAUUAAGGACAUCUUUGCCACUUGUCAAUAAUUAGUAAGUAUCCCAUGCUUAGCAAAGCAUAGUCGCGCUACCUCUACCAUUCCUGAGAACCUAUGGUACUCAGCAGCCUAAGGUAACAUUGUCAUACAUAUGUAUAUCAAAGAAAUGACCGGUUUUGGAAGAUAGUGGACGGAAGCUUGGAUGGAAUCAAGAAAGGAGUCUUGAGUUCCGUAGUUCUGUCUACUCGAUUAAUUUGAUUAAGGACCGAUCGUUGUUUUAACCCAUGAUCAAGUGAUAUUACCUGGUUGCUUACUGCUAUAUGGGAACCAGCAAGCCCGGUAGGUUAGUUGGCUCUCUGAUCGGAAAUAUUUCGUACCCGUGCUUGGCGUGCAGUGGAAGGGCAGGGCGUAGCCGGAAACUCAUAGUGGAGAUCGCUAGACGUGGGGUUCCAUGUGGGGGUGCGGCCCUGGGUUCAAGUAGUCAUAUUUCCGAUCGUUGGGUACAUCUAAUCGAAAGGUCGUUAUGUGCAACCCGGACAGUUGUACAUGGCUGGUGGUCAGGUAUCUCCUUGUAACGACCCUGGUCAAAUCAUUCGAGUUAAUCUUAAUCUGAAGCCCAAAUUCCUCUGUCUCAGCUCUUCCCGAGCAGGAGUGCUCCACUCCAGUUCCCGGUCCCGGCCCCUGAAGACCCCAACCAACCCCGUCGGUUCCUUCUGAGUUCCCUAAGGCAGUGCUCCUUUCAAUCUUGGAGCUGUGGGACAACCGAGACUGACCGGUGGACCCGCAAAUCUUUUCCCGGAUUUCCCGAGGCAAACGCACUCGAGCGGCCUGCACCGCUUCAGAGCUCCCCCGCCGCAUGGCUCAACUUCUCCGACGCCCGCCGCUUCGCCCAGUCGCCGACCGCGACAGGAUGGAUUCCCGCGCCCUCCUCCCCAAUCGCAGCGGAAGCCCCUCUGCAACCCUUUCUGCAGCGCCUCGUCUCACUCGCGCCCUCGGACACGUGUGUUGAUUCAUACGAAGGGUGGUAUGGUUCGAUUCCAACGAGCCUAUCAUCACGGUUGUUCGCCCACGUCUAUUAUACGUGCGCAGAUUCCACAUCUCGAGUAUGCGAAGGGUUAUACGGUUCCAUUCAAAGGGGACCUAUUUCCAUGGUUGUUGCGCUAUCCAUGCAGCCUUAAACACAUGGGUGCCGUUUCUAUAGUGAACGGUAAUGCUUGGGGACGCUUUCGUGGGUGCUGGCACGAAAGGUUCAUGUGGUUGUGUUUUCUGCAGGUACACUAACCGCGUUCGCUUAGGAGACACUACUAGAACCCGACUAGAUAUUAUAGGGAGAGACGUACUGGUUGCCUUGACACCGGCACUGACUGCGUAAGACCAAAGUUUUGGCAGUUGUUUUGGUUGAGAGGAUGAAGUAGGCCAUGCAUGCGACAUGAACUAAAAUCUUUGAACCCACCUCUCUAAAACAACCUUGCCUUGGUUAAAGCCCUUCUUCGGUUUAAGGAUUUCUAGCUUCCUUUCUAGCUUGUGCUUUGGUCAAAUCCGAGUACUUUUUCUGCCUGACCUGUUCUUCUUCUUAGAGUUUCUAUCUCACGUCAGUUCAGUUUUUGGUUCCAGAUGGCUGCCCUCGGACACGUGUUGUACAGCGCUGACGGCAUGUCCCACUCUACGUCCCUACACUUUGAGGGUUUUCCUGCUAUUCUGUGGGACACCUUAAGGUGGUUUGGGUAUCAGUCCCCGCCUUUGUACAUGGGAUGGAUGUACCAGGAGCACGGAGUACAGAGGUGCAACAUGCAGGUGGUGAUACCUCCACCCCCUGUGCAGCCCGAGUGGUCCCAGCUCGAAGUCUUGACUUGCGGGCACGCUCUGGAGGAUACAUGGGAGUCAGCUGCUCUGCUGAUCCUCACCCACUUCUGUUGACUACACCCGCUUGAGGUCACUUUGGACCCAAUCGGCUUGUUCCCCGCUAGGGAUCGGCUAGACCCGGCGUGGCUUGAUCACGUCAACAACAUGGAAGUGUUGGCAGCCUCUCAUGCGCUGGUCACCAUCUCUACCACCACCAGAUGCAUGUCAGCCUUGUAUCAGCUGAUUGAGCUUCAAGGCCGAGCGAUGGCUGUCUUAGCUCGGAUAGCCAUAGACACCCAAGGGCUUUUCAACGCCGCUAAAAGAGACUUGGUGGGACAGUCGCAUCAGCUUAUCCAAAGAGGCAUACAGAUCCAUGACAUGCAAGACAGAAUCUCCAAGCUCGAGGGAGAAGUGACGGACCUGGUGGAUGGCAUGAUCGAGCUUGCCGAAGAAAAGAUGGAGGUCGAGAUGGAGCUAGCAGUUGCUAAUGCUCAUUUGGACGAGCAUCACGCCGAGCUUGAUGCUAUACAUGCCCUUGAGAUGCAGCUGGAUGAACAAGAAGAUCCUGAGGAGGUCAUGGGAGCGUCCAGCAUGGACAUUGAGGAUGGCGACGCCCCUUCUCCGACUCAUAGUGUUCCCUCAUAGGUUGAGAGCUGUAGGAAUCUAAUCUUUUGUUAUACUCAUUGGCAACCUAUGUUUUGGAUAGUGAUGUAAUAGGUUAGCCUUGAGUUGAGUAUUCCUCCUGUGUUUUGGGGAACAACAAUGCAAUGACCUCAGUGAAAUCAGAUCUUAACUUGACCUUUGACUCUUUUUGCGACACGCUUGGAUGCCAGGUUGUGUGAGUUUUGUCCUGUGACCACACACCCAUCUUCUGUGGGUCUGUCCAAAGCUUGGCCGACCCUGAGUCGCAAGGUCGGAUGCGCUCGACCCCUCGAGGCAGUUCUCCGCCUCGCCCGACCCCUUGCUGUGCAGUUUGCUUCGCCCGACCACUGGUUUCACUGUUUCGCUUAGCCCGACCCGGGCACUAAAGGUCGGAUAUAGUGGAACUCCUCGGAUGUGGUUAUGGUUCGCCUGAAGUUGUGUGCAGAACUAAGAUAGUUGCUAACUAAGAUGGCAAGAGGAAGUGUGUAUCUCUUUAAUAAGGACAUGUUAUUGUGUUGCAGUAUCGGCAAGAGUCGCAUUUGAGGAUUUAACUUAUACGUUCCCACAUAAUGGGAAUACUUCUGAGGAUAUGGAAUUAAUGGAACGUUGACUCUUGCAGAUGGCGCAUCGCACCCGAUCUAGCUCUAUGCCCAGCGGUAGUGAGCAGAGGCAGGAUCUUCCUCCGCCUCCGCCCCCACCUUCGCUGGAAGCCCUCCUAGCGGCUCAAACUGAGCUGCUAAGGCACAUUGUACACGGACAACAACAGCAGCCUCGUGGAGGGAGAGCCCAUCAACAACCCCAAGUUGCUCGUUAUGAGGACUUCUUGAGCACGCAACCCCCUUUGUUCCAGAAGACAUAAGACCCGCUCGACGCCGAUGCCUGGAUUCGUGCCAUCGAAUCCAAGUUCUCCCUCCUCACCGCCCAUUGCUCGGAGGAGAAGAAGGCUCGGUUCGCCGCGCAACAACUGCGUGGUUCUACCCUCCUUUGGUGGGAUCACUACCACGCCAUGCAGCCGGUCGACCACGUCGUCAGCUGGGAGAAGUUUAAGACGGUGUUCAGGGGCCAUCAUAUCCCUGAAGGUCUCCUGGAGCGUAAGCUCAACGAGUUCCUGGCCCUUACCCAGGGAAAUCGAGAUGUCCUGCUGUGGCGGAACCACCUCGGAUUAGCUUGAUUAAGCAGGGUUAAGCCGCCUAACAUGCGACACUCCUGCCUAAACCGAGUUAAUACGAAGUGCCGUCGGAUUUCAUCCGAUUUAACCACUUAAACAGAAUCGAGUUCAGCAAACCCACACGAAGGUGAGCGGUUACAGAGAAUACAACAAGUCCACUGAGUUGAACAAGUUUUACCCAUUUGGUUCGGCCAUAAAAUCCAACAUCAGAGUUUUACAAGUUUUCAAGGAAACAACAGAGAAAACACUAGCGGAAGACUUCGUCGGGGUCGGACAUCCUUGGUGAGGCCAACCGGGACAUCACUAGCUCCUUCCCUCGCCGUCCGAGGAAGGAUCCCACUCGACCGUCCAGCCUGGCGGGAGCUGGGGCGGCCAAGCACCAACCAGAGAGGGGUCGGAAGCAGCAACUUCACCUGAAAACAGGAGCCACAACAAGGCUGAGCUACUAAGCUCAACAAGACUUAACCGAUAGGAGGAAGGGCUACUCCUCCUUCUAGACAUGCAAGGCUGUUUGGCUGAGGGGGUUGUUUGCCAAAAGCACUAAGUAACCCUAUUUUCAAGUUUUAGCUCCGGUUCUAGGUUCAUUUACCAAUCUAGGUUGUGCCACCUAUACUAAGCAUUCAUAGAAUCAAACAAGAUGUAUAGAUACAACAACAAACAUUGCCAUCAUCAGAUUCCUCAUUUACUCAGGGUGACAUAGCGAUCAAGCAAUCUCAAACUAUGAAAGGCAGACGAAUCGAUUCAAGUUCUUUAACCAUGCAUGGUGAACCUAGCCUCACGACAUCCGCGCACCCGGAGGUCGCUUCCUGUGUCGGCCUUCCCCAUCAAUCCCCUAACCCGUGUCGGGCCCAUUUCCUUUGGUGCAAGGUUCCACAGACCCGGCCUCUGCCAUUCUGUGACCACGCUUGCCACCACGUGCGACAACCAGCAGGGGAAACUCCGUUCCAAGAACAAUGGGGCGAUCGCUCACGUAUAGGUUCAAUCCGGUACUAGGCUUCCUCAUCCCAUACUAAGUAUGAGGCUAGUACUUUCAAACACUUGAUCACGAACACCACCACUGUCGGGCCUUAGCAAGUUUUCAUAGACAGACGUGGCAACCAUCUGACCACCAAAAAGUUACCAAAACCCUGCCCCGUCCAUCGUCCUUAUAGUUAUAACAGGACAGUAAACAUGCAACUCCUACAACUCGCGAGAGAUAGGAAAUCACUCGACUUUUACCGUCUCCUAGUUAAGCAAUGCAGCUACUCGGUCCAACAGCUAGUGCUCAGAUCACUGGGAUAACUAAGUCAUGCAUCUAGGGUUUCACACAACUCCUAUACGUAAAUGCACAAGCAUGUUACAGAAGGCAUGCGCAAGUCUGGUAAAACACAUAGGACUUUCAUGCAACCGGGGCUUGCCUUCAAGCAAGGAGGACGGAAACUGCUCGACUUCGGGGGCGACUUCGGCUUCGGAGGACAGGAGCUCGGCUACAGCUUCUUCUUCUGGCGCCGGGUGAAGCUCGUAGAAGCCGUCGGCGAGGUGCAGCUCUACACGAAUGCAAUGCAGGGGUUAGCAUAGACAGUUACUUCAACAGCAACACUGGCUCGCCUGAGCCCAGAAACUCGCGACAAAGAGCAGGAGGUUAAGGCGGUUCGAGAGCUGAUGAUGAUCAAGGGGUAAGGGUAGGAAGGAACUAGUGGUCUGAUCCUUGAACUAGAGGAUGUGAUAAACUGGGGGUCCUUAGACGCAAGCGUUGAAGGGUUCCCAAGUUUUACACAUACACCCUCGAGUUGAAGAAAAAGAUCACAGCCAAGCCCUCGGGCGAGACGGACAAGGGUCGGCGGAACAGACAGGGUCGGGCGAGACGGAACCGGGGUCGGGCGGAUAGGAGGGGUCGGGCGAGGCGGACUGGGGUCGGCAACUCACCUUCUUCCUGAAAGGAAAGCUUGGGGUCGGAACGAAGCGGACUUGGGCGGAGGGACUACGGUUUGAUCAGAAGCUAAGACCGGCGAUGCUCCGGCGGCGGCGCUGCUUCUUGCGGAUCACAAGAGAGCUUUUACGCAGCACGGAGGAGCAAGCUGCUGGGUGACUUGGAGAAGAACUGAGGGAGAACUGAGAGAAGAACUCCUCAAGAACUGGGUGGGUGGCGCUAGGAGCUUGAGCAGGGAGCUAGAGGAGGCUGAAGGCAACGAGAGCGGAGGGAACUCCAGCGACGGGGGCAUUCCUUUUAUAGCUGCUGGAGCAGAGGAAAGGAAACGGCACGGAGAGAGAGAAGGAGAGCGGCGCGAAGGCCGGGGAGAGGCAAUGGAGUGCUCUGCUGGGGCGGCGAUUAAGCAAAGAGGGCGGUGGUGCAGAACUCCGGGGGUGACGCCAGCAAUCAUGGCGUUCUGCCGUCAGGGCGGCGUAGGAGCGGGUAGACUGGUGGUUGAGAUUUGGCGGAAAGCGGGCGUCAUCGUGCGGAAGAUGUGAUAGAAGUGACCGGCUUAACGGCGCUAGAAUCGAGGGUGCUCGGGUGAGAAGGCAGGCGGACGCGGGCGCGUGGGAGAGUGCGGAACAACAGAUUGUCGGGCGGCUUCUGACAGAGCGGGGGAAAGGAACUGUCGCGGCCGCGGUCGGGGUUGGCGGUGGAGGAAUCAUCGUGUAGCGGCGACCAGGCGGCGCAACUGUGGCUGAAGGGACGGAAAAGACGGGCGACAUCGGGCUCUGGGGCUGGGAUCUGGUGGCGUGAUGAUGGGCGCGGGAGGCGAGGUUCUGCAGAAAGGGGUGCAGAGGGCUUCCGCUGCCAUUGGGGAAAGGGGGCACGGGAACCCACUCGGUCGCUGGCCAGAGACAAAACUGAGCGGCAGGCGUCGGAGAAGACGAGCCACGCGGCAGGAAGACUCUGAAGCAGCCAAGCAACUCGAGUGCGGCUGUCGCGGGGGAUCUGGAAAAGAUCUCGCGGGUCCACCAGUGGAUAGAUCGGACGGGUGAGGAAGAUUAACAGAAUCCGACGGUGGGCUGAGCUCGCCGGGGUCAGGAGAGGAGCGAAGCCGGAAGGGGUCGGAUCUCAGGGGUCGGGACCGGCGGGAAACUGAGCACUUAGGUGCGGUCAAGCAAGACAGCUGACUAAGGUUAAGGGCUGUGAUCAAGACUAACUGGAAGGCUUAGGGGUCGGUCGUUACAGCCUACCCCUCUUAAAAAGAAUCUCGUCCCGAGAUUUAGAGAUCAAGGGGGUGUGUUGUCCUUACCUCCUUAAGAGGAUAGAAAACCUGGGAAACGCUUGCUCAGAUAUUUGUCCGUUUCCCAUGUUGCUUCAUCCUCGGUGUGGUUUCUCCAGAGGAUCUUGUACAUCUUUACCACUUGGCGUCGGGUGUGCCUUUCCUUUUGGUCAAGAACUCGAUCUGGGUACUCGGCGUAGGUCAGGUCGGGCUCUACCUGAAGCUGUUCUUGCUCUAAGAUCUCUGCUAGAACUCGGACACAUUUCUUCAGUUGAGACACAUGGAAAACAUCAUGUAUUGCCGACAGCUGCUCUGGGAGUUGGAUCCGGUAAGCAACGGGUCCACAUAUCUCCACAAUCUCAUAAGGGCCAAUAUAGCGGGGAGCUAACUUGCCUUUUAUUCCAAACCGCUGCACUCCUUUGGUCGGGGAGACUCGAAGGUACACAUGAUCACCAAGGUCAAAUUGCAGGGGUCUUCUCCGCUGGUCGGAGUAACUCUUUUGUCGAGAUUGGGCGGCCUUGAGAUUUGCUUUAAUUACCUUCACUUGCUCUUCGGCUUCUGCCACUAAAUCAGGGCCAUAGACCUGUCUUUCUCCUGGUUGGGACCAGUUCAGGGGUGUCCUGCAUCUUCGGCCAUACAGAGCUUCAAACGGUGCCAUUUUCAAACUGGCUUGGUAGCUGUUAUUGUAGGAGAAUUCUGCUAAGGGCAGACACUUGUCCCAGUUCUUAUCAUAGUGGAUAACACAAGCUCUUAACAUGUCUUCAAGAAUCUGGUUGACUCUCUCAGUUUGGCCAUCGGUUUGAGGAUGAUAUGUUGAGCUUCGGAUGAGCUUGGUGCCCAUAGAUGCUUGUAGCUGCUCCCAAAAACAUGCCACAAACUGAACUCCUCGAUCAGAGACGAUAGUCUUGGGUACACUAUGUAGGGAAACUAUACGGUCGAGGUACAACUCUGCAUACUGCUUGACUGUGUAGGUGGCGCGAAUAGGAAGGAAAUGUGUUGUCUUGGUCAGACGGUCCACUAUAACCCAGAUGGAAUCAUAUCUUUGUGUUGUAAGGGGUAACCCAACUAUGAAGUCCAUGCUGAUGUCUUCCCAUUUCCAAGAGGGAAUAGGUAGCGGCUGCAAGGUUCCUGCUACCUUCAAAUGACUGGCCUUGACACGUUGACAGGUGUCACAUUCUGAAACAUAACGAGCUAUCUCUGGUUUCAUUCCAUUCCACCAAAAGGUUUGACGAAGAUCAUGGUACAUCUUAUUGCUGCCAGGAUGGAUCGAGAACUUGGAGAGAUGAGCUUCAUCUAGGAUUUGCUUCCUUAACUCGGGGUCGGCGGGCACUACUAGCCGGUUUCCAUAAUACACACCUCCUGUUUUGUCCUGAUGGAAAUGGUUAUAUCCCUCAUCCUUUACUGAGAUCUUACCGAUGAUCCAUUGUACUUCUGUAUCUCUUACCUGUGCUGACCGAACUUGGUCUUCCAAAACUGAGUCAAGGAUGAUGUGACCAAGGGUUCCUUGAGGAAUAAUCUCCAGACUUAGUUUUCCCAUCUCAUGACACAGAGUCUUGGUGAAGGCUGUUGACAACAAGCAGUUGCAAUGGGGUUUGCGGCUGAGGGCAUCAGCUACCACAUUGGCUUUGCCAGGAUGAUAGUGUACUUCCAAUUCAUAAUCCUUUAUCAACUCCAGCCAUCUUCUCUGACGCAUGUUGAGGUCGGCUUGAGUGAAGAUGUACUUGAGGCUCUUGUGGUCGGUGUAGAUGUUGCAGUGAGUUCCCAUUAGGUAGUGCCUCCAUAUCUUCAAGGCAUGUAUCACUGCUACCAACUCAAGGUCAUGUGUCGGGUAGCUUAGCUCAUCAGGUCGUAACGCACGUGAGGCAUAGGCAAUGACUCGGCUGUCUUGCAUAAGAACACAUCCGAGUCCAGUGCCAGAGGCGUCACAGUAUACGUGUAACGACCGACCCCUAAUCUUUCCCAGUUAGGCUUGAUCUCAGCCCUUAACCUCAGUCAGUUGCUCUGUUGACCGCACUUAAGUGCUCAGUCUUCCGCCAGUUCCGACCCCUGAGGUCCGACCCCUACCGUUCGUUCCUUUUUCCCGACCCUGGCGAGUUCAGCCCUCCGUCGGAUCCUGCUAAUCUUCCUCACCCGUCCGAUCUUUUCCCCCGGUGGACCCGUGAGAUCUUUUCCAGAUCCCCCGCACCAGCCGCACUCGAGUUGCAUGGCCGCCUCAGAGCUUUCCUGCCGCGUGGCUCGUCUUCUCCGAUGCCACCGCUCAGUUUUGUCUCUGGCAAGCGACCAAGUGGGUUCCCGCGCCCUUUUCCCCAAUAGCAGUGGAAGCCCUCUGCACCCCUUUCUGCAGAUCCUCGCUCCCCGCGCCCAUCAUCACGAUACCAGAUCUCGGCCCUGGAGACCGAUGUCGCCCAUCUUUUCCGUCCUUUCCAGCAACAGUUGCGCCGCCCGGUCGUCGCUACACGACGAUUCCCCAACCGCCAACCCCGACCGCGGCCGCGACAGUUCCUUUCCCCGCCCUGUCAGACGCCGCCCGACAAUCUGUUGUUCCGCGCUCUCCCCCGCGCCGCGUCCGCUUGUUCUCCCACCUGUGCGCCCUUGAUUCUAGUGCCGUUUAACCGGUCGCUUCUAUCACUUCUUCCGCACGACGACGCCCGCUCUCCGCCAAAUCCCAACCACCGGUCUACCCGCGCCUACGCUGCCCUGACGGAGUAGCGCAAUGAUCGCUGGCGUCACCCCCGGAGUUCUGCAGCACCGUCCGGUUUGCUCAAUCGCCGCCACGGCAGAGCACUCCAUUGCUUCUCCCCGGCCUUCGCGCCGCUCCCCUUCUCUCUCUCCGCGACGUUUCCGUUCCUCUGCUCCAGCAGCUAUAAAAGGAAGGCCCCUGUCACCGGAGUUCCCUCCGCCUUUGUUGCCCUUAGUUUCCUCUAGCUCCCUGCUCAAGCUCCUAGCGCCAUCCGCCCAGUCUUGAAAAGUUCAUCUCCCUAUUCCUUCUCAGUUCAUCCAAGUCACCAACAGCGUGCUCCCUUGUGCUGCGUAAGAGCUCUCUUGUGAUCCGCAAGCAGCACCACCGCCGGAGUAUCGCCGGCCUUAGUCCCUGCUCAAAGCUUUAGUUCCGCGCCCAAGUCUGCCUCUUCCCGACCCCAAGCUUUCCUUUCAGGAAGAAGGUGAGUGCCGACCCUAAGUCCGCUUCGCCCAACCCCUCCUAUCCGCCCGACCCCAGUUCCGUCUCGUCCGACCCUGUCUGUUCGCCGACCCUUGUCCGCCUCGCCCGAGGGUCUGGCUGUGAUCUUUUCUUCAACUCGAGGGUGUAAGUGUAAAACGUGGGAACCCUUCAGCGCUUCCGUCUGAGGAUCCCAGUUAUCACAUCCUCUAGUUCAAGGAUCAGACCACUAGUCUCCUUCCUAUCCUUACCUGUUGAUCAUCAUCAGCUCUCUCAAACAGCCUCCACCUCCUGCUCUUUGUCGCAAGUUUCUGGGCGCAGGAGAGCCAGUGUUGCUGUCGACUUAAACGUUAAGCUAACCCUUGCAUUGCAUUCGUGUAGAGUUGCAUCUCGCUGACGGCUUCUACGAGCUGCACCCGGCGCCCGAAGAAGAAGCUGUAGCCGAGUUCCUGCCCGCUGAAGUCGAAGCCGCCCCCGAAGUUGAGCAGUUCCAGCCUUCUUUGUUUGCAGGCAAGCACCGGUUGCAUGAAAAUCCUACGUGUUUUUGCCAGACUUGCACAUGCCUUCCGAAUAGCAUGUUUGUGCAUUUACGUUUAGGAGUUGUGUGAAACCCUAGAUGCAUGACUUAGUAACCCUUGAUAUGAGCACUAGCUGUUGGACCGAGUAGCUGCAUUGCUUAAAUAGGAAACGGUAAAAGCCGAGUGAUCUCCUGUCACUCGCGAGUUGUAGGAGUUGCAUGUGUUACUCUCCUGUUACAACUAUAAGGACGAUGGACGGGGCAGGGUUUGGUAACUCUUUGGUGGUCGGAUGGUUGCCCCGUCUGUCUAUGAAAACUUGCUAAGGCCCGACAGUGGUGGUGUUCGUGAUCAAGUGUUUGAAAGUACUAGCCUCAUACUUAGUAUGGGAUGAGGAAGCCUAGUACCUGAUUGAACCUAGACGUGAGCGGUCGCCCCAUUGUUCUUGGAACGGAGUUUCCCCUGCUGGUUGUCGCACGUGGUGGCAAAGCGUGGUCACAUAACGGCAGAGACCGGGUCUGUGGAACCUUGCACCAAAGGAAAUGGGCCCGACACGGGUUAGGGGAUUGAUGGGGAAGGUCGACACGUGAAGCGACCUCCGGGUGCGCGGAUGUCGUGAGGCUAGGUUCACCAUGCAUGGUUAAAGAACUCGAAUCGAUUCGUCUGCCUCUCACAGUUUGAGAUUUCUUGAUCGCUAUGUCACCCUGAGUAAAUGAGGAAUCUGAUGAUGGCAAUGUUGUUGUUUUUAUCUACACCCUUGUUUGGCUUGAUGGUUGCUUAGAAUAGGUUGCACAACCUAGACUGGUAAGUAAAUCUAGAACCGGAGCUAAAACUUGAAAAUAGGUUACUUAGUGCUUUUGGCGAAACAAACCCCUCAGCCAAGAAGCCUUGCAUGUCUAGUUGGGAGAGUAGUUGACUCCUCCCCGGUUAAGUCUUGUUGAGCUUAGUAGCUCAGCCUUGUUGUGGCUCCUGUUUUCAGGUGAAGUUGCAGUUCCCGACCCCUCCCUUGUUGGCGCUUGGCCGCCCCAGCUUCCGCCAGGCUGGACGGUCGAGUGGGACCCCUCCUCGGACGGCGAGGAGAGGACUCAGUGAUGUUCUGACUGGCCUCGCCCAGACGUCCGACCCCGACGAAGUCUUCCGCUAGCGUUUCCCUGUUGUUUUCUUGAAAACUUGUAAAGCUCUGAUGUUGGAUUUUAUGGUCGAAUUAAGUGGGUAAAACUUGUUCAACUCAGUGGACUCGUUGUAUUCUCUGUAACCGCUCACCUUCGUGUGGGUUUGCUGAACUCGAUCCUGUUUAAGUGGUCAAAUCGGAUGAAGUCCGACGGCGCUUCGUGUUAGCUCGAGUUAAUCAAGAGUGUCGCAUGUUAGGCGGCUAAACUCUGAUUAAUCAAGCUGAUCCGAGGUGGUUCCACCACAGCUUGGUACCAGAGCCGAGUUUAGCAUAUCAGAGAACCCGAUGAGCCCGAAACACUUCUUUGAAAUUAAAAGUUGCAAGGACCUUUCGAAAAUCUCGUACCAACGUUAAGGAUGACUUAGUGCGAGAGGCCCUAGGGGAUUUUGGGGUUGUUUUAGGUGACUAAUAAGUAUCUGGUUAUGUUGCUAACCCCUCCAGCACUUCGCCACGUCUAUUAUACGUGUGCCGAGUUCCGCAUCACGAGCAUGCGAGGGUUGAUAGGGAGUUCCAUUCAAGGGACCCUAUCUUCGCGGUUGUUUUCGCCCACAUCUAUUAUACGUGCGCAGGUUCCGUAUGUGAUCCAUACGAAGGUUGAUAUGGUUCGAUUCCAACGAACCUAUUGGCACGGUUGUUUCGCCACAUUUGUCAUACGUGUGCCGAUGCCGCAUCACAAGUAUGCGAAGGGUUAUAUGGUUCUAUUCGGAAGGAACCUAUUUCCACGGUUGAGUGCUGUCCAUGCAGCCUUAAACGCAUGGGUGCCGUUCCUAUAGUGAACGGUAAUGUUUGGGAACGCUUUCAUGGGUGCUGGCACGAAAGGUUCGGGUGUGUGUUUUCUGCAGGUUGCUAACCGCGCUCGUUAAGACGUUGCUAGAACCGACUAGAUAAUAUAGGGAGAGACGUAUUGUUGCCUUGUCACCGGCACUGACCGCGUAAGACCCAAGGUUUGGGCAGUUGUUUUUGGUUAAGAGCAUAGUAGGCCGUGCAUGCGUCAUACAAAAUCGGUAAUGUUCUCUUCUCAACAGCAACCCUGUCCGACAGAGUUCUUUUGGAUCUAAGGAUUUCUAGCUCCCCUUAGUUGCUCUCGGUUAAGCCCUUCUGCUUCUCUAUCCGACCCCUGAUCUUCGGAGUUAUCUCACGUGGCUUCGGUUUUCUUGGUUCCAGAUGGCUGCUCCCGGGCAUGUGGUGUUUGGAGCGGACGGUACCUUCCAAUCAACAUGCCUACAUUUCGAGGGGUUUCCCGCGAUCUUGUGGGAUACGUUGAGAUGGUUUGGGUAUCAGUCCACACCCCUGUAUUCUGGGCGGCUGUAUGUGGAGCAGGGCAUCCAGACGUGCCAGGUGCAAGCACUGGUGCCACCCCCUUUUGCGCGGCCCGACUGGCCCUCUCUGGGCAUCAUAGCCUACGGUCUUUCUCCGGAAGAUACGUGGGAAUCCGCCGCUCUCCAGUUGCUCACGCAGUUCUGUCAGUUCCACCCUGUGGAGAUCACCCUGGACCCGAUCGGACUUUUUCCCGUCAGAAGUCGGAUGGACCCGGCCUGGCUGGACCGCAUCGGAAACCUCGAGGUGUUGGCCACUACUUGUGCCACACUCACCAUCUCCACCAACAUCCGUUGCAUGGCUGCUUUCUACCAGCUGAUAGAGCUCCAAGGAAGGGCCAUGACUCUCUUUGCCCGGACUGCUGCAGACACCGACGGGUACCUCCAGGCAGCUAGAAGAGACCUGGUAGGCCAAACCUACCAGCUGAUCCAACGUGGAAUCCAGAUCCAUGACAUGCAAGACCGGAUCUCCGAGCUGGAAGGAGAAGUUGCCGACCUUGUGGACGGUAUGAUCGAGCUCUCCGAGGAGAAAAUGGAGGUGGAAAUGGAGUUGGCCGUUGCCAAUGCCCACCUAGAGGAGCACCAAGCUGAGCUUGAAGAUAUGCAUGCCCUCAACAUGCAGCUUGAAGCUCAGGAGGACCCUGAGGAAGACGAGGGAGCGUCCAGCAUGGACAUAGAAGAAAAUGGCGCCCCUUCUCCGACUCAUAGUGUCCAGUGGUAGCUUAAGGGUUCUCGGGGAACCUUCUUUCUUUUGUUGUACUCCUCGGCAGCCUAGUUUUGGAAAGUUGUAAUAGGUUAUCCUUGAGUUGAGUACUCCCUGUGUUGAAACGUCGUUGUGUAUAAAGUCAACCCAGUGCAGUGCAUAGUUUCAUCCUUUUCGUAUGAUGUGGAUGCUAAAGUUAAGAAAGUGGUGCCGUGACCCUGUGUUGUUUUCGGGGAGCCUGUUCAGUUGGCCGACCCUAGUUUGCGAACCAGAGUGCGCCGACCCUUAAGACAGUUACCGCCUUGUCCGACCCUCUUUGAGUACGGACCGUAUCCGAUCCCUCGGUUCGAGUGGACCCGACCCUAGGAGUCUGUAUGUGGUGUGGUUACCUGAGGUGGAGUACCAGGGCAAGUAAGGGCUAUCUGUGAUGAAAAUGGGAGGAAUGUGCUUCCUCUGUAAGGACGUAUGAUGCACCAUUGGCAAGAGUCGCAUUAAAGGACUUAAUUCAUACGUUCCCAAUUGCUGGAGUACCCCUAAGGUUAUGAGAUUGAUGGGCGUUAACUCUUGCAGAUGGCGCACCGCACAAGGUCUGGAACUAUGCCCAGUGGCAGGGAUCAGCAACAAGAUCUUCCCCCGCCCCCGCCACCAUUGCCAUUGGAGGCAAUCCUAGCAACUCAAACCGAGCUGCUCAGGCAUCUGGUACAAGGACAACAGCAGCCACACGGUGGUAGAGCACAGCAGCAGCAGCAUGUCGCAAGAUAUGAGGACUUUUUGGGGACACAGCCCCCGCUGUUCCAAAAGACCCAAGAACCGCUCGACGCUGACGCAUGGGUUCGUACGAUCGAAUCCAAGUUCGAGCUCCUUACCGCUCCAUGCCCUGACAACAACAAGGCGCGGUUCGCAGCUCAGCAGCUGCAUGGUUCCGCACGGCUUUGGUGGGACCACUACCAUGCCAUGCUACCUGCUGACCACGUAGUCAGUUGGAACGAGUUUAAGACGGCGUUCAAGGCGCAUCACAUUCCUGAAGGUCUCCUGGAGCGCAAGCUCAACGAGUUUCUAUCCCUCACCCAGGGAACUAGGGAUGUGCUGCACUACGCCCAGGCGUUUAACGACCUGUGCCGUUAUGCGGGAUAUCACGCGGACACCGAUGAGAAGAAGCAGGACAGAUUCCGCCGAGGUUUGAGCUUGGAGCUCAGGGAAAGGCUGAAUCCCAUCCGAGUGGACACCUAUAACGAGUUGGUCAACCUGGCCAUCUCCCAGGAGGAUUGCAUGCAAGCUCUAAAGGCCGACCAGAAGAGGAAAGCCUCUGUGGCUCUUCCGAGCCCGCCAGCCCGAAGGUUUCGGAUGAUCCCUCCACAAGCCCCUGGCCGACCCCAACAGUCAGGGAAAUGGAUCGCCCGACCCCCGCCGGCAACAAUGCCUAGUUCUCCAGGCUUCCAACCACAAGUACCCCGGCCGACCUUGCCAACGCCACCUCGUCCAGCAGCCAGUAACAGAUGUUUUACCUGCGGCAAUGAGGGGCAUUUUGCAAGGGAUUGCCCCAGGAGCAAGACUCAGCAGCAAGGCCAGAACCCCAUGGCAGCCAGAGGGAGAAGGCCCAAGGUGCAAGUCCGACAAGGCCGACUCAACUACACCAGCUUGACCGAACUUCCCGAAGGUGCGUCAGUAAUGAUGGGUACUUUCCUUGUUUUAAAUCAAGCUGUUGUGGUGUUGUUUGAUUCGGGAGCCUCUCAUAGCUUUAUCGGGAGUAAGGCAAGGGAAAGGUGUGGGCUAAGUGUAGGUCACACUAAGGAACCCUAUGUGAUCGCCACUCCUGGAGGGAGGAUAACGUCGGAUCAGAUCGUUAUUCUGGUACCUCUCCAGCUAGGCCCCACCCUUUUCAAGGAAAACCUUAUCCUCCUUGACCUUGAAGGCCUAGACGUCAUCCUUGGCAUGGAUUGGAUGGCCCGACAUCGUGUUGUUUUAGAUACCUCAGCCCGAUCUCUUUUCAUCAGCUCGCCCUCUCAUGGCAGUGCUACCCUAUCCUUGACCCAUCCUGAGUCUUUGACCCCUUGUGCGUUUUCUCUCUUGGGAACCCGUUUAGAAGACCUCCCUGUUAUCUGUGAGUAUCCAGAUGUGUUUCCAGAGGACUUGCCAGGCAUGCCACCUGACAGAGAAGUGGAGUUUUCUAUAGAGUUAGUUCCUGGCACAGCUCCGAUAUCUAAGAGACCCUAUCGGAUGCCACCCGCUGAGUUAGCAGUGUUAAAGACCCAGUUGCAUGAUCUGUUGGAAAAGGGCUUCAUUCGACCCAGUACGUCAUCUUGGGGAUGCCCCGCCCUGUUUGUGAAGAAGAAAGACGGCAGUUUACGGAUGUGUGUGGAUUACCGACCCCUCAAUGCGGUAACAGUUAAGAACAAGUACCCACUGCCCCGCAUUGAUGUCUUGUUCGACCAGUUAGCCGGAGCAAAAGUGUUCUCCAAGAUCGAUCUUCAUUCUGGUUAUCACCAAAUCAAGAUUCGACCUUGUGACGUACCCAAGACAGCUUUCUCUACCAGAUAUGGAUUGUAUGAGUACCUAGUCAUGUCCUUUGGACUCACCAAUGCACCCGCUUACUUCAUGUACCUUAUGAACUCGGUGUUCAUGCCCGAGCUGGACAAGUUUGUAGUGGUGUUCAUUGAUGAUAUCCUAGUGUACUCAAAGGACAAGGAAGAGCAUGCCAACCAUCUUCAUAUAGUUCUUCAGCGACUGAGAGAUCACCAGCUUUAUGCAAAGUUCUCCAAGUGUGAGUUUUGGUUGGAUAGUGUCAAGUUUCUAGGACACGCUAUCUCCAAGGACGGUAUUGCCGUGGAUCCCAGUAAGGUGCAAGAGGUCAUGGAAUGGAAGUCUCCUGUCUCGGUACACCAGAUCCGGAGUUUCCUCGGACUGGUAGGGUACUAUCGGCGUUUUAUACCGGAUUUCUCCAAGAUAGCUAAGCCGAUGACCGAGUUGUUGAAGAAAGAGGCCAAGUUUGUGUGGGACACCAAGUGCGAAGAAGCUUUCAAAACCCUGAAGCACUUGUUAACCACCGCCCCAGUUUUGGCUCAACCCGACCCCUCUAGGCCGUACGACGUAUACUGUGACGCCUCUGGCACUGGACUCGGGUGUGUUCUUAUGCAAGACAACCGAGUCAUUGCCUAUGCCUCACGUGCGUUGCGACCUCAUGAGCUGAACUACCCGACACAUGACCUUGAGUUGGCAGCAGUGAUACACGCCUUGAAAUUAUGGAGGCACUACUUAAUGGGAGCUCACUGCAACAUCUAUACCGACCACAAGAGCCUCAAGUACAUCUUCACGCAAGCCGACCUCAACAUGCGUCAGAGAAGAUGGCUGGAGUUGAUAAAGGAUUAUGACUUGGAAGUGCACUAUCAUCCUGGCAAGGCCAAUGUGGUGGCCGACGCCCUCAGUCGCAAACCUCAGUGCAACUGUUUGUUGUCCACCGCCUUCACCGACACUUUGUGUCACGAGAUGGGAAAACUAAGUCUAGAGCUUGUUCCCCAUGGAACCCUUGAUCACAUCAUCCUUGACUCAGUUUUAGAGGACCAGAUUCAGUCAGCCCAAGCUAAGGAUGAAGAAGUAAAACGGAUCAUCAGUAAGGUCUUGGUAAAAGACGAGGGAUAUAAGCUUUUCCGGCAGGACCAAACGGGAGGUGUGUACUAUGGAAACCGACUAGUAGUGCCCGCCGACCCCGAGUUAAGGAAGCAAAUCCUAGAUGAAGCUCAUCUUUCCAAGUUCUCCAUCCACCCUGGCAGCAACAAGAUGUACCAUGAUCUCCGUCAGACCUUUUGGUGGAGUGGGAUGAAACCGGAGAUAGCUCGUUAUGUUUCAGAAUGCGACACUUGUCAACGUGUCAAGGCCAGUCACUUGAAGGUAGCAGGAACCUUGCAGCCGCUACCCAUCCCCUCUUGGAAAUGGGAAGACAUCAGCAUGGACUUCAUAGUUGGGUUACCCCUUACAACUCAACAGUAUGAUUCUAUCUGGGUUAUAGUGGACCGUCUGACCAAGAAGGCACAUUUCUUUCCUGUUCGUACCACCUACACAGUCAAGCAAUAUGCAGAGUUGUACCUCGACCGUAUCGUUUCUCUACAUGGUGUACCCAAGACCAUCAUCUCGGACAGAGGAGUUCAGUUUGUGGCACGUUUUUGGGAGCAACUACAAGCAUCUAUGGGCACCAAGCUCAUCCGAAGCUCAACAUACCAUCCCCAAACCGAUGGCCAAACCGAGAGAGUCAACCAGAUCCUUGAAGACAUGUUAAGAGCCUGUGUUAUCCAUUAUGACAAAAACUGGGACAAGUGCCUGCCCUUAGCAGAGUUCUCCUACAAUAACAGCUACCAGUCCAGUUUGAAGAUGGCACCGUUUGAAGCCUUGUACGGCCGAAGAUGCAGGACACCCUUGAACUGGUCCCAACCAGGAGAGAGACAGGUUUAUGGCCCUGACUUAGUGGCAGAAGCCGAGGAACAAGUGAAGGUAAUUCAGGCAAAUCUCAAGGCUGCCCAAUCUCGACAGAAGGGUUACUCUGACCAGCGGAGAAGACCCCUGCAGUUCAACCUUUGUGACCAUGUGUACCUUAGAGUUUCCCCAACCAAAGGAGUGCAACGGUUUGGAAUAAAGGGCAAGUUAGCUCCCCGCUAUGUUGGCCCUUACGAGAUUAUGGAGAAGUGUGGACCCGUUGCUUACCGGAUCCAACUCCCAGAACAGCUAUCAGCCAUACAUGAUGUUUUCCAUGUGUCUCAGUUGAAGAAAUGCGUCCGAGUUCCAGCAGAGAUCCUAAAACAAGAACAACUUCAAGUAGAACCUGACCUGACCUACGCCGAGUACCCAGAUCGAGUUCUUGACCAUAAGGAAAGGCACACCCGACGUCAAGUGGUGAGGAUGUACAAGAUCCUCUGGAGAAACCACACCGAAGAUGAAGCGACAUGGGAGACGGAAGAAUAUCUGAACAAGCGUUUUCCAGGUUUUCUAUCUCAUCCAGGAGGUAAGAGCAGCACACCCUUGAUCUUGAAUCUCGGGACGAGAUUCCUUUUAAGAGGGGUAGGCUAUAACGACCGACCCCUAAUCUUUCCCAGUUAGGCUUGAUCUCAGCCCUUAACCUUAGUCAGUUGCUCUGUUGACCGCACUUAAGUGCUCAGUCUUCCGCCAGUUCCGACCCCUGAGGUCCGACCCCUACCGUUCGUUCCUUUUUCCCGACCCUGGCGAGUUCAGCCCUCCGUCGGAUCCUGCUAAUCUUCCUCACCCGUCCGAUCUUUUCCCCCGGUGGACCCGUGAGAUCUUUUCCAGAUCCCCCGCACCAGCCGCACUCGAGUUGCAUGGCCGCCUCAGAGCUUUCCUGCCGCGUGGCUCGUCUUCUCCGAUGCCACCGCUCAGUUUUGUCUCUGGCAAGCGACCAAGUGGGUUCCCGCGCCCUUUUCCCCAAUAGCAGCGGAAGCCCUCUGCACCCCUUUCUGCAGAUCCUCGCUCCCCGCGCCCAUCAUCACGAUACCAGAUCUCGGCCCCGGAGACCGAUGUCGCCCGUCUUUUCCAUCCUUUCCAGCAACAGUUGCGCCGUCCGGUCGUCGCUACACGACGAUUCCCCAACCGCCAACCCCGACCGCGGCCGCGACAGUUCCUUUCCCCGCCCUGUCAGACGCCGCCCGACAAUCUGUUGUUCCGCGCUCUCCCCCACGCCGCGUCCGCUUGUUCUCCCACCUGUGCGCCCUUGAUUCUAGCGCCGUUUAACCGGUCGCUUCUAUCACUUCUUCCGCACGACGACGCCCGCUCUCCGCCAAAUCCCAACCACCGGUCUACCCGCGCCUACGCCGCCCUGACGGAGUAGCGCAAUGAUCGCUGGCGUCACCCCCGGAGUUCUGUAGCACCGUCCGGUUUGCUCAAUCGCCGCCACAGCAGAGCACUCCAUUGCUUCUCCCCGGCCUUCGCGCCGCUCCCCUUCUCUCUCUCCGCGACGUUUCCGUUCCUCUGCUCCAGCAGCUAUAAAAGGAAGGCCCCUGUCGCCGGAGUUCCCUCCGCCUUUGUUGCCCUUAGUUUCCUCUAGCUCCCUGCUCAAGCUCCUAGCGCCAUCCGCCCAGUCUUGAAAAGUUCAUCUCCCCAUUCCUUCUCAGUUCAUCCAAGUCACCAACAGCGUGCUCCCUUGUGCUGCGUAAGAGCUCUCUUGUGAUCCGCAAGCAGCACCGCCGCCGGAGUAUCGCCGGCCUUAGUCCCUGCUCAAAGCUUUAGUUCCGCGCCCAAGUCUGCCUCUUCCCGACCCCAAGCUUUCCUUUCAGGAAGAAGGUGAGUGCCGACCCUAAGUCCGCUUCGCCCGACCCCUCCUAUCCGCCCGACCCCAGUUCCGUCUCGUCCGACCCUGUCUGUUCGCCGACCCUUGUCCGCCUCGCCCGAGGGUCUGGCUGUGAUCUUUUCUUCAACUCGAGGGUGUAAGUGUAAAACGUGGGAACCCUUCAGCGCUUCCGUCUGAGGAUCCCAGUUAUCACAUCCUCUAGUUCAAGGAUCAGACCACUAGUCUCCUUCCUAUCCUUACCUGUUGAUCAUCAUCAGCUCUCUCAAACAGCCUCCACCUCCUGCUCUUUGUCGCAAGUUUCUGGGCGCAGGAGAGCCAGUGUUGCUGUCGACUUAAACGUUAAGCUAACCCUUGCAUUGCAUUCGUGUAGAGUUGCAUCUCGCUGACGGCUUCUACGAGCUGCACCCGGCGCCCGAAGAAGAAGCUGUAGCCGAGUUCCUGCCCGCUGAAGUCGAAGCCGCCCCCGAAGUUGAGCAGUUCCAGCCUUCUUUGUUUGCAGGCAAGCACCGGUUGCAUGAAAAUCCUACGUGUUUUUGCCAGACUUGCACAUGCCUUCCGAAUAGCAUGUUUGUGCAUUUACGUUUAGGAGUUGUGUGAAACCCUAGAUGCAUGACUUAGUAACCCUUGAUAUGAGCACUAGCUGUUGGACCGAGUAGCUGCAUUGCUUAAAUAGGAAACGGUAAAAGCCGAGUGAUCUCCUGUCACUCGCGAGUUGUAGGAGUUGCAUGUGUUACUCUCCUGUUACAACUAUAAGGACGAUGGACGGGGCAGGGUUUGGUAACUCUUUGGUGGUCGGAUGGUUGCCCCGUCUGUCUAUGAAAACUUGCUAAGGCCUGACAGUGGUGGUGUUCGUGAUCAAGUGUUUGAAAGUACUAGCCUCAUACUUAGUAUGGGAUGAGGAAGCCUAGUACCUGAUUGAACCUAGACGUGAGCGGUCGCCCCAUUGUUCUUGGAACGGAGUUUCCCCUGCUGGUUGUCGCACGUGGUGGCAAAGCGUGGUCACAUAACGGCAGAGACCGGGUCUGUGGAACCUUGCACCAAAGGAAAUGGGCCCGACACGGGUUAGGGGAUUGAUGGGGAAGGCCGACACGUAAAGCGACCUCCGGGUGCACGGAUGUCGUGAGGCUAGGUUCACCAUGCAUGGUUAAAGAACUCGAAUCGAUUCGUCUGCCUCUCACAGUUUGAGAUUUCUUGAUCGCUAUGUCACCCUGAGUAAAUGAGGAAUCUGAUGAUGGCAAUGUUGUUGUUUUUAUCUACACCCUUGUUUGGCUUGAUGGUUGCUUAGAAUAGGUUGCACAACCUAGACUGGUAAGUAAAUCUAGAACCGGAGCUAAAACUUGAAAAUAGGUUACUUAGUGCUUUUGGUAAAACAAACCCCUCAGCCAAGAAGCCUUGCAUGUCUAGUUGGGAGAGUAGUUGACUCCUCCCCGGUUAAGUCUUGUUGAGCUUAGUAGCUCAGCCUUGUUGUGGCUCCUGUUUUCAGGUGAAGUUGCAGUUCCCGACCCCUCCCUUGUUGGCGCUUGGCCGCCCCAGCUUCCGCCAGGCUGGACGGUCGAGUGGGACCCCUCCUCGGACGGCGAGGAGAGGACUCAGUGAUGUUCUGGCUGGCCUCGCCCAGACGUCCGACCCCGACGAAGUCUUCCGCUAGCGUUUCCCUGUUGUUUUCUUGAAAACUUGUAAAGCUCUGAUGUUGGAUUUUAUGGUCGAAUUAAGUGGGUAAAACUUGUUCAACUCAGUGGACUCGUUGUAUUCUCUGUAACCGCUCACCUUCGUGUGGGUUUGCUGAACUCGAUCCUGUUUAAGUGGUCAAAUCGGAUGAAGUCCGACGGCGCUUCGUGUUAGCUCGAGUUAAUCAAGAGUGUCGCAUGUUAGGCGGCUAAACUUUGAUUAAUCAAGCUGAUCCGAGGUGGUUCCGCCACAAUACGUCAUACGGCCUAGAGGGGUCGGGCUGAGCCAACAAGGGGGCGGUGGUCAGCAAGUGCUUCAGGGUCUUGAAAGCCUCUUCACACUUGGUGUCCCACACAAAUUUGACCUCUUUCUUCAGCAACUCGGUCAUCGGCUUAGCUAUCUUGGAGAAAUCCGGUAUGAAACGCCGAUAGUAACCUGCCAAUCCAAGGAAACUCCUGAUUUGGUGUACUGAGGUAGGAGACUUCCAUUCCAUGACUUCUUGUACCUUGCUGGGAUCCACGGCAAUACCAUCCUUGGAGAUAGUGUGUCCGAGAAACUUGACACUAUCUAACAAAACUCACACUUGGAGAACUUGGCAUAGAGCUGGUGAUCUCUCAGCCGUUGGAGAACUAUAUGAAGAUGGUCGGCGUGCUCUUCCUCGUUCUUCGAGUAAACUAGGAUAUCAUCAAUGAACACCACCACAAACUUGUCCAGCUCGGGCAUAAACACCGAGUUCAUAAGGUACAUGAAAUAGGCGGGUGCAUUGGUGAGUCCAAAGGAUAUGACUAGGUACUCGUACAGUCCAUAUCUGGUAGAGAAAGUUGUCUUGGGUAUGUCGCAGGGUCGAAUCUUUAUUUGGUGAUAACCAGAACGAAGAUCGAUCUUGGAGAACACUUUUGCUCCGGCUAACUGAUCGAACAAGACAUCAAUGCGUGGCAGCGAGUACUUGUUCUUGACUGUCACAGCAUUGAGGGGUCGGUAAUCCACACACAUACGUAGACUGCCAUCUUUCUUCUUCACAAACAGGGCGGGGCAACCCCAAGAUGAUGUACUGGGUCGAAUGAAGCCCUUUUCCAACAGAUCAUGCAACUGGGUCUUCAACAUGGCUAACUCAGCGGGUGGCAUCCGAUAGGGUCUCUUAGAUAUCGGGGCUGUGCCAGGAAUCAACUCUAUGGAAAACUCCACUUCUCUAUCAGGUGGCAUACCCGGCAAAUCUUCUGGAAACACAUCAGGGUACUCACAGAUAAUAGGGAGGUCUUCUAGACGGGAUCCCAAGAGAGGGUAGGCACAAGGAGUCGAAGACUCAGGAUGGGUCAAGGAUACGGUAGAACUACCAUGGGAGGGUGAGCUGUGUUGGGAUACGAGGUAGGCUACACUAGCGCAAUUCAAAAAAAUCUACCGCGUAUAACCAGGAAGAACUGCCGUAUAAGGAUCACGGGAUUACCACUCGACGCACUACUGGUGCGGAAGAUGUAGAUAUGCGUCGAUGCAGUGAAGACAAUCACGUAGUCGUACGUAGUCGAUCACGUGCAGCAGCUCCUCAGCAGCUCGUCCACGUGCAGCAAGAUCGCCUCCGGUACCGUGGCUCGUCGUCGGCUCGUCGUGGCUCGUCGACGGCUCGUCCAAGUGCUGCAGGCGCAACACCUCCAAGGUAUCCACAUGUGCAGGGAGGAAGCAUCGCAAGUCGGACUGCUAGAUCUGCGAGUUGCAACAGGCGAGGGCGUGGGAGGCGCGGCAGGUGUGUUUCGCCAAAAAGGUGUAAACCCUAGGGCGCCCCCACCCCUCUAUUUAUAGAGGUUCCUGAUGGGCCUCUGGAUCCGAGGCCCAUUAGUACUCCUAAACCUAAUCCAACUCGGAUCAGAUCCGAAUUGGGCUUCCAGCCCCUUAAGUGUGUGACCCUAUGGGUUCGGAUACGUAUAGACAUGGCCCGAGUACUCCUACUCGGCCCAAUAGUCGGUAGCGGCCUCUAGCAAGACGUGCCAACUCCUAUACGCACACAAAGAUCAUAUCAGACGAACCAUCACAACAUAAUAUACAUGCUAUUCCCUUUGCCUCACGAUAUUUGGUCUAGCUUCAAGCCGACCGCUCUUUCUCGAUCCUGUGAUUCGGAAUCCCUUUGUAGGUUAACUCUUAACCGUACGUAGCAUGGCCAUGCAUUUUCGGAUCCGAUCACUCGAGGGGCCCAGAGAUAUCACUCUCAAUCAGAGAGGGGCAAAUCCCAUCUUGACUGACCAUGUCUCAUAGCAUGCUUCUUGACAAACCCGAAAGCUACCUUUAUAACUACCGUGUUACGGUGUAGCGUUUGAUAGCCCCUAAGUAGGUCGAUCCACAUCUAGAAUACAUGUGACAAUCUCAGGUCUAAGGACAAAGCGUAUAUGUUGUUUUAAAGAGAGAACUACUUCUCGUGUUGGGUCAGUCCUAACACAUGUCUCCACAUGUGUCCACAUUAUUAGUUCAACAUCUCGAUGUCCAUGACUUGUGAAACAUAGUCAUCAACUAAUACAUGUGCUAGUCUAAUAUUCAUGUGUGUCCUCACAUGAACUCCGACUAGGGACAACUUUAGAAUAACCAUACAAGGAAAGAGUUUCACAUACAAUUCACAUAAUUGCAAAUCAAUUCAAGUAGCCUUCAAUGGAUAUUCAAUGAACACAACAUACAAAUCAUGGAUACAAAUGGAAUAUCAUCAUCUCUAUGAUUGCCUCUAGGGCAUACCUCCAACAGUCUCCCACUUGCACUAGAGUCAAUCUAGAAGGUACCUAAUACCCAUAGCUCUUACAUGCGCAUCAUGCUUAGCCUGCGGGAGUGGUUUUGUCAACGGAUCAGAAAUGUUCAGAUCCGUGUGUAUUUUGCAUAUCUUGAUCUCACCCCGGUUAACGAAGUCUCGAAUGAGAUGAAAUCGCUGCAUUACGUGUUUGUUCUUCUAGUGGUUCCUUGGCUCCUUUGCUUGCGCAAUUGCCCCAUUGUUAUCACAGUAGAGAUUCAAUGGGCUGGACGCACUCGGGAACACACCAAGCUCAAUGAGGAAAUUCCUUAUCCAAACACCUUCCUUCGCGGCUUCCGAAGCCGCGAUGUACUCGGCUUUUGUCGUAGAAUCGGCCACCGUCUCCUGCUUGGAACUCUUCCAACUAACAGCACCACCAUUUAGCGUGAACACAAAUCCUGAUUGUGACUUUGAAUCAUCUCUGUCGGUUUGGAAACUAGCAUCGGUGUAACUUGUUACAACGAGCUCCUCCUCACCUCCAUAGACGAGGAACAUAUCUUUAGUCCUUCUCAAGUACUUAAGAAUAUUUUUCACCGCUGUCCAGUGACUCUCACCCGGAUCAGAUUGGUGUCUGCUUGUCAUACUUAGCGCAUAUGAAACAUCUGGGCGAGUACUUAUCAUUGCAUACAUGAUAGAUCCAAUAGCCGAGGCGUAUGGCACUCUACUCAUGCGAUCCUGCUCAUCAGUAGUCGAAGGACACUGAGUCUUGCUGAGAUGUAUGCCAUGUGACAUAGGCAAGAACCCUUUCUUUGCCUCUUCCAUGCUGAACCGCUUCAACACUUUGUCAAUGUAAGUAUCUUGGCUUAAACCUAUAAGCCUUCUUGAUCUAUCUCUAUAGAUCUUAAUGCCCAGAAUAUAUGCCGCUUCCCCUAAGUCCUUCAUCGAAAAACUAUUUUUCAGUGAAGUCUUUACAGACUCAAGCAUAGGAAUGUUAUUUCCAAUCAGUAAUAUGUCAUCCACAUAUAAGAUUAGAAAUACUACAGAGCUCCCACUAACCUUCUUGUAAACACAAAACUCUUCUUCGUUCUUGGUGAAGUCAAACCCUUUGACCACUUCAUCAAAACGAAUGUUCCAACUCCUAGAUGCUUGCUUCAAUCCAUAAAUGGAUCUCUGAAGCUUGCAUACCUUUCCAGCAUUUUUCGGAUCGACAAAACCCUCGGGCUGUAUCAUAUACACGUCCUCAGCUAGGUUUCCAUUCAGGAAAGCUGUCUUGACAUCCAUCUGCCAUAUCUCAUAAUCGAAAUAUGCAGCUAUAGCUAGAAUAAUCCGAAUGGACUUAAGCAUCACUACGGGCGAGAAGGUCUCGUCGUAGUCAACUCCUUGAACUUGUCGAAAACCUUUUGCGACAAGUCGUGCUUUAUAGAUGUGAACAUUUCCAUCCAUGUCCUUUUUCUUCUUAUAGAUCCACUUGCACUCUAUGGCUUUAACACCAUCAGGCGGGUCAACCAAGUUCCAAACUUGAUUGUCUCCCAUGGACUCUAUUUCGGAUUGCAUGGCAUUCUGCCAUUUUUCGGAGUCUGGGUCCAUCAUUGCUUCUGCAUAUGUCGCAGGCUCAUCAUUGUCCAACAAUAAUAUUUCCCGCAUUUCGCGGAGCCUUGCCGACCUUCGUGGUUGUGGCGGUGCUUCUCUUGCCAUGGGUAUCUCAACUUGUUCUGCUACGUUAGCAUCACUUAUUGAUUCUUGCCCAAUCGGCUCAUCUUGAACUUCUUCAAGAUGCACUGUCUUUCCACUAUUUUCUCCUUUGAGAAACUCUUUCUCUAGAAAAACCCCGUUCCGAGCGACAAACACUUUGCCUUCUGAUCGGUUGUAGAAAUAAUAUCCCAAAGUUUCCUUUGGAUAUCCCACGAAAAUGCACUUAUCCAACUUGGGUGUGAUCUUGUCCGACUGAAGUCGCUUGACAAACACUUCACAUCCCCAAAUCUUUAGAAAAGACAAACUAGGAACCUUUCCAGUCCAUAUCUCAUAUGGUGUCUUAGCUACGGAUUUAGAUGGUACCCUAUUAAGUGUGAAAGCUGCUGUUUCUAGAGCGUAUCCCCAAAAUGACAACGGUAGGUCCGACUGGCUCAUCAUUGAUUGAACCAUGUCUAACAAAGUUCGAUUACGUCGCUCGGACACACCGUUUCUCUGAGGUGUUCCAGGCGGCAUAAGUUGUGGAACAAUUCCGCAACUCUUUAGAUGAUUGCUAAACUCGUGGCUCAAAUACUCACCUCCACGAUCAGAUCGUAAGGCCUUAAUUUUCUUGCCACGCUAAUUUUCAACUUCAUUAUGAAAUUCCUUGAACUUUUCAAAGGUUUCAGACUUGUGCCUCAUCAAGUAGACAUAGCCAUAUCUACUAAAAUCAUCAGUGAAAGUUAUGAAGUAUUGGAAUCCUCCUCUAGCCGUCGUGCUCAUUGGUCCGCAUACAUCACUAUGUAUGAGUUCCAACAAGUCUACUGCUCUCUCAGGAAAACCUGUGAAAGGCGUCUUGGUCAUCUUGCCUAGCAAGCAAGCCUCACAUGUCUCGUAUGAUUCAAAAUCAAACGAAGUUAGAAGUCCAUCAGAAUGGAGCUUCUUCAUGCGCUUUUCACUUAUAUGACCCAAACGACAAUGCCACCAGUAGGUAGGACUCAAAUCAUUAGGCCGAGGCCUUUUAGCACUUACAUUACAGACAGGUGAACCAUCAAGAUGUAAAACAAAUAAUCCAUUCACAAUGGGUGCAAAAGCCAUAAACAUAUUAUUCUUAGAGAUCACACAACCAUUAUUUUCACUCGCAAAUGAAUAACCAUCCUUCAUCAAGCAUGAAGGAGACAAAAUGUUUCGACUUAAACUAGGAACAAAAUAACAAUUAUUCAACUCCAUAAUAAAUCCUGACGGGAGGUGGAGUUGCAUCGUCCCGACGGUCAACGCAGCAACUCUUGCAUUAUUGCCCACGCGGAAAUCAACUUCUCCUCUUUCCACGCUUCUACUUCUUAUCAUUCCCUGCAUCGAAUUGCAAAUAUGAGCAACCGAUCCGGUAUCAAAUACCAAAGAAUUAAUAAUUGUAUCAGCGAGAAAUAUGUUGUCUAUAACAUUAACAACAAGCGUACCUGAGGUAGAAGUACUCUUACUUCCGCCAUUCUUCAAGGAAGCUAGGUACUGCUUGCAGUUUCUCUUCCAGUGACCAAGUUCAUGACAGUAAAAGCACUCUUUGUCUGGAGCAGGUCCAGGUCCAGCUUUAACCUUGGGCGGUGGGUUUGGCUUGGACGUUCCAGCCUUGGCCUUCUUCUUCCAAGAAUUGCCCUUCUUCUUAAAGCUGGGCUUGUUCUGUAUCGCCAUCACAUGGCUGGUACUAGCGCUUUUCUUGAUGUCAGGCUCUGCUAUUUUAAGCAUGCCACACAGCUCAUUCAGACCCUUCUCCGUCCCAUGCAUAUGGUAGUUCGAGAUGAAGUUCCCAUAGCUAGGCGGAAGAGACGAAAGAAUGAAAUCAGUGGCCAACUCUUGGCCCAGUGGGAAGCCUAGCUUCUCCAACCGUUGAGUGUAACCAACCAUCUUGAUUACGUGUGGUCCUACUGCUGCGCCUUCUGCUAGCUUGCUCUCAACAAAGGCCUUAGACACAUUGAACCUUUCAGUCCUGGCCUGUGUUUGGAACAUGUCUCUAAGCGCCACGAUCAUAUCGUGCGCCUCAUGGUUUGUUUCGAACUGCAUCUGCAGCUCGGGUUCCAUGCAAGCAAGCAUAAGGCAGCUUACUUCGAGGUUAGCAUCACAUGCUUUCUUGUAAGCAUUCUUAGCAGCAGCGGGUGCAUCAUCAGCAGGUUCUUCUGGUAGUGGGUUUUCUAGAACAUCUUCCUUUUUCUCAGCCCUGAGAACAAUUCUCAGGUUACGGAUCCAAUUCGAGUAGUUUGUUCCAUUCAACUUGUCCUUCUCAAGGACCGAACGCAAAGCAAACGAUGUGGUGGUGUUGCUAGGUGCCAUUUAAUCUACAACAAAAGUAAUGCAAAAUACACUAAGACAAACAUAUCCAUGAUAGAGCAAAUUAUAUUAAACUACUUUAACAGAAUCUACUCCCACUAAAAUCAAUAUCCCUCUAUUGAAACUUAGUGAUUCAGGAUCCACAACUAACAAGUCUACUAGUGAGCUUUAGCAUCACCGCUAGCAAACGAGGUAGAUCGGUAAGCAACUUUUGCUAAUCAUAUCACAUAUGACUCCUGUUGUUGGGUGACAUCUCUAUGUCUCGGCGCCCAACCUUUAUGCCCCAAGGUCCUUAACCGUUAAGAUAACCUUGUUAAGCAAACCAACCCUUAUGCGUGUAAGUGUCCGACACAAACCCGUCUAGUCAAGGAAAACUAGUGGCACCCUAAUUUCAUAGACCCACCACUAAUUGUACAAGACAUGGGAUGGUGCAAGUUUUAGUUGGGAGGGCAUACUAACUUAAACUUUGUGAGGGAUCGUUCUACUUCUAACAUCACAGCAUGCAGAAAGUAAAACAUAAACAGAAUAGCAUUCACACAGUUGUGACACAGUAUGGCCCAUUUUCAUAUGGUGAUCUCCAUCUCCAUAGAACCUGUUCACCAUGGUGAUCUCCAUCUCCAUGUUCCAUGUGCGCCAUCCUCCUGGUGAUGAGUCCUCCAAGAACUAGAGCAUGCUAUUACGCCUAAUAGCUAGUAAAGAAUCUAGUAAUGAAGAUUACAUAGUUGCUUGGAUCAUCACAGAUUGGUACGCAGACCAUUAAAUACAAUAAAGUGACAACACAUAUGGCUCCUGCCGUGUUGCCGUACGCGCGACACGCAGGUCACGAAUGAGUUACACACAUGCAUCACAUACACAAGGGGGCCAUACUGAUCACAAGAUACAUACAUACAUCCUGCAAAAGAGAGUUAGGCGUCCUAACGUUCCAAACUUCGGAGGCCCAAAACUCCAUCUUCCAAGCCGAAUUUGGGAAAUCUAAUCUCGCCGAAAAUGGCGAAGCGGUUGAAAUUCAUGUGUAACUUUUUCUAUAGAUCAAUUUUCGUAUAAAAAUCGCCCCGAUCCGAGAUCGUACCGAAAAGUUACGGCUGAUUUACCGAAGCAUACGCAUACGGCAAAAUCCCGACCCCGGCAGUAGAUCCCAUCUACUAUUGCACAUCUAAUGUGCCUGGCGUAUGACCCUGGAUCUCGAUUCGACCAAUCAUAUUGAUCUUCCCUCACUGCAACUGGAUUUACGUGUAUCACUUAACUCCGAUGGCGGAAACCGACCGGUAGGAGUAUGUCGUUACACUACCAUUGCAACAAGGGCACGAAACCAGGACAUAGAUCAAACUGAAAACUCGCAUAUCUCCAUAUGCACACAUCCCGAAUCCAAAACUAAGCAGCUACGGCUCUGAUACCACUGUUGGGAUACGAGGUAGGCUACACUAGCGCAAUUCAAAAAAAUCUACCGCGUAUAACCAGGAAGAACUGCCGUAUAAGGAUCACGGGAUUACCACUCGACGCACUACUGGUGCGGAAGAUGUAGAUAUGCGUCGAUGCAGUGAAGACGAUCACGUAGUCGUACGUAGUCGAUCAACGUAGUCGUACGUAGUCGAUCACGUCCAGCAGCUCCUCAGCAGCUCCUCCACGUGCAGCAAGAUCGCCUCCGGUACCGCGGCUCGUCGUCGGCUCGUCGUGGCUCAUCGGCGGCUCGUCGACGGCUCGUCCAAGUGCUGCAGGCGCAACACCUCCAAGGUAUCCACACGUGCAGGGAGGAAGCGUCGCAAGUCGGACUGCUAGAUCCGCGAGUUGCAACAGGCGAGGGCGUGGGAGGCGCGGCAGGUGUGUUUCGCCAAAAAGGUGUAAACCCUAGGGCGUCCCCACCCCUCUAUUUAUAGAGGUUCCUGAUGGGCCUCUGGAUCCGAGGCCCAUUAGUACUCCUAAACCUAAUCCAACUCGGAUCAGAUCCGAAUUGGGCUUUCAGCCCCUUAAGUGUGUGACCCUAUGGGUUCGGAUACGUAUAGACAUGGCCCGAGUACUCCUACUCGGCCCAAUAGUCGGUAGCGGCCUCUAGCAAGACGUGCCAACUCCUAUACGCACACGAAGAUCAUAUCAGACGAACCAUCACAACAUAAUAUACAUGCUAUUCCCUUUGCCUCACGAUAUUUGGUCUAGCUUCAAGCCGACCGCUCUUUCUUGAUCCUGUGAUUCGGAAUCCCUUUGUAGGUUAACUCUUAACCGUACGUAGCAUGGCCAUGCAUUUUCGGAUCCGAUCACUCGAGGGGCCCAGAGAUAUCACUCUCAAUCAGAGAGGGGCAAAUCUCAUCUUGACUGACCAUGUCUCAUAGCAUGCUUCUUGACAAACCCGAAAGCUACCUUUAUAACUACCCUGUUACGGUGUAGCGUUUGAUAGCCCCUAAGUAGGUCAAUCCACAUCUAGAAUACAUGCGACAAUCUCAGGUCUAAGGACAAAGCGUAUAUGUUAUUUUAAAGAGAGAACUACUUCUCGUGUUGGGUCAGUCCUAACACAUGUCUCCACAUGUGUCCACAUUAUUAGUUCAACAUCUCCAUGUCCAUGACUUGUGAAACAUAGUCAUCAACUAAUACAUGUGCUAGUCUAAUAUUCAUGUGUGUCCUCACAUGAACUCCAACUAGGGACAACUUUAGAAUAACCAUACAAGUAAAGAGUUUCACAUACAAUUCACAUAAUUGCAAAUCAAUUCAAGUAGCCUUUAAUGGAUAUUCAAUGAACACAAUAUACAAAUCAUGGAUACAAAUGGAAUAUCAUCAUCUCUAUGAUUGCCUCUAGGGCAUACCUCCAACAAGCUGAUGUAAAGAGAUCGGGCUGAUGUAUCUAGAACAACAUGAUGUCGGGCCAUCCAAUCCAUACCAAGGAUGACAUCUUCUAGGUCAAGGAUGAUAAGGUUUUCCUUGAAGAGGGUGGGACCUAGCUGGAGAGGUACAAGAAUAACGACCUGAUCUGACGUUAUCCUUCCUCCAGGAGUGGCAAUCACAUAGGGUUCCUUAGCGUGACCGACACUUAGCCCACAUCUUUCCCUUGCCUUACUCCCGAUAAAGCUAUGAGAGGCUCCCGAAUCAAACAACACAACAACAGCUUGAUUUAAAACAAGGAAAGUACCCGUCAUUACUGGCGCACCUUCGGGGAGCUCAGUCAAGCUGGUGUAGUUGAGUCGGCCUUGCCGGACUUGCACCUUGGGCCUUCUUCCUCUGGCUGCCAUGGGGUUCUGACCUUGCUGUGGAUUCUUGUUCCUGGGGCAGUCCUUCGCGAAAUGUCCUUCAUUGCCGCAGGUAAAACAACGAUUACUGGCUGCAGGGCGGGGUGGCGUUGGCAGGGUCGGCCGGGGCACUUGCGGUUGGAAGCCUGGAAAACGAGGCAUUGUCGCCGACGGGGGUCGGGCGAUCCAUUUCCCUGACGGCUGGGGUCGGCCAGGGGCUUGUGGAGGGAUCAUCCGGAACCUUCGAGUCGGUGGACUCGGAAAUGCCACAGAGGCUUUCCUCUUCUGGUCAGCCUUGAGGGCUUGCAUGCAGUCCUCCUGAGAGAUGGCCAGGUUGACCAACUCGUUGUAGGUGUCCACCUUGAUGGGGUUCAACCUUUCCCUGAGCUCCAAGCUCAGUCCUCGGCGGAAUCUGUCCUGCUUCUUCUCGUCUGUGUCCGCAUGAUAGCCAGCAUAACGCCAUAGGUCAUUGAAAGAUUGGGCGUAAUGCAGCACAUCCCGAGUUCCUUGGGUGAGGGCCAAAAACUCGUUGAGCUUGCGCUCCAGGAGACCUUCGGGAAUGUGAUGCGCCUUGAACGCCAUCUUGAACUCGUUCCAGCUGACCACGUGGCCAGCCGGCAGCAUGGCAUGGUAGUGGUCCCACCAAAGCCGUGCGGAGCCACGCAGCUGCUGAGCUGCGAACCGCGCCUUGUUGUGAUCGGGGCAUGGAGCGGUGAGGAGCUCGAACUUGGAUUCGAUUGUACGAACCCAUGCGUCAGCAUCGAGCGGUUCUUGUGUCUUUUGGAACAGCGGGGGCUGUGUCCCCAGGAAGUCCUCAUACCGCGCGAUAUGCGGCUGCGGUUGUGCUCUUCCACCAUGUGGCUGUUGUUGCUGUCCUUUCACCAGAUGCCUUAGCAACUCAGUUUGAGUUGCUAGGAUUGCCUCCAAUGGCGAUGGGGGCGGGGGCGGGGGAAGAUCCUGUCGCUGUUCACUACCGCUGGACACAGCACCAGACCUAGUGCGGUGCGCCAUCUGCAAGAGUUAACGCCCCAUUAAUUUCAUGACCUUAGGUAUACUCCAACAAAUGGAACGUAUGGAUUAAAUCCCUUAAUGCGACUCUUGCCAAUAGUGCAUCACACGUCCUCAUAGAGAAAGCACAUUCCUCUCAUUCUCAGCAUAGAUAACCUCUACUUGACCUGGUACUCCACUUCAGGCAACACAUGCCACAUACAGACUACAGACUCCUACGAUCUGAUCCACUCAAUCCAAGGGGUCGGACACGGUCCGUACUUGAAAAGGGUUGGACGAGGCGGAGACUGCCUCAAAGGGUCGGCGCACUCGGCCUCACAAACUGGGGUCGGCCAACUGAACAGAUCCUCAGAACACAGCAUAUGGUCACGGCACAACUUACUCAACCUAGCAUCCACGCCAUACAAAGAUGAGAAAGCUAUGCACCGGGGUUACUUUAUAUACAACGGUGUUUCAACACAGGGAGCACUCAACUCGAGGCUAACCUAUUACAACUUUUCCAAAAUCUAGGCUGCCGAGGAGUACAACAAAAAGAUGGUUCCCUGAGAACCCUUAAGCUACCAAUGGACACUAUGAGUCGGAGAAGGGGCGCCAUCUUCUUCUAUGUCCAUGUUGGACGCUCCCUCAUCUUCCUCAGGGUCCUCCUGUGCUUCGAGCUGCAUGUUGAGGGCAUGCAUAUCCUCGAGCUCGGCUUGGUGCUCCUCUAGGUGGGCAUUGGCAACUGCCAACUCCAUUUCCACCUCCAUGUUUUCCUCUGAGAGCUCUAUCAUGCCGUCCAUGAGGUCGGCAACUUCUCCUUCUAGCUCAGAGAUCCGAUCUUGCAUAUCGUGGAUCUGGAUACCACGCUGGAUCAGCUGGUAGGUUUGGCCUACCAUAUCUCUUCUUGCUGCCUGGAGGUGACCGUGGGUAUCUGCUGCCGUCCAGGCGAAAAGGGUCAUGGCUCUCCCCUGAAGCUCUAUCAACCGGUAGAGAGCGGCCAUGCACCGGAUGUUGGUGGAGAUGGUAACCAUGGCACAGGUGGUGGCUAACACCUCGAUGUUCCCGACACGGUCAAGCCAGGCCGGGUCCAGCCGGUUCCUGAAGGGGAAGAGGCCGAUCGGGUCUAGCGUGAUCUCCACGGGAUGCAGCUGACAGAACUGGGUGAGCAACUGAAGGGCGGCAGACUCCCAUGUAUCUUCCGGGGCAAGACCAUAGGCUAUUAUGCCCAGAGAGGGCCAGUCGGGCCGGGCAAGGGGAGGUGGUACCAACGCUUGCACCUGGCACGUCUGAAGGCCCUGUUCCAGAUAUAACCGCCCGGCAUACAAGGGCGGGGACUGAUACCCAAACCACUUCAGCGUAUCCCACAGAAUCGUGGGAAACCCCUCGAAAUGCAGGCACGUUGACUGGAAGGUACCGUCCGCUCCAAAAACAACAUGUCCGGGAGCAGCCAUCUGGAACCAAGAAAACCGGAAACCACGUGAGAUAAACUCCAAGGAUCAGGGGUCGGAUAGAGAAGCAUACGGGUUUAACCGAGAGCACUAAGAGAAACUAGAAAUCCUUAGAUCCAGAAGAACUCUUUUGAACAGGGUUGCUGUUGAGAAAGGGAACCGUACGACCUUGAAGAUGUGACACAUGCACGGCCUACCUUACUCUUAACCAAAAACAACUGCCCGAAACUCGGGUCUUACGCGGUCAGUGCCGGUGACAAGGCAACAAUACGUCUCUCCCUAUAAUAACUAGUCGGUUCUAGUAACGUCUCCUAAACGAACGCGGUUAGCAACCUGCAGAAAACACCACACACGAACCUUUCGUGCCAGCACCCACGAAAGCGUUCUCAAACAUUACCGCUCCCUAUAGGAACGGCACCCAUGCGUUUAAGGCUGCAUGGAUAGCACUCAACCGUGGAAAUAGGCUCCCUUUGAAUGGAUCCGUAUAACCCUUCGCAUACUCGUGAUGCGGAAUCGGCACACGUAUGACAAACGUGGCGAAACAACCGUGCUGAUAGGUUCGUUGGAAUCGAACCGUACCAACCUUCGUAUGGAACACAUACGGAACCUGCGCACGUGUAAUAGACGUGGGCGAAAACAACCGCGAAGAUAGGGUCCUUCGAAUGGAGCUCCCUAUCAACCCUCGCAUGCUCGUGAUGCGGAACUCGGCACACGUAUGAUAGACGUGGCGAAGUGCUGGAAGAGUUAGCAAAAUAACCAAAUAUUUAUUAGUCACCUAAAACAACCCCAAAAUCCCCUAGGGCCUCUCGCACUAAGUCAUCCUUAACGAUUGUACGAGAUUUUUCAAAAGUUUCUUGCAACUUUUAUCCCUUUCAAAGAAUGUUUAGGGCUUGUUGGGUUCUCUGAAAUGCUAAACACGGCUCUGAUACCAGCUGUGGCGGAACCACCUCGGAUUAGCUUGAUUAAGCAGGGUUAAACCGCCUAACAUGCGACACUCCUGCCUAAACCGAGUUAAUACGAAGUGCCGUCGGAUUUCAUCCGAUUUAACCACUUAAACAGGAUCGAGUUCAGCAAACCCACACGAAGGUGAGCGGUUACAGAGAAUACAACAAGUCCACUGAGUUGAACAAGUUUUACCCAUUUGGUUUGGCCAUAAAAUCCAACAUCAGAGUUUUACAAGUUUUCAAGGAAACAACAGAGAAAACACUAGCGGAAGACUUCGUCGGGGUCGGACAUCCUUGGUGAGGCCAACCGGGACAUCACUGGCUCCUUCCCUCGCCGUCCGAGGAAGGAUCCCACUCGACCGUCCAGCCUGGCGGGAGCUGGGGCGGCCAAGCACCAACCAGAGAGGGGUCGGAAGCAGCAACUUCACCUGAAAACAGGAGCCACAACAAGGCUGAGCUACUAAGCUCAACAAGACUUAACCGAUAGGAGGAAGGGCUACUCCUCCUUCUAGACAUGCAAGGCUGUUUGGCUGAGGGGGUUGUUUGCCAAAAGCACUAAGUAACCCUAUUUUCAAGUUUUAGCUCCGGUUCUAGGUUCAUUUACCAAUCUAGGUUGUGCCACCUAUUCUAAGCAUUCAUAGAAUCAAACAAGAUGUAUAGAUACAACAACAAACAUUGCCAUCAUCAGAUUCCUCAUUUACUCAGGGUGACAUAGCGAUCAAGCAAUCUCAAACUGUGAGAGGCAGACGAAUCGAUUCGAGUUCUUUAAUCAUGCAUGGUGAACCUAGCCUCACGACAUCCACGCACCCGGAGGUCGCUUCCUGUGUCGGCCUUCCCCAUCAAUCCCCUAACCCGUGUCGGGCCCAUUUCCUUUGGUGCAAGGUUCCACAGACCCGGCGUCUGCCAUUCUGUGACCACGCUUGCCACCACGUGCGACAACCAGCAGGGGAAACUCCGUUCCAAGAACAAUGGGGCGACCACUCACGUCUAGGUUCAAUCCGGUACUAGGCUUCCUCAUCCCAUACUAAGUAUGAGGCUAGUACUUUCAAACACUUGAUCACGAACACCACCACUGUCGGGCCUUAGCAAGAUUUCAUAGACAAACGGGGCAACCAUCCGACCACCAAAAAGUUACCAAAACCUUGCCCCGUCCAUCGUCCUUAUAGUUAUAACAGGAGAGUAAACAUGCAACUCCUACAACUCGCGAGAGACAGGAAAUCACUCGACUUCUACCGUCUCCUAGUUAAGCAAUGCAGCUACUCGGUCCAACAGCUAGUGCUCAGAUCACUGGGAUGUGCAAAUGCACAAGCAUGUUACAGAAGGCAUGCGCAAGUCUGGUAAAACACAUAGGACUUUCAUGCAACCGGGGCUUGCCUUCAAGCAAGGAGGACGGAAACUGCUCGACUUCGGGGGCGACUUCGGCUUCGGAGGACAGGAGCUCGGCUACAGCUUUUUCUUCUGGCGCCGGGUGAAGCUCGUAGAAGCCGUCGGCGAGGUGCAGCUCUACACGAAUGCAAUGCAGGGGUUAGCAUAGACAGUUACUUCAACAGCAACACUGGCUCGCCUGAGCCCAGAAACUCGCGACAAAGAGCAGGAGGUUAAGGUGGUUCGAGAGCUGAUGAUGAUCAAGAGGUAAGGGUAGGAAGGAACUAGUGGUCUGAUCCUUGAACUAGAGGAUGUGAUAAACUGGGGGUCCUUAGACGCAAGCGUUGAAGGGUUCCCAAGUUUUACACAUACACCCUCGAGUUGAAGAAAAAGAUCACAGCCAAGCCCUCGGGCGAGGCGGACAAGGGUCGGCGGAACAGACAGGGUCGGGCGAGACGAAACCGGGGUCGGGCGGAUAGGAGGGGUCGGGCGAGGCGGACUGGGGUCGGCAACUCACCUUCUUCCUGAAAGGAAAGCUUGGGGUCGGAACGAAGCAGACUUGGGCGGAGGGACUACGGUUUGAUCAGAAGCUAAGACCGGCGAUGCUCCGGCGGCGGCGCUGCUUCUUGCGGAUCACAAGAGAGCUUUUACGCAGCACGGAGGAGCAAGCUGCUGGGUGACUUGGAGAAGAACUGAGGGAGAACUGAGAGAAGAACUCCUCAAGAACUGGGUGGGUGGCGCUAGGAGCUUGAGCAGGGAGCUAGACGAGGCUGAAGGCAACGAGAGCGGAGGGAACUCCGGCGACGGGGGCAUUCCUUUUAUAGCUGCUGGAGCAGAGGAAAGGAAACGGCGCGGAGAGAGAGAAGGGGAGCGGCGCGAAGGCCGGGGAGAGGCAAUGGAGUGCUCUGCCGGGGCGGCGAUUGAGCAAAGAGGGCGGUGGUGCAGAACUCCGGGGGUGACGCCAGCAAUCAUGGCGUUCUGCCGUCAGGGUGGCGUAGGAGUGGGUAGACUGGUGGUUGAGAUUUGGCGGAAAGUGGGCGUCGUCGUGCGGAAGAUGUGAUAGAAGUGACCGGCUUAACGAAACUAGAAUCGAGGGCGCUCGGGUGAGAAGGCAGGCGGACGCGGGCGCGGGGGAGAGCGCGGAACAACAGAUUGUCGGGCGGCUUCGAACAGAGCGGGGGAAAGGAACUGUCGCGGCCGCGGUCGGGGUUGGCGGUGGAGGAAUCGUCGUGUAGCGGCGACCAGGCAGCGCAACUGUGGCUGAAGGGACGGAAAAGACGGGCGACAUUGGGCUCUGGGGCCGGGAUCUGGUGGCGUGAUGAUGGGCGCGGGAGGCGAGGUUCUGCAGAAAGGGGUGCAGAGGGCUUCCGCUGCCAUUGGGGAAAGGGGCGCGGGAACCCACUCGGUCGCUGUCCAGAGACAAAACUGAGCGGCAGGCGUUGGAGAAGACGAGCCACGAGGCAGGAAGACUCUGAAGCAGCCAUGCAACUCGAGUGCGGCUGUCGCGGGGGAUCUGGAAAAGAUCUCGCGGGUCCACCAGUGGAUAGAUCGGACGGGUGAGGAAGAUUAACAAAAUCUGACGGUGGGCUGAGCUCGUCGGGGUCGGGAGAGGAGCGAAGCCGGAAGGGGUUGGAUCUCAGGGGUCGGGACCGGCGGGAAACUGAGCACUUAGGUGCGGUCAAGCAAGACAGCUGACUAAGGUUAAGGGCUGCGAUCAAGACUAACUAGAAGGCUUAGGGGUCGGUCGUUACACCUGCACUAUGCGCAGGCCUUCAAUGAUCUGUGCCGAUACGCUGGGUAUCAUGCGGACACAGAUUAGAAGAAGCAGGACAGGUUCCACAGAGGGUUAAGCUUGGAGCUCAGAGAGAGAUUAAACCCAAUAAGGGUGAAUACGUACAACGAGUUGGUCAACUUGGCCAUCUCACAAGAGGACUGCAUGAAGGCUCUGGUAGCCGAGAGGAAGAGGAAGGCUCCACUGCCAACGCCCAGCCCACCUACACAACGUUUCAGAAUGGUUCCACCACAGGCACCCAGCCGACCUCAGCAGCCGGGAAGAUGGGUUGCCCGACCCCCACCAGCGGUAGCACUUCAUUUUCCGGGAUUUCAACCUCAGGCUCCGCGGCCGACCCUACCGCCACCACCGUGCCCUGCAAAUGGUAACCACUGCUUCACCUGCGGCAAUUUGGGGCAUUUCGCCAAGGACUGCCCCAGGAAUCAGAAUCAGCGCCAAGGGCAAAGCAAUGCGAUGCUCAAUAAAGGGAAGAGGCCCAAGAUGCAAGUUCGCCAAGGUCGGUUGAACUUCACCAAUGCAGCAGAGCUUCCUGAAGGUGCACCGAUAAUGACGGGUACCUUUCUUAUUCACAGUCUUUCAGCUUUGGUUUUGUUUGACUCAGGAGCCUCACAUAGUUUUAUUGGAAGAAAGACUAGUGACAAAUAUGGGUUAAAGGAAUGCCAAACAAGAGGAUCUUUUAGGAUAUCCACCCCGGGUGGGGUAAUCACAUCUGAUAGGAUGAGUGUCAAUGUGCCUAUCUAGCUAGGCCGAACCCUUUUUAAGGAGAAUCUUGUUAUUCUCGAUCUGGAGGGGAUUGAUGUCAUCCUAGGAAUGGAUUGGAUGACAAGGCACCAGGUUGUGUUAGAUAUUCCAGCCCGAGCUAUCCAUGUCAACUCACCCCACCAAGGCCCCUCUGUUGUCCAAUUGCCUCGCCGAGAAGAUGUGAAUUCUUGUGCGUAUCCCGCAAUUGAGACCCAAUUGAAGGACAUCCCUGUAGUCUGUGAGUACCCCGACGUGUUUCCCGAUGUUUUGCCGGGCAUGCCGCCCGAUAGAGAUGUGGAGUUUUCCAUAGAGUUGAUCCCCGGCACCGCCCCUAUCUCCAAAAGACCUUAUCAGAUGCCACCCGCUGAGUUGGCCGAGUUAAAAACCUAUUUGAAGGAUCUGUUGGAAAAAGGCUUUAUCCGACCCAGCACUUCACCUUGGGGUUGCCCAGCCCUGUUUGUGAAGAAGAAGGAUGGGAGUCUACGCAUGUGUGUGGACUACCGACCUCUCAAUGCGGUGACUGUCAAGAACAAGUAUCCACUUCCCCGCAUUGAUGUUCUGUUUGAUCAGUUAGCUGGAGCAAGAGUAUUCUCCAAGAUCGAUCUUCGUUCCGGUUAUCACCAAAUCAAGAUCAGACCCUGUAACAUUCGCAAUACUACCUUCUCCACAAGAUAUGGACUCUACUAGUACCUGGUUAUGCCUUUUGGAGUCACCAAUGCACCCGCUUACUUCAUGUAUCUCAUGAAUUCGGUGUUCAUGCCCGAGUUAGACAAGUUUGUGGUGGUGUUCAUUGAUGAUAUCCUAGUGUACUCGAAGAACGAAGAAGAACAUGCCGAUCAUCUUCAUGUGGUUCUUCAACGGUUGAAGGAUCAUCAGCUUUAUGCCAAGUUCUCCAAGUGUGAAUUUUGGUUAGAUAGUGUCAAGUUCUUGGGACACACUAUCUCUUGGAAUGGCAUAGCCGUUGACCCCAGCAAGGUACAGGAAGUCAUGGACUGGAAGCCUCCCACUUCAGUUCACCAGAUCCGAAGUUUUCUUGGAUUGGCAGGCUACUAUCGGCGCUUCAUUCUAGAUUUCUCCAAGAUAGCUAAGCCGAUGACCGAGCUGUUGAAGAAAAAGAGGUCAAAUUUGUAUGGAACGACAAGUGUGUAGAAGCCUUCAACACCUUGAAACACUUGCUAACCUCAGCCCCGGUUUUGGCUCAACCCGACACUUCUAAGUCGUUUGACGUAUACUGUGACGCCUCUGGCACUGGACUUGGGUGUGUUCUUAUGCAAGACAAUCGAGUCAUUGCCUAUGCCUCACGGGCGUUACGACCUCAUGAGCUGAACUAUCCGACCCAUGAUCUUGAGUUGGCAGCAGUGAUUCAUGCCUUAAAAAUAUGGAGACACUAUCUGAUGGGCACCCACUGUAACAUCUACAUCGAUCACAAGAGCCUCAAGUACAUCUUCACUCAGGCCGACCUCAACAUGCGCCAAAGAAGAUGGUUGGAGUUGAUAAAGGAUUACAAUUUGGAGGUGCAUUAUCACCCCGGCAAGGCCAACGUAGUGGCAGAUGCUCUUAGCCGCAAGACCCAUUGCAAUUGCUUGUUGGCAACCAACUUCACAGAGACUCUGUGCCAUGAGGUGGGAAAACUUAAUUUGGAAAUUGUCUCCCAUGGAACCCUCGGACACAUCUCACCCUUGAGUCUGCUUUGGAGGACCAAAUUGGGACGGCACAGUUAGAAUAUGAGGAAGUAAGGCGAACCAAAAGAAAGAUUUCAUGGAAGGAUGAGAGGUAUAAGCAAUUCUGACAGAAUGAGAAUGGGAGAGUGUACUUUGAGAACCGACUCAUUGUUCCGUCCGACCCCACCCUUAGGAAGCAACUCCUAGAUGAAGCUCAUCUCUCCAAGUUCUCAAUCCAUCCUGGCAGCAAUAAGAUGUAUCAUGAUCUCCGUCAAAUCUUCUGGUGGAGUGGAAUGAAACCUGAGAUUGCACGAUAUGUUUCAGAAUACGACACCUGUCAAUGUGUCAAAGCCAGCCAUUUAAAGGUAGCAGGUACCCUGCAACCCCUACCUAUUCCCUCUUGGAAAUGGCAAGACAUCAGCAUGGACUUCAUUGUUGGACUACCCCUUAUCGCAGCGGCAUGAUUCCAUUUGGGUGAUUGUGGAUCAUCUUACCAAGACUGCCUACUUUCUUCCGGUUCACACCACCUACACGGCCAAGAAAUAUGCAGAGUUGUAUCUUGACCGCAUUGUUUCCUUGCACGGUGUGCCUAGGACGAUCAUAUUUGAUCGAGGAGCUCAGUUUGUAGCGCGUUUUUGGGAACAGCUACAAGCAUCAAUGGGCACCAAGCUCAUUCGUAGCUCGACUUACCACCCUCAAACCGAUGGUCAAACUGAAAGGGUAAAUCAGAUCCUUGAAGACAUGUUGAGAGCUUGUGUCAUCCAUUAUGACAAAAAUUGGGAUAAGUGCUUACCAUUGGCAGAGUUCUCCUAUAACAAUAGCUACCAGACUAGCUUGAAGAUGGCACGAUUUGAAGCCCUAUAUGGUCGGAAAUGUCGGACACCGUUGAAUUGGUCACAAGAUGGUGAAAGACAGACCUAUGGCCCUGACUUAGUAGUAGAAGAAGAAGAACAAGUGAAGAUAAUUCAAGCAAAUCUCAAGGCCGCCCAAUCUUGACAGAAGAGUUACUCCGACACGAGAAGAAGACCCCUGCAAUUUGAUAUUGGUGAUCAUGUGUAUCUUCGAGUCUCCCCGACCAAAGGAGUGCAACGGUUUGGAGUAAAAGGGAAAUUGGCUCCCCGUUACAUUGGCCCUUAUGAGAUUGUGGAAAUUUGCAGACCCGUUGCUUACCGGAUCCAACUACUCGGGCAGCUCUCGGCCCUUCAUGAUGUUUUCCAUGUCUCCCAACUGAAGAAAUGUGUCCAAGUCCCAACUGAGAUCUUAGGGCAGGAGCAACUUCAAAUCGAACCCGACCUGACCUAUGCUGAGUACCCGGCCAAAGUUCUUAACCGUAAGGAGAGGCACACCCGACGACAAGUGGUGAAAAUGUACAAAAUCCUAUGGAAUAACCACACAGAGGAUGAAGCAACAUGGGAAACAGAAGAGUAUCUGAACAAGCAUUUCCAAGGUUUUCUUUUCAGCCAAGGAGGUAAGGACUGCACACCCCCAGUGGUCGCUCUUACACUCGAAUCUCGAGACGAGAUUUAUUUUAAGAGGGGUAGGCUGUAACGACCCUGGUCAAAUCAUUCGAGUUAAUCUAAAUUGGAAGCCCAAAUUCCUCUGUCUCAGCUCUUCCCGAGCAGGAGUGCUCCACUCCAGUUCCCGGUCCCGACCCUUGAAGACCCGAACCAACCCCGUCGGUUCCUUCUGAGUUCCCCGAGGCAGUGCUUCUUUCAAUCUUGGAGCUGUGGGACAACCGAGACUGAUCGGUGGACCCGCAAAUCUUUUCCCCGGAUCUCCCGAGGCAAACGCACUCGAGCGGCCUGCACCGCUUCAGAGCUCCCCCGCCGCGUGGCUCAACUUCUCCGACACCCGCCGCUUCGCCCAUUCGCCGGCCGCGACAGGAUGGAUUCUCGCGCCCUCCUCCCCAUUCGCAGCGAAAGCCCCUCUGCAACCCUUUCUGCAACGCCUCAUCUCGCUCGCGCCCUCGCCGGUCGUGCCUUGGUGCUCCGUCGCCGCUGUGGCAGAGCUUUGCCGCCUGCUGCGUCAAACCGCCUCGCGGCUCGCGCCCAUCAUCAUCUCACCAGAUCCCCGGCUGCAAGGCCCGAUGCCUUCCGGCUUUUCCGCCGCCUCUCCAUAGUCGCGCCGCCCACGAACUCGCUACGCGACGAUUCCUCCAUCGCCAACCCCGACUCCGGCCGCGACAGUUGUUGGUAUACGAGGUACGCUACACUAGCGCAAUUCAAAAAUUCUACUGCGUAUAACCAGGAAGAACUGCCGUAUAAGGAUCACGAGAUUACCACUCGACGCACUACUGGUGCGGAAGAUGUAGAUAUGCGUCGAUGCAGUGAAGAUGAUCACGUAGUCGUACGUAGUCGAUCAACGUAAUCGUACGUAGUCGAUCACGUCCAGCAGCUCCUCAGCAGCUCGUCCACGUGCAGCAAGAUCGCCUCCGGUGCCGCGGCUCAUCGUCGGCUUGUCGUGGCUCAUCGGCGGCUCGUCGACGGCUCGUCCAAGUGCUGUAGGCGCAACACCUCCAAGGUAUCCACACAUGCAGGGAGGAAGCAUCGCAAGCCGGACUGCUAGAUCCGUGAGUUGCAACAGGCGAGGGCGUGGGAGGCGCGGCAGGUGUGUUUUGCCAAAAGGUGUAAACACUAGGGCGCCCCCACCCCUCUAGGUUCCUGACGGGCCUCUGGAUCCGAGGCCCAUUAGUACUUCUAAACCUAAUCCAACUCGGAUCAGAUCCGAAUUGGGCUUCCAGCCCCUUAAGUGUGUGAUCCUAUGGGUUCGGAUACGUAUAGACAUGGCCCGAGUACUCCUACUCGGCCCAAUAGUCGGUAGCGGCCUCUAGCAAGACGUGCCAACUCCUAUACGCACACGAAGAUCAUAUCAGACGAACCAUCACAACAUAAUAUACAUGCUAUUCCCUUUGCCUCACGAUAUUUGGUCUAGCUUCAAGCCAACCGCUCUUUCUCGAUCCUGUGAUCCGGAAUCCCUUUGUAGGUUAACUCUUAACCGUACGUAGCAUGGCCAUGCAUUUUUGGAUCCGAUCACUCGAGGGGCCCAGAGAUAUCACUCUCAAUCAGAGAGGGGCAAAUCCCAUCUUGAUUGACCAUGUCUCAUAGCAUGCUUCUUGACAAACCCGAAAGCUACCUUUAUAACUACCCUGUUACGACGUAGCGUUUGAUAGCCCCUAAGUAGGUCGAUCCACAUCUAGAAUACAUGCGACAAUCUCAGGUCUAAGGACAAAGCGUAUAUGUUGUUUAAAGAGAGAACUACUUCUCGUGUUGGGUCAGUCCUAGCACAUGUCUCCACAUGUGUCCACAUUAUUAGUUCAACAUCUCCAUGUCCAUGACUUGUGAAACAUAGUCAUCAACUAAUACAUGUGCUAGUCUAAUAUUCAUGUGUGUCCUCACAUGAACUCCGACUAGGGACAACUUUAGAAUAACCAUACAAGUAAAGAGUUUCACAUACAAUUCACAUAAUUGCAAAUCAAUUCAAGUAGCCUUUAAUGGAUAUUCAAUGAACACAAUAUACAAAUCAUGGAUACAAAUGGAAUAUCAUCAUCUCUAUGAUUGCCUCUAGGGCAUACCUCCAACAACAGUUCCUUGUCCGCCUUGCCAGAACUGUGCCCGGCAAACCGCUGUUUCGCGCUUGCCCGCGCAGCCGCAGCCCACCUGUCUUUUCACCUGUUGCAACCUCGCUUGUAGUGCCGUUCUCCCUAUCACACCAAUCAGAUCCGCCGCUCGAUGAUGCCCACCUCCGCCAAAUCUCAACCCCGGCAAAAUCGCGCCUGCGCCGCCUUGUCUCCAGUGCCCAAUAGCCGAGGACGCUAUCUCCGAAGUCCUGUUCCGCCGCCCAUCGCCGCUCAAUUGCCGCCAUGGCAGUGCACUCCAUCCUUUUCUUCCGGUCUUAGUGCUACUCCAACUCUCUCUCUUCCGUGCAGCUAUAAAAGGGAAUGCCAGAGUCCUACUUGAGUUCCCUUCGCCAUCGUUGCCUUGCCGCCUUGUUCCUCUGUUUCGUGCUCGAGCGCCGCCACCUAAGUUCUUGAGGAACUCUCAUCUCUGCUCAACACCCGCCCCUCCCAAUCCACCUAGCCGCCUGCUCCUCCGCGCUGUGCUAGAGCUUCCUUGUUGCUCACAAGAAGCUCCACCGCCGUCGGAGCACCGCCGGACAUCGCCGCCACCCAAGCCUUAGUGCUUAAGACCUUCCGCCCAAGUCUACUCCUUCCCGACCCCAAAGCUUCACCUAUAAACCGAAGGUAAGCUGCCGACCCCUCACCGGUUCGCCCGACCCUAUCUGUUCGCCCGACCCCUUUUCCGUCUCGCCCGACCCUGUCUGUUAGCCGACCCUUAUCUGCCUCGCCUGAGGACUUGGCUGUAUCCUUUCCUUGGCCCGAGGGUACCUGUGUAAAAGAGCGGGGACUUCUCUACGUUAAUUCUGAGGACCCCCAGCACAGCUAUUCCUCUAGCUUAAGGGUCAGAUCAUAAGUUUCUUCCCAUCCGACCCUUUUAUCUUGCUCUCCACCAACUAAAGUAAACUUCCCCACAUUUUCUGUAGCCUUGCUGCAAGUGUCCGAGCUUAACUGCAAGUGUUGUUGAAAUAACCGUCUAAACACUAACUCCUGCAUUGCAUUCGUGUAGAGUCGCACCUCGCUGACGGCGUCUACGAGCUACACCCAGUGCCAGAAGACGGAGCUGUAGCUGAGCUACCAGUUCCAGAAGCCGAAGUCACCCCAGCUGAAGACUAGUUCUCCUCCCCUCCGCUUGAAGGCAAGCCCCAGAGCAUGAACCCCAAAUUUUUCCCAAACUUGCGCAUGCCUUCUUUCUCAUGUUUGUGCAUUUACGUAAAGGAGUUGUUUGCAACCUUAGAUGCAUGACAUAGUUCCUUUGAUCUGAACACUAGUUUGUUAGGCCGAGUAGUUGCUAUGCUUAAAUAGGAAACGGUAAAAGUCGAGUGAUUUCCUGUCACUCGCGAGUUAUAGGAGUUGGUUGUUUUCCUUCUGUUACAACUAUAAGGAUGAUGGACGGGGCAGGGUUUUGGUUAACUCUUUUGGUGGUCGGUUGAUCACCCCGUCUGUCUAUGAAAUCUGUUAAGGCCCGACAGUGGUGGUGUUCGUGAUCAAGUAUUUGAAAGUACUAAUCUCAUACCUAGUAUGGGAUGGGGAAGCCUAGUACCUGAUUGAACUAGGGCGUGGCUUAUACCCCUGCUGUCCCUGGAACGAGGUUCCCAUGGUGCAUCAUGUGGGUGCAAGUGCGGUUACAGUACGGUAGAGGCCGGGACUGUGGAGCAUUGCAUGCCAAGGGAAGUUUGGACCUGACACGUGCUUGGGAAUUGAUGGGGACGGCCGACAUAGGAAGCGACCCUUGUGGUGCGUGGAUGUCAUGAGAUUAGGUUCGCCAUGCAUGGUUAAGAAACUCGAAUCGAUUCAUCUGCCUCUCACAGUUUGAGACUGCUUGAUCGCUAUGCUACACUGAGUAAUGAAAGAGUCUGAUGAUGACAUGGUCUUGAUGAUGAGCUUAUAUACAUAAAGUUGGAUCUAUGUUUGCUUAGAGUAAGAUGCCAACGUAGACUGGUUAAUGAACUUAGAAGUUGAGCUAUAACUUGAAAGCAAGGACCUAACAUAGUCGCUUUUGGCAAACAAACCCCUCAGCCAAAGAGCCUUGCAUGUCUAGACGUGGUGGAGUAGUUUUACCACCGGUCGGUUAAGUCUUGUUAAGCUUAGCCGCUCAGCCUUGUUUGUGGCUCUCUUUUUUAGGUGAAGUCGUAGCUCCUGAGUUUGCUCCUGUUGGCACUUGGCCGCCCCAGCUCCCUCCGGGUUGGACGGUCGAGUGGGAUCCCUCCUCAGACGGCGAGGAAAGGGAUCACUGAUGUCCUGAUCAGCCUCAUCAGGAACAUCCGACCCCGGCGCUAGCUUCCGCUAUUUUACCUUUCCGCUGCUUUUGAAUCUUGUAAAACUCUGACUUUCGUUUUGAUGUUGAACUAAAUUGUCAAACUUGUUUAACUCAGUGGAUUUGUUGUAUUCUCUGGAACCACUCACCUUCGUGUGAGUUUUGCUAACUCGGUCCUGUUAAGUGGUUAAAUCGGAUGAAAUCCGACGGCACUUCGAGUUAACUUGACUAAGGCAUGAGUGUCGCGUGUCAAGCGACUUAACCGUGCUUUAAUCAAGGUAAUCCGAGGUGGUUCCACCACACUCCUGCAGGAUGUAAAUCAGUCCGGAUCGCCGCAAUUCUCGGAUAUGAAUGCACUUGAUCAUUGCUUAAGCAUCGUAGUGUAACAAAGAGAAGGGAACCGUUGCUUUUGAAUAAAUAUGUUGAAUGACUUAGUUCCAUCUGGUUGAUAAAAUAUUUUUCAUCAUCUAGACUGGUCAGGUAACAGACUCAAUCUGAAAUAAAAGAUAAAACUAAGGUUUUACAUAUGGUAAGCUUUUUCGGCAAAAUGUGAGUCAGCGAGUACACCAUAAAGCCAUCAUACAGUAUGACAGAAAUAUUUAUAUUGGUUAGACAAGUCAGACUUGCUGAGUACUUUGUACUCAGGGGAUCCUUUGUUGUUGUUUUCAGAAACCCAGCAGGGACCCACCGAGGAGGAAGCACCGAAGAACUAGGGUAUCUUAAGAGUCUCAUGAUACCCUAGAAUAAACUUAGAUGUUUAAUUACUUACCUCGGACUGUUUUAUAUUUUAAACUCUUAGCAAUGGUUUAACUUGCACUGUUAAGUUUCCUCAAUCUAUGGUUUGUAAAUCGUACCUCGGUUAUGUAUGUAAAAAUGUAAUAUUUGUUGAUGCUAUCCCAUCGUGGAAGCGGUCCUGAUGUAUGGCUAUGGAACACCCUAUGGAGGUUUUCAAGGAGUUCUGUGAACAGAACCCUUGAUGGACUACCAGAUUUACACUAUUUUAAGUGCGUUUUGGAUAAUUGUUGUUCUGACAGCAAUUAGGUGCACUUAAGUCAGUUUAAGUUGGGCAGUUCCACCAUAGCUGGUAUCAGAGCCAUAGGUUGGGAUAAUCAACAGAUAUUACUAUUUAAAAAUUGAGACUCUAUUUUAAAUAAAGAAAACGUGAGUCUUAGGUGGCAGUAGUAUUAAUUGGUUUCUUGUUUUGCAGAUGCUAACUGUUUGCUGCGUGUCGCUAGUAUUCGGUAGCAUAUUACUAGGGAGGGAUUACGAUGCCAUCAAUUUUCCUACGAGUGUGUAUAUGAGUCUGAAAGCACGUAGGAAUCGCUGCAUCAUAAUUGCAUAGCAUGUUUUAAAAACUUUUGGGUUUGGUGACUGUCGUUAGACCUAAAACCCGUUCCGUGCGUUAGAAGUUAGACGUGGUCAGGACCGGUGCAAACAGGGGACCGAAGAAGAAAGUACCAAGGAAGAUGAAUAGACCUAGAAUCCUUUGAUGCAACCAGCUUCACUAUAAUACUAUGGAAGGACAAAAGAAUGAAAAUACUUCGGGAACGAGUAAGCCAAGGUGAUGUUACUUGUUUUACCCAGAAUGAAAAAGGGGUGCUCUAUUUCAAAAACUGAAUAGUAGUACCCAAGAAGAUGGGCUUGAGAAAAAAGAUCCUAGAUGAAACUCAUUUGUCAAGAUUCUCUAUCCACCUUGGAAGUACUAAGAUGUAUCAAGACCUGAAGCAAUGCUUUUGGUGGACAAGGAUGAAGAGGGAAAUAGCCAAGUAUGUAUCUGAAUGUGAUACAUGCCAAAGGGUGAAGGCCACACAUCAGAAAUCAGCUGGCUUAUUGCAACCCUUAACCAUUCGUAAAUGGAAGUGGGAAGACAUUUCCAUGGAUUUUAUAGUAGGAUUGCCUACUACCUCAAAGGGGUAUGAUUCCAUAUGGGUUAUCGUGGAUCGACUCACUAAGUCGGCUCAUUUUAUUCCUGUCAAGACUACUUACCGUAUGCCAGUUUAUGUGGAACUCUAUAUGUCUCGAGUAGUGUCAGCACCUCGAACAUGUCAACGCCUCAUGGCUCCACAUGGCAGCCACGUGGCCAUCUAGUCUACAUGGCACUGCCACAUGGCGCACACGUGGUCGUCCCCAGCCGGCCGGGAUCCAUGUGUCGGGCGGAUCCUGUGCGUGUGGCGGAACUGCUCAAAUUAACUUGGCUAAAGCACACUUAAGUCGCCUAACACACGAUCAUGUACUUUAAUCAAGUCAACUCGGUAGUCCGUCGGAUUUCAUCCGAUAAACCACUUAUCACAGGAUCGAGAAAGCAUAGCUCACACGAAGGUGAGUGGUUACAGAGAUUACAACAGUCUAUCCAUAUUAAACAAGUGCAUCAAAUUGCUACAACAUCCAGUUUGAAAUUCAAACAUAGUUUGCAGAGUUUCAAGCAGCAGAAAUAAAUAAGCGGAAGCUAACGUCGUUGUAGGAUAUCAUGACGAAGCCGAUCAUGACAUUAAUGAUCCCUGUCCUCACCGUCCGAGGAAGGAUCCUACUCGACCGUCCAUCUCGGAGGGAGUUGGGUGGGCCAAGUUCUACUUGCAGCGAGCUCAGGGGUAACAACAUCACCUGAAAAGAUGUGCCACAAGCAAGGCUGAGCAACUAUGCUCAACAAGACUUAACCGACGGGUGGUAACUACAUCCACCAACACCUAAACAUGCAAGCUUUUUGGUUUUGGGGUUUGUUUUUGCCAAAAGCGACUAGAGUAGGUCUUUACUUUCAAUAUUUUAGCACCAUGUUCUAGUUGAUUAACCAUUCUAGGUAAGCAACUAUACUAAGCAGGCAUAGCUUUUCAAGCAAUUAAUAACAAGUAACAACAUUUAAUCAUCGUCACAUUCCUUUCUUACUCAGUAUAGCAUAGCGAUCAAGUAGUCCCAAACUGUGAGAGGCAGACGAAUCGAUUCGAAUUUCUUAACCAUGCAUGGUGAACCUAAUCUCAUGACAUCCAUGCACCACGAAGGGCCGCUUCACUUGUCAGCCGUCCCCAUCGAUUCCCAGACCUGUGUUGGGCCCACUUCCCUUGGUACAAGGCUUCAUAGACCCGGCCUCUGUCGUUCUAUGACCGCACUUGUCACCACAUGCAGCCACAAGGGAAACUCCGUUCCAGAGACAGUGGGGCGAUCCACUCAUGUCCUGGUUCAAUCAGGUACUAGGCUUCCCAAUCCCAUACUAGGUAUGAGAUUAGUACUUUAAAACACUUGAUCACGAACACUAUCACAUCUCGACCUUAGUCAAUUUCAAGUAGACAGACGGGGCAAUCCACCGACCACCAAAAAUAGUUCACAGAGCCCUGCCCCGCCCAUCGUCCUUACAGUUGCAGCAAAAGAAAAGGGCAUUCAACUCCUAUAACUUGCGAGUGAUAGGCAAUCACUUGACUUUUACCGAGUCCUAUUAAGCACUGCAACUACUCAACUUAAUAUACUAGUGUUCACAACAAGGGUACUGAGUUCAUGCAUCUACGAUUUCAAUCAACUCCUGGAACAUAAAUGCACAAUCAAGCAAUCAAUUGUAUUUCAAUAUUUAAAGAUAGGAAUUCAUGCUCCGGGACUUGCUUUCGCACGGGGAGUUAGCGAACUAGUCCUCGGCUUGCUCUGGUGCAGGCUCAGCUCUGGCGUGGUGCAGAUCUGCUACGGCUUCUUCUUCCGGCGCUGGGUGCAGCUUGUACGUGCCGUCAGCAAGGUUCACUUCUACACGAAAUACAAAUGCAACAAGUUAAAUUUUCCAUGCUUUCACAUGCAGGAUGCAAAACAUGAGUUAUUGCCGGAGUAUAACUUACAUUUUGACCACAUUCACCUAAACAAGGUUCUAAACUUUUAUUAUCUUCAUGAGGUAAGGUGUGUUGUGGCAUAAAACCCGGCGUUGAUUUUAAUGGAGAUUGUGUACACAUAUAUGUGAAACGAGUUGAUUAACUUCAGAUUAGAAAGUUUGUUAAGUUUCUGAAUGUUUUUCUGUACCUCUUUCGAAAAUUACCAGUAUCAUUACUCAAAGUUUCUUUCAUCCAUUUAAUUAGGUCCAUCUUCCAAAUUUUAUGUCAUUAUCCAAACAGCAAGCUAUGAAGCUACAAAUUUAACAGCAACUUAACUUUGUCAUAGAUAAGCUACUGCAUAAAUUUGAGAUCCAUUGGAGGUGUAUAAAAAGAAUUAGAAUUACUUUAUUACCCUAAGGUAGCAUAUACUUAAACAUUUUUAAAACAUAAACCAUAACGAAACUGGUCAUGAAAUUUUAACAGUGAGUUAUAUGGGUGAUACAAAGCCUUUGGAGAAUUUUUCAUGAUUUUUAAUGAAGGACAUCUAUUUCACAUAUUUACCUCAUUUAUCUUUCUCUAAAAAGGAAAGUGAUUUUCUUUCUGCUUCUGACCAGGUUCUAUAACUUUCCAACAAACUACACUACACCACUGACCUAUUCCAAUUUGUUUCACAUUUUUAUCAUCUCUGGUUUAAAAAUUGUGCAAAAGAUUGUAGUUAUACAACUAGAACAGAGACUUCAACUUCUGAGCUAGGCUCCAAAUCAUUUUUCCAAGAUUCUAUUCUCUGAGACAAGCAAUUGAGAGUUGGAUUUACCUUUUUAGCAUUUUUCUGUGAUUUGCUAUGAUUUAAAUAGCUCAAACAAGGAUUAAAACAUAUAACAUUAAUUCUAACAGAGACAUGUGCAAACUUAUUUUUAUAUGAAACGACACACAACACUGAGUCUAACAAAAUUCAUCUUGCAUUUUUAUCAUUUUUACACUUUUCUAUGCCUUUUCAAAGUUUUAGCCUUUUUAGAUCUAGGAAAAAAAAAGAAAACCGAGGCAAACUUGCAAUCUAGCCCUCAAGUCUAUGGUUUAAUCACGUAAAGGUCCCUGGUUUUUGCGCCUACACCCCUGGACAGAUUCCCACCUUAAACAUAACUCCUGAACAUUAUCCCAUAACCCCCUAGACUUCUAUUCUUCUCAAAACUCACUGAUAUCUUCUUCCUUGGAACAGAUCGCACAGGCACAGGAUUGUCACACAUGGGGGCACACGGCCGGCCGGGGAGAGGGUAAAGAAGGUGUGGCGGCGCUAGGGGAGGGGGUGGUGCCAUGCCCAGGACAAGGGGUCUCCUUGGUGCGGCACAGGUAGGGAGGAAAGGGGCGGCACACAACAUCAUGGUUAGGAGCUCACCUAGGUUCCGUUUUAGCUGUUGGUUGUCGAUGAGGAAGGCCGGAAGGGGGCGUUCACGGUGAGGGUCAUGGCUGCAAUUGACAGUUUCUGAUCGGAGGAGAAACUUGGAUUCCCGACCAAGGGAUGGACGGCGGGCGAUGAGGAGAGGCUGAGGGUGGAGCCAAGGGAGUGUAGAAGCUUAGGGCGUGAGGGAUUUGGCGGAGGCGGAGGCGGAGGGAGCUGGCCGGAUUUCGCCGGGGAACAGGAACCUCUCGAGUUGGCUGUUUGGGGCAAAAAUGGAGGAAGGCUUGGUUUGGGGAGGCUCUGGCUUGGAGGAUAAGGCCGGCUCAAGGCCUGGGGGUGGUGCAAGGAUAAGAACGACACGACAAGGCGUCGGGGGCACGCUGGACGGGCAUUGGCGGAGCGGCUGUGACGCGGCAGCCAUGGCGUGGUCAUGUGCAUGCGGCGAGGUGCUGCGGCGAGGCACGGUAGGUGAGGUGCUGCAGCGAGGUGCGGCAGGCGAGGUGGAGCGUCGACUGGUUAGCGCGCGGGCGCGGGUUGGGCGAUGGGGGUGGCGCGGGCGAGCUUGCGCCACGGGGCGGGCGACAUGCAGCACGCUCUGGCGCGUGUGCUCUGGCGCAGGGCGAGAACGCGGGACAGUUGCAGGGCCGGAGUUUUGGGGCAAAAUUGCACGCGAUUUUUGAACUAAACCACGUUGGCUCCCUUUACAAAAAUUGUUUUCCUAACAACCGAGUUCAAACUUUACUAAAGGUUUUUGCCCAGAUUUCAAACGGAUUCAGAGAUAAAAUGCGCCAAAGUUCGUAAAAAUUGAAACUUUCAGACUUAGGCGCUUCAGCCAUUUUUGGAUAGUGUUCACUAUUUUAGCUGUGUUUGACCUUGUUUUUGAAAACCUUUUGUGCAGAUGUUGGCCUAGCUCCAAUAAUCAAAGUGGUUAAGGACUUGUAGCACUAAAAAUUUUAUAAAAAGUCUAUUUUGAGUUUACAUUAAAAAUUGUGAGAUAAAGGGCUUCAAAGUUUGGGUUUUUCAUGUUUUUCACAAUUUGGCACAUAUUUGAAUUUCAAGUUUUUGAAAGCCUUCUGCUCAGAUUCAAACAAAACGCCAAAAACAAAAGUUGUUAGAAAAGAUGAGUUUAACAACUCUUAGUUGGACAAAAUUUCAGGUUCUUAUAUAAAAAUUUAAAUUAUGGCUUAAUCAAUUUUUAAGCUCUUAGGGGUCAAAGUUGACCUUUGACUCGGUUAAUUUGCUGCUAAAAGCUUCACUUAGGCUUAAAGAAGGUUUAGUUAACCUAGGGUUGUUACAGUGCACUAUCGGCAUGUGGCCACGGGUGUGGCACAGGCCUGAUUGGCGGCGACGCAGCGGUGACCGCGCCCACAACGUCGUGGUGUCACGGCGCAGCUGCUGCGCGUGCGCGCGGGCAUGAGGCAGUCCCCGACCGCGGCACGACCACGGCGGCAUGCGGGGUCCCGGUGUCCUAGGCCCGUAGCGGCUGGUAGCAAGGUGAACGGCGGAGCUCCUACCAUGGAUCGAAGGCUGGGCAUACGACAAGCAAACAAGAGGAAAGAGAGGGGCGGCGAGGCUCACUGCGGGAAGAUGGCAAAGGCGGGCGGCGUCGAGCGGCGAUCGACAGCUCCGGCUCCUUCAUUAGAUGCCCCUCUUCUUUUUCUUCUCUUCUACUUCCCCCCUCCUUCCCUUUCCUCCUCUUCUCCUACUCCUCCCUCCUCCUCUACUCCUUCCCUCUUCUCUCAUCAGGUGGUCGAUGGCGCAAGGGCGAAGCCCCAGGUGGAUGGCGAGGAGAGGCCCCGAGCGGCUCUACUUAUAGGGGAGAGACGGCUGGAGUUCCGGAGGGAGGUUGCGGCUUUAGGGUUUGGGGGCACAACGUCGGUGAUGUGGACGGCUAGGAUGUGGCAUCGCACGGUGCGGGUGACGUGAUGGCCAUCCGAGGCUGCUAGCGCAAAAGCAAGGGCGCAGGCGAGGUCACGGGGCGCACGUGAGGUGCGCGUGAGCGGGUCCGGCGCAGUAGCGAGAAAGAAAGAGAGGGAGAGCGGGGCGCGGGUGCCGACUGCGGGCUAGGCCAGCUGGCCGGUUAAGAGGCCUGCUGGGCUGGUCGUCGAGCUGCGCAGGCGACGCGGUAGAGCAGGCCAGGUCGGCUGUCUGGCUGGGCCGGGGCGAAGGUGGGUGAGGGUGAGGCGCGAGCGGGCCAGGGCGGUGGGCUGCGGCUGGCCUGGUUGGUUAGGAGGGUUAGAUAGGUUUUGUUUUUAUUUAGAUUUAGAUUUAGUUUGAGUUUUGAAUUAGAUUAAAAAUUCAAACACACACUCAAACAUGAUAUCCACAUAAAUUCUAAAAAAAUCCAAAUCAUUCCACACAAGUUUUGAAAUGGAAUUUUGGGAUGAGAGGAGAAUUUGACUACCAUUUUCAAAUAAGCACACAAUUCAAAUAAAAGUUUUAAAUUUUUGAAAAUUUCACUCAAAUAAAUAUUACAAAAUUCUGGAAUAUUACAAACAUAACCACUUCACCUCGUACCCCGAGAAAGCUAUACAAAGCUUAACACUCCUCAACAUCUGAGAAAUUCGGUUGGAACGAAACUCUAGAUUUUUCGGACUGUGUGAGUCCUCCUUGAUUUCCUUGGUGGCAAAAAUAAAAAAGGAAGUGGCUGCUUGGGUAGGGGCAGGGCAAAAAACCUAACGGAACUUUUAGCGCAGUAAUUUUUUUGUUACUCUCUACCUAUUAGCCAGCUUGUAACUCUUCUUCUUUAUCAAUAAAAUAGGCACAAUCUUAUACCCAUUAAUUUUAAAAAAAGAGAUAAAAGCUAACAAUGUUUUCCAUGGAUGGAAACAUUAACGUAAGAAGAUAUACAAGUAACAACCUAUUUGAGACUUCAGUAGUGUUCAUACUAUACCAUACUAGUAGUAACAGUAGCAUUAAGCAGCCAGCUUACAUUGAACAGCAGAGCACAAUACUUGUGUCAGUAUAAAAAAAGACUUGUGUAAGGCCAGCUACACAAGUUAGCUCGCAUUUCAUAAUUAAGUUUCAGAUUUCGUGCAAGGCCAGAUACUUUAGCACUGCACUCUUGAUAAGCGGCGGUCCGCGUGUUUGGUUUCCUACAUCGAACCAGAUCCUCCAGAAUACAUUCAUCCAGGUUCCAGAAAUAUGCCGUCCAGAUGGCUGAACCAUCCUGUGCGUCCAAAACUCUCGAACCACGCCGUCUAGGACAGGCCGAGCAUGAUCGAGAGGCGAACUAUUCACUGUCCGCCUUCCCCUCCACUCAUUAGUCUUUUAUGUCAAUUUAUUUAUCUAACAAAUUUUAUUUGUUUUCUCAUUGUAUCAGAGGUAAAGUUACCACCUAUAGUAAGGAGGUUACCAUACCCUGAUUCAAUCACGUAACCAAACAUGAUCUUGUACCAUCCUGUAUCAUCCUAUUCAAGUAACCAAAUAAAACCAUGUACCGUCCCAUUCAGACAACCAAACAUACAACUUGUAUCAUAUCAUUCAGAAUCAUUCUAUCCAGGUGAACCAUCCCAUACAUGUUCCACUUCAUUCAAGUAACCAAACACUACCCAAGAGAUCCAUUAUUCAUCAGGAUAAGCUAGGAUCGCAGGGGCUCGUUGCGGCUGUGGGUGUGGACCACCAUCUCUUCCUAGCUACCCGCCGCUGGCGGCCGGCGAGUGCAAGACUGGUAGGUUUAGGUAGUGUUUAGUUACUCGAAUGAAGUGGAACAUGUAUGGAAUGGUUACAUUAAGUAGCCAGCUUACAUUGAACAACAGAGCACAGUACUUGUGUCAGUAUAAAAAAGACUAGUGUAAGGCCAGCUACACAAGUUAGCUCGCAUUUCAUAAUUAAGUUUCAGAUUUCGUGCAAGGCCAGAUACUUUAGCACUGCACUCUUGAUGUACCGAAAGGAAGAUUAACAUAUAAGUACAAUACCGAAGUAAUGACUAUGGAAAUAGGCUUAGAAAUACAACUGGAAGCUAGGUACAGUGCAAUAAACCUUAGUGCCUCAUCAUAGCUCCGUUAGCUUCCAGGAAAGUAUAAUGCUGUAUUUGCAGAGAAAAAAAAAAUCACCUUCUAGUGGUGAUCAAGUACGCGAGAUUCUUGCAGUUGCAAUAGAAACAUCUGCCAAACCGGUCCCAUUUGACCACAAUAGCAGCUGCAAAGCCAACGCCGAAGCCAAGCCCAACGAAGAGAAACAAAACCACAUCAAUAUGACGAGAAGACUUGUGCCCAUGUGCCACACCUGGAGGGUGAGGUGAACUACCACAAGGAAAUUUUGGCAAUUGCAGCCCACACAAUCCAGCAUUCCCUUCAAAUGAGCUGCUGUCAAAUGUAGAGAACUGACGUGACUGCGGUAUCUUCCCCACCAAGUGAUUGCAUGACAAGUUUAGGGAGCCAAGAAAGGUGAGAUCAGUUAGCUCUUGUGGAAUGUCCCCUGAGAGUUGGUUGCAGGACAGGUCUAGUGACUCCAAAUCAGUCAUUGCUUCGAAGUUGGGCUGGAAUUUUUCCAGUGAAGGCAUUGUGUGACAGAUUCAGUACGCGUAGUGAUACAAGGCUUCCAAAUGUUUCAGGAAUAGUACCCUCCAAACUAUUUUUUGAGAAGUCAAUUGCUGUUACGGUAGUCAUUCCAAAUCGCAUAUCUUCCCCCUUGUACAUGAUCUCAAUAGAAUAUUGAUAGAAACGUUCUUCUCCGUGUAAGGUGUUUAGAGUUUCGAGAGUUUUCCCAGAACUAUUAAACUCUGCCAUCAUUGACUUUAACUGCUUGAACCAUUGUGGCCUCAAAGUACCAGAGAAGUUGUUUGAGGCAAGAUCGAUAAUUUGCAAGCUAGGGAAACAUUCCUCACAUUUUGUGUCCCCAACAAUAUCACCUAUGGUGCCAUACAUUUGGUUUGAUCUCAGGACGAGUACAAAAAGCUUGGGAAGCCCCCUCAACCAAGGAAAAGCAUCAGCUAUUUUGUUGCUUCCAAAGUCUAUAACCUCCAAGUCUGUACAGUUAGAAAGGCCCCUAGGAAGCCUCCCUUCGAUCUUAUUGCCAUGUAAAUCUAUCGUCUGUAAAUGACAUCUUGUUGUUAUAUUGGAAGGCAGCAUCCUUUGCAAGCGAUUCUGCCUCAAAUUUAAAACACGUAAGUGGAUAUUUUCUAUAAAACAAGGUGGAAUCGGGCCAUUAAGGUAGUUAUAUGAUAGAUCAAGGGCAUCCAGCUCUGUGGCAUUGCAAAUUGAGGGAGAUACAUGGCCGUGUAUAGGGCCAGAAAGCUGGUUGAAAGAGAGAUCAAGGUGAGUUAAUAUAGGAAGACUGAAAAUAGAUGGUGGAAUCUCCCCUGGAAGGACAAUAGAAAACAUUAAGUUAGAAAGUGUUUCCCCUUCUACAAAUUGAAAUCAGAAGAUGCUACCUUCUAUUUUGUUCAGAACAUGAAUACUUGACCCUUUCUCAAGAAAAGUAAAAGUUGAUAUCGUACCAUAGAAAUAUAUAUCCCAAGUUUAUUUAUUUUAUUUUGAGAAAAUUGCAUUACUAGUCUCUAAAUAAAUGGCCAAAACUUGUGUGGUAACCUCGCCGACCCUUGCACUUGUUGCAAAUUACUUUCCCAACCCCCUCAUCUUUGUUGUGCCACGUGUUAGGCAAUGGUUCGAUGCUGGUUCAACUCAUUAAUUUGCUAAUAGUGGGGUGGGUGAGAUUAGUGUGCAAGUUUAAGGACUACCGGAAGAAUUUAGUGCACCUACGGACCAUAGAAUUUCAUAAUCGUAGGACCCAUGAAGCUGAAAUGAUCCGGACCCAUCAUGGAUCAUAAUUUUAUGGUAUUAUGAUUUAUGAUACCCAGUGUAUAGUCCUGUACCAUCAAAAUGAAUUGGUAAGAUCACUUAUAUAGGAUCCCCAUCCGAACAUCAAAAUUUGUUAAUAUCUGAAAUUAAGUAAAUCCAUGAGUAAUUAUAUAUGUUUCUUCAGUUUAAUUCAACAUCUUUUACUCUUUGCAUGACAUCUGACCAUUAAUUGUUUUAAAUUAUGAUUAGAUAAUGUUUGGAGUUAAGUUGAAAUGUAGAAUUGACAUUGACAUGAAUAAGUGGACUUGAGUUUACAAGAAUUAAUAAAUUUAUAAAAAAUAGCAUUGUAGAUUUCUUUUCAAGAACUUGUUUAACUUUUUAAUAUAUGCAUUUUUUACUCAUUACGCUGCAAAAUCCUCCCCCAAAGUUCUUGACACAAUGUCAAACUCAUUUGUUGUGUUUAACCUCUUGCAAUGAUCUAUAUAAGCUGCCAGCUUUUGUAUAAGAGGGCCGGGGUUAGAGAAGUAUAUCGUGUCAACUGCACCAAUGAAGUUAUUUUAGAGUAAACUAGAGCAAAUGAGAAGCUUUAUGAGCCCUAAUACCCAUUUAAGAUUUCCAUUGUUAAUUAUUUUAGUAUUCAACAUUGAGUCAACUUUUCUAAAUAAAAGUUGAUUAGGCUUUUACACAUAGUUUGAAUCAUAGUUAAAUGAUUUAGAAUGAUAUCCAACUUGAAUCAUAAAGUAUACAUUUAGAUGUUUCACAUAGUUUGGCUUUUCUAAAAGUUAAAUGUUUAAAUGAUAUCAUUUAUACUUCAAUAUUUACAAUUAAAAUAUGGAUAAAUUAUAACUCGGUUUUCCCUAAUUAUUGAUAAAAUGACCCAUGUCAAUAUGAAUGUGUUUUCUAAAUAAACUUUGUCUAGCCCAACACGACAGAUGUAUUAAUUCGAUAAGAUGUGUUCAUCUUUCUAAAGUUAAGUGUGUAAUGGGUAUAAUUUAUACAUGAACAUUUAUGAAUAAAAUAUGAUAAGGUUUUACCUCAGUUUUUGUAAAUAAAGUAUAAUUUGCAUUAAUUCCAACAUAGGUUAUUUUUCUUUCUAUAGUAUCCUUCACAUAUGUUUUGUUAAUUAAAAUAAACUGGGUGUGACAAGAGCAAUCUUGGUUCAAAUCCUAUAUACUGCACAUGUGCAUAUUUUGUGUGAGAAAUUGUAUGAUGUGUGACAGCUAGAAAUUUGCUAGCUACAUAUACCUAACUUUUUAUGCGCGGGUGCGGCUGACUAGCUUCUCCAGAGCAAGCAGACUCAUGCCCCUCCAGGUGUAGUUUGGUCAAGGAGGGAGCAGAGGCGCCGGCCACCUCAGAAAUCUGUCACGGUUUAACUUGUCACUUGUGGCAUGUCGGGCGUAGGGCUAUGUUUUUUUUAACUAAAUAGCACAGAAUGGAUAAUACAGCAUUUUGCAAUCGCAAAUAUGUGUGCGUUUGUGGGUAGGGGUAUUGUUACGUACCGUUGAGAGAAUUAAAAGAAAGAUCCAGCAUUGUUAGCUGGGUCAAAUUAACUAUUGAGCUUGGUACGCUUCCGGAAAAAUUGCAAACUCGAAGAACCAAAUUUGUGAGUUCACCAAUUGCAGCUGGCAUUGGUCCUGAAAACCCACAUGAUACUAUAUACAUGUUUCUCAAAUUUGUGAGUUGCCAAUUGGAGCCGGCAUUGAACCUGAAAACCCAGAAUGCUCGAUAUACAUGUUUCUCAAAUUUGUGAGCUUGCCAAUUGCAGGCGGCAUUGGUCCUGAAAACCCAACAUCCUCGAUAUACAAGUUUCUCAAAUUUGUGAGUUCACCAAUUGCAGCUGGCAUUGGUCCUGAAAACCCAACAUCCUUGAUAUACAAGUUUCUUAAAUUUGUGAGUCCACCAAUUGCAGCUGGCAUUGGUCCUGAAAACGUAGAUAAUAUAUGCAAGUUUCUCAAAUUUGUGAGGUUGCCGAUAGAAGAUGGCAUGGAGCCAUAUGUUGUGCAAUCAUCCAUUGCAAGUGUUUGCAAGCCCGUGAGGUUUCCAACUGCAUGAAGUACUGGCCUAGGGAGGUUGCAGUCUUGGAUUUUCAAGUUUUUCAAGUUCAUGAAGUUGCUAAGUAAGGUAGGCGGUACCCCAGAGAAGUUACAUCCAAAGAGUCCCAAACUUGUUAGGUUUUUGUGCUGGCCAAUCCAUGAGAAAAUUGGACCUAAGUCGCUUCCUGAGUCCAAAUCGUGGUCCAACUCAUUAUCCAAAAAACAAUCAAGGUCCAACUGGUGUAGAGACUCAAGUCUACCGAAUGCAGAGAGAAAAUCCAUAGAAAUUAAAUUCCUUUUAAGACCCAACUCCUUCAACGAUGUGAAAUUACUAGAAGGCGUUGGUAUGUCAUAUACCAAGUUGGUCCCAUCAAGUCUCAAAGUCUCUAAAGAGCUGGCAUUAGAAAAGUUUGGCACAUGGCCUGAGAGAUUCAUAUUAUAGGACAAAUCAAGGACCCUUAGAUUUUUUGAUUGAAAGGGUCUAGAUGGUAACGGCCCCUCAAGAUCUGUCUGAGAAAGUUGAAGCACGGUUAAAUUGGGAAAAUCCAUGAAGAACUCUGGAAAUGGACGACCACUAGGUUCAUAAAAGUUUUCUUGGAGUUUGAUCACAACAAGAGAAUGGAGUCUCGAGAGCGCUUUAUGAAUAGGACCACUCAGGUGACAAUCAGCUAAACUAAGUACCUGAAGUUGAGGAACAUAUGCAGCAAGAGAUGUGCCCCACUCUUCUCCACUAUUAGACAAAUCCACCGAGUCAAGGUAGAGCUCUCUUAAGUUGCUGAGGUUUACCACAAAGGUAUCAAAACUUGAUUCCCAUAAAUAGUUAUAAUAAUCAUAAUAGUUUGGACCAUAAAAACCGAGAGAAUAAUCAAUAUUGUAUGUUGAAAGAUCCAAUGAGAGAAGGUUCACUAGUUUACUGAUGCUAGGAGGUAUCUGACCAUAUAAUCCUGAAUUGGAAAGGUUUAGGUGGGUUAAAAAAGUGAACCUCUCAAAACCAGCAGAACGGAUGUUGUCUCCACCGAUGUCAUUCAUGCUAAGGUCGAGUCGCCGAAGUGAUAUGAGGCUGAAGAGUGCAGGGUCCAAGCCAUGACUUGACAAGCAACGGUUGUUGAGGUCGAGAAUGGUGACAUGGCCAGACGAAGGGUCACAGCCAACACCCUCCCAGAGACAACAGUCGGUACCAUUUCGCCAUGAUGAAAGCCUGGUGGUGGAUCUGUGAAGGAGAAGGACUUCUUCAGCUGGAGGAGCGCCUUAGCUUGGUUUGGAUGGCACAAAAAUGAGACAGGGAGGUGAGUGAGGUUACCACCAUCAGCACGGUGGGCAAUAGAGGUGGAGAGUAGUGUGUGUAGCUGAGCAAGAAAGAGCAGUAACACCCAGCCGAUGGAAGCCAUAGCAACUCAGUAUGAGCCGAUGAUAGGCUUACAAAGAGGCACAAGGCAGAUACAUAGUAAUGCGUGACAGAUUGUUAUGCAGCUUCCAGCUGCUGUCAAGUCUUCGUCCAUUAAUAAAUUAAUUAAUUUACGAGUACCAUGGCUAAGCUGUACGCAAUUGCGACACCUGAGGAGACUUGACUGUACCAUGGGCUAGCUGUACGCAAUUGCUACACCUGAGGAGACUUGAUUAGCCUUUCGUCAAAUGCUGUUGGUAUCAUCCACUGCUACAACAGUGACCGGUAAUUGGAAGUCUCACUAUAGCAAGACUUCCAAGUCAACUAAGCCGGCCGCUACAUUCUGAGGAAGGUGGAAUUGAAGAUCAAAUCAAGUUGGGCGUUGGGAUGAAUUAGUCCGCACUCCGCAGAUAACAACAUCGAAUAUGCUGAUCUGAUGAUGUGCUUCAUUUUCUUUUUGGUUGGAGUGGAGCGGCAUCAAGAUCCUACUGCUGUGGAAAACACUGACUUGACUCGUUUUAUCUCGCACAAAACGUGGCUGAAGAUGAUAGUGGUGCUUAAAGAAUCAGCGAGAAGGAGCAAGUAAAAAUGCAGUUGAGCUGCAGCUGAAACAUGUCGCGACGUAUUCCAGCCGCGGUAGUUCUCGUCUUCUCGAAGAAGACGUUGCAGUGUUCACGUCUAGAGCUCAUCCAAUCCAUAGCGUUCCUCCGGCCGAACCGUGCGAUACGAAGGAGACGUCGCGUCACAUGCAUGUUCCUCAGGUCGCCUUUGCCUACGACCAAUAAGACGAUGACACCAGAACCUUUUUGUUUUUUUUUCUAAUCAGCAGCUUUCAAAGCGGGUACCCGCGGACAGCGCUGACCGUGUCAAAUUUGGCGAGCAUUAGCCGCAGUUGCACUCGUCCACCACCACUGAUUGCUGAAGCUCCCUACAAUACAGGGUAAGGAACAUCUAAGAUCUGAGCAAGUAAAGUCAGGAUAUUUAACUAUUUGUCAUUCUUACGGAUGGUGCUCCUUCAAAAACAACUCUAACGAAUUCCUACAUAUCUGUCAUUGAAGAAAGAAUUAGUCUAAACUUUUACCAUUUUUGCAGAUGUGGUGAGCCACGUCCUCGUGCUAGCGUGAAUUGAGCUGGCAAUGACCAUAGUGCCCCUGCCUCCCUCACCUUAGCCAUCCCCUUCCCUCUAUCCUGCCACACCUAUUGCUGCAUGGUCUUUCGUUGUUGUGCGGCUCCUCUGUGGUACAUCGCAGGGGAGGAUACCACGACUUGGAGGUGCCGGGGGGGAGGAGGAUACCGUGUUGAUGCGCAAAUCUAGGUGUCCACUCCUUCAUUGAAGGAUAUCCAAACACGGCCUAUUCACAGACAUGGCCACUUAACUUUCAGCUUACAUCUCUUGAUGUGUAAUAUGGCUCUGUUUGGCAUGGCUCCAACUCCAGGUUUUGCUGCUCAACUUCGGCUGGAGCUAGCUUUGCUUGGAGUUGGAGUUGGAGUUGUGUGGAUGGGAUGUUUGGUAGAAGGGUACCCAGCUCCAAAAAAAGAGGAUUUUCAUAGUUAAUUGCCAUUUUUGCCCCCUGGCCCCACAUGUCAUCCUCUGUAAUACCAAUUUUUUUCCUUUUUUGUGAGCUUAUAUUCUUCCUUGGGACUGAAUCAGCUCGUCUGCUCGCCCAUGGCCCGCGAGGCCUGGCUCGAUUCACCCUACCCAAGCUAGUAACCAGAUAGAGUCAGCAGCGCACCGGAUGGGGGCUAGCAGUGGCAAACAGUUCUAGGUCGGCAGCAGGCGGAUCACAGGACGUUGCCGAUGCACGGGAUAGAGCUUGCGGCGUGUAGAAUGGGCGCGGCGUAGGAUGGGGCCAGCUGGCGACGUGCAGGAUGGGGUGCGCGGGGUGGGGCCAGCGGCGUGUAGGAUGGGUGGGCGGUGCGCGGGACGGAGCCACCGCACAGGAUGGUAGUGGUGUUGGAUGGGUUUAGCGGCGCGCAUGAUGAGGUUGACAUGUAGGACAAUGGCGGUGCGCAAGGGGAACGAUGGCUCCAGCCCUCACGCGCGAUGGCGGAGGCGCAAGGUGAUGGUGACGGCGCAUAGUUGGAUGGCGGCAGCGGCAAGGAUCAAGGAGCAGCGGCACGUGGGCUGAGGGUUGGGUCCUGGGCUAGGGGCGGCACAUGGGUUGGUAGUCACGAGGGAGAUGAAGGUUGUGGGAACAGAUGAAGCGGGGGGGGGGGGAUAGAACCGAAACAUUUUCUUGUGUAACCGACGGUAGUGGUGGGUAAGUAUCUUGUAACUCCACGUCUAGAUACGUUUCGCAGUGUUUUGGAUCUGUGAAAGUGGUGUUCUACGAAAAUGAACUAGAACUCCAAUAACUCCAUGAAGUUAGACUGCUUCAUUUUUUUUUGGAGUUGGGGUGUUUGGCUGGCUUUAUUUUUUGGAGUUCGGGUAUUGUUUUAUUUACAUGGCUUUCCUAUAUAUCUACCGAAAGAUAAUUACUUAUAUAUCGCCUGAUGUUUGAGACUGGUGCAGUGCAAAUAGACCAUGAAGACUGUGGGGAGCAAGAAAUGCAUGCACUGACUACAUACGUGACCAUGGAGUUGGACAAUGACACGUGUCAUCAACUGAAAUGUUGGACGUGGUGGGACAAGUGGGUGAGAGUGGCUUGUUUGAAUUUCAAUCUUUAAAAGAACUUUAUCUCUUAAAUCACAAGUUAUUUUUAAAUCUAUUUAAUUUGAACUGUGGCAUUUCUUUGAAUCGAUUCAACAAAUAAGGUCCAAUGAAAUAUUUUAAAUGUUUUUUCAAAAAAUCAAAUAUACUAGCUCAUGUUACAUAUACUAAUUUAAUAUUUUGAAUAUACAAUUUCAACAUUGUAAUUAAAUUGAUUCAUGUUUUAUAUAACAUGUAAACAUUUUGAAAUAAAAAAUUUUGAUCUAGUUUUUCCAAAAUGUUGACUUAUGGUUUGAAAAUUGUUGAAUAUAGUUGUUUCAAAUUGUUGAUCUAGUUUUUGAAAAAUGUGAAAUCUAAUGUUUUUGAAAUGUUGAUAUAUGUAUUGCAAAAUGCUGAACAUCAUUUUUUCAAUGUUGAUCUAGGUUUCAAAAAAAAUGUUCAAUCUAGUAUUUAAAAAAUGUUGAUCUAGGUUUUGCAAAAUGUUGAAUAGAGAUUUUUAAAAUGGGGAUGUAUGUCCGGCACAAUGUUGAAAAAAAAACAGAGUUGGAAAUCAAUAUACAUGUGUGAGACCAGAUACACAGGUUAGCUCACACUUGACAAUAGCGCAGGUUUUGUGCAAGGCCAGAUGCUUGAGCACAACACACUUAUUUACCCAAAAGAAGAUUAACAAGUACAAGAAGUAACAGCAGAAGAAAGACCAAAGUAUACCGCAACACCUCAUCAGAUCACAGAUCCUUCACUUUCACUAGAGCAUAAUUCAUUCCUUCGAAAGUCACACCUUCCAGCAGCGUUCAAGUUCUAGAAACUCUUGCAGUUGCAAUAAACCAUCUGCCAACCCGAUUCCAUCUCACCAGAAUAGCAGCUGCGAAUCCGACACCAAAGCCCAACCCGGCGAAGAGAAACAAGACCACAUCAACAUGAUGAAAUGACUUGUCUACCUGUGCAACACCAGGAGUGUAAGGUGAAGCGCCAUAGGGUAACUUUGACAGCGGUGGCCCGCACAGUCCAGCAUUUCCUUCAAAUGAACUGCUGUCAAAUAUAUGUGCAGAACUGACGCGAUUGCGGUAUCUUCCCCACCAAUUUUUUUUGAAACUGUAGACCCGGCUGAGAUUAUCGGACUUGUAUUAAUUAAUAGAGAAGAGAGUCACAGGGCCUAAGCCAAAAAUAAAGGAAAAAAUAUAUAUUGAAAUUACAAAUUGGCGGUGUGAAACGGCGAUCAUUCGUCGAUUUGGCAGAUAGAGCCUAAGUGCCUUGCUCCCACUAAAAUCCAACAUCGCGCCUCCUCCUUGAUUUUGCCGAGUAGUUGGUCGAGGCUUUUGAAUUUUUGUUGAAAAACUCUAGCAUUGCGCUCCUUCCAGAUUUCUCAAGACACCAGAAUGAUCAGUGAUCUGAAACCCUUCAGCGGGGUGCCACUCAUUGACCCUAGUUGUGUCCACCAUUGGCUCACAGAUGAAAUUGUAGUCCAAUCUCCUCUAGGCGGGAUGUGUGCAGCCGUCCACUCAAAUAUUUUGUCCCAGACUCGUAGAGCAGAUGCAAUAAUAUUUCGUCGUGCGAGUGACAAAGCAUGCAUACUUUUUGAUUGGGCCAUCCUUGCGUAAUCAAGCGAUCUUCCAUCCACAGUCUGUUUUGAUAGGCGAGCCAUGAGGAGAAUUUGCACUUCGGUGGUGCCCAUGUUCUCCAGAUUAGGUGCUCCAUGUCCGAGGGUAUUGAAGAUUGGAACCGCACCAUGUAUGCCGAAGUUGUUGUGUAUUCACCGUGCUUGGUCAGAUUCUAGGUGAUGGAGUUUGGUGUUCCCGGGUUGAGCUAGAUUGAUCUUGUUCCGGCUCAAAGGAGAGUCAAUUCUGAGAGAUGUGUCGUUGAUGAUAUGAUGGCCACAUUGAUGUCCUAAAUCCACCUGUCGUUGGUUAUGGCAUCCUGACCGUUCUUCUCUUGUUUUUUGAAAUUUUAUACACCGACGGCGCAAUAUUUCUUAGCGCUUCCCCCUGCAGCCAUACCGAGUCCCAGAAUUUGGCCUUCUCCCCAUCUCCUAACGUGAUGGUCAUUGCAGACGCGAACAACUUUUUAUCCUUGUCGUUGUACGGUGUUGGCAUACCGACCCACGGUUUGCGUGGUUCCUUCCAUUCGUGCCAUAACCAUCAUAGUCUCAAUGCUCGUGUGAACUUCUUUAGAUGCAGUAUUCCUAGGCCACCAAGUUUAGUCAGUUUGCAUGCUGUGUGCCAUGCCACUUUACACUUGCCGCCGACAAUCUGAUCUGCACCAGUCCAGAGGAAACGCUUCCUUCAUUUGUCUAUUUCUUCCAGUAUCGUUGCUGGGGCGUUUAGGGCAGAGAGGUAGUAGAUCGGUUGUGAUGAGAGGACCGCCUUGACUAGUGUUCUUCUUCCCGCUGGGUGAGCAUCUUGCCAGCCCAGUUGGCUAAUCUUGCGUUCUCUUUGUCGGAUAAUGUCUCAAAGUGAGCCUUUUGUAAUCUGCCUAGUGUAGUCCUAGGUAUUUGACUAGGAAGGUUGCUCUUGCUGCUGGGAAGGGGGCUAGAAUCGAAUCCAGCUCGAGUCUAUUGCAACAUAUGGGUGCUACCGAGCUUUUCUGAUUGUUAGUGAUUAGCCCGUUGACUUUGCCAAAUUUGUCUAACAGCUCUUUGGUGUUCCGAACAUUCGCAGUUGUCAGAUUAAUGAAAAUUACCGCAUCGUCCGCGUAUAACGAUAGGCGUAAGCGGGCACCACCGCAUCUCCUCCACCUCAAACCAAACCCUAGCUCCAAGCCGCACACGCUAACAUCGACACCCGAGCCACCGCAACCCUAGCUAGCCACACGCCGUCGUCGAUCCGUGCCGUCGCUGCAUUUCCGUCGCCAAGAAGACCCCCAGGAGCUUUGCCGCAAGGUGAGGAAGCCCCUGGUGUGGCUCUUGUGCGCUCCCAUGCCUCUCUCCACGCGCACGAGCUCGCCGGAGUUCGGCAAGCUCGGUUGGGCCGCCUCAUCGAGCCUCCGGCCGCCACUAGCGCCCAAUCCUCCUCCUCAACACCCUAGAUCAACUCUUCGUGUCUGUAGCUUUCUCCAGGGCCAGAUCCUAUUGAAAAUUGUACCUGGAAACUCAAUUCUGAGCAAAGUCCAGCAUGUCGCCGCCGCGUGCCGCUCGCCUCCGCCGCCCGCGCACCGUCGAUCUCCUCUCGGUAGCUGCUAGCCGUACGAUCUGCUUUCGACAGCUCAGAUCCAAUCUAAUCCGAGUCAAACCAGCCGCGUACCGGUCAAACCCCAUGCUGCGCUGUUCGUUUUUCUAAAGAGUCCCUGGGUUUCGAGGUUUUUGCACCUGAGGUCCAGCGUAGUUCAAAGAUCAUUAGAUCUAGGUCCUUUUUCUUCUGUUCUAGCCCCUGAGCUUUUGCAAAAUAGUGCCCACCAUCCUAGAUCCUCUCUUUUGCGCGUUAAACCUUUGGUUUAUCCGCGUAUUUAUGUUUUAGCCCUCGGUUUCUCCAAGCUUAGCUUCUGAAAGUUUUAAAUCUUUGCCAACAAGCUCAUGCACCUUGUUUAGUGCAUAUCUUUAGCGUUUUAGGUCCGUUUUCAGUGCUUCCUGUGUCUAUGAGUUUGUCUUUACGCAUAGAUUAGUUUUAUGAUCUUAUUUCUCUCUAUUGUUACUGAUUGAUGUAAUGUUUUCUUAUUUUAUUCCUUUGCUUGCUUGUAUGUGAUCGUGUGAUGGGUCAGAAGGACUGCAACUCGAGGGAUUCGGAGGUCAAGACUUUGAAGACUAUGAGCAGCUGGAGCAAAUCCAAGAAGCCAAGUUGUGCCCCUGUUCACAACUAAACCUAUGAAACUUUUUACUUUCCUGUUCAAUAACAUUUAUGCCAUGCACUUUAAGUUACAAACAUAAUGGAUCCUAACUAAGGAGUGACUAGUUUUAUUCCCAGUAUAUUGAUCAACCCGGGCUUACAUAAUGUUGGGUAGUACAUGCUUAGUUUCUCAACUUGGGUAUGGUGGUAUUAGUGAACUUGAUGGUUAAACUUGUUUUAUUUAUGCUGUGCUUUUCAUUAACACAAGAUCACCAUGCUUAAAAUUGGAACAUGGAGAACCACCCGGGAAAACAAUACAACCACAAGAACUAAAUGGAUCUGGUCUUGGCUAAUUAAUUAGAGACUUUAGUCUGGGGUAAUCUUACCGAAAGGGCAAGAGGGGCGGUGGCAGAUGGGGUAUAACCCGGUCCUCUUGUGAAGUGAGCUUUGCUAAGAUACUAUGCCCACUAGGGAGGUUUAUACUCUGCAACUGAUCUGGAAACCUUAGCGGGUUACCGCUUACUAGGGGAUCUUUGUAAAGACCUCGUAGCGUCCCUAUGCAAUCACACCUCGGUAGUGUGGUAUUGUGCCUAGCCCGCACAGCAUGGUUGGGUCUAAAGUUCUUUUGAACUUUUACGCGACUUGUGGGUAAAGAUGUGCAACCUCUGCAGAGUGUAAAACUGAUCGAUCAGCAAUGCUCACGGUCAAGAGCGGCCUGGACCCUCACAUGAUUAAAUUAUCGGAAGUUGAAUUAAAUUAUUGUUAUUUAUUUCUGUUAUCUUUAUUUAUGUUCAUGCUUAAUGUGGGUGGUAUAAACUUACAUUUAGUAAAUGCUAAUAAAACUUGACCAACCAAUUAAAAUGCUGACUUGCUAAUCAACCUUAGCCUAUCCUUGAACAGCCUUACACUACACAUUCCUCACGCUUGCUGAGUACCAACCAUAAGUGUACCCACCCUUGCUAAAACCGCUACUCAAAAUAAGUCAACGAUGUGGAGCUCUUCCAAGAUUGGGAGGAGUACUAGGCGUACGUGUUUCUCCAAUCAUCUGCCUGUGAAGUCGCCGUUUUCGUUGAAGAUCCGCUACGAUAAUAAUAUUCUUUUUGCUAUUCAGUUUAAAAGACUAUCGGUCAUGUAAUAAUUGUAUACUCUCUCUACGUUAUGACAUUGUCUUUGUUACUCACUGAAGUCGUCGCAUGUGUGUAAUUUGAUCCCGGUGCACAUGUAAUUUAUGCAUUAGUUUUGCAUUUAAAAUUGGGUGUGACAGAGAGAUACAUGGCCUUUUAUAUUGCUUCUGGACAUGCUGAGAUAUCUGGUGUCCCUAAGAUAGGAAGCCCAGUUGGGUGGGACGGAAGAGAAUCUGUUGUUGGAAUAUCCCAAGAAAGAAGCUGAUGCGUUUGGCAUUGGGAUCUGCCCUAAAAGCUUAUUGAAACUAAGAUCAAGCACUAGUAGUGAUUUACUAAAAGGGAGAACAUCCGAAGCAAGUUGCAUGCCCGUAAGCACGUUAUGCGAAAGAUUCAAAUAAUAAAGGCUACUACUGCUCCAUGUCUCCCAGAUCCGAUUUGGUAUAUCCCCACUGAUUUUAUUAGAUGAAAGAUCCAAAUAUUGUAUAUUUUUAAGACGCAUCAAAGAUGUUGGGAAUCGAAUUAUAUUGCAAGACGCGAGCCCUAAAUAGUAAAGUCUGGCCAAAUAGGUAGCCAAAGGAUUAUUACCAUCUGCAUCCGUGACAUGCAACUCAUUGUAGGAAAGAUACAAACUGGUGAGAUCACUUAAUCUCCAAAAAUGGGAGAGGUUCACGGAACCUAUCAACUUGUUCGAGCUAACAUCUAUAUGUACCAAACUUGUUAGUUGAAAGAAGGCCAUGGGAAUAAAACCUGACAGAACAUUGUUGCUCAAGCGCACUUUCGCCAACCGUGAUUCUGCCUUGUCAAAGCCAUAUAUGGGGCCAGAAAGUUGGUUGUAAGAAAGAUCCAGGACACUUAAUGCAGGAAGACUGAAUAUAGAUGCUGGAAUCUCUCGUGCAAAGACAAUAGAAAACAUUAAGUUAGAAAGUCUCCUCUUCUAGAAAUAUCUGAAUUCAGAAAAUGAUGGCUCCUAUUUUGUUCAGAACAUGAUAAGUUAUGCCACUGAUACUGUACCAGCGAAAAAGCUCCCAAGCCUAGUUAUUUUAUCCUUAGAAAAUUGCAUGACAUGGACUCUAAAAGCCAACACUUUAUGUGGUUACACUUAAAGAGUGUUUUGUUUCACCACUCAGUCCAACUGCAGAACGUGCGGCUAGCGGCCUUCACGGAGGAGCAAACUGGAGCGCAAGAGGAGAAAAUCACCAGAAUCAAGAGAGCUGGGGUAGCAAAUCGCCCAUUUGUUCCUGUUUUGUUGGCGUGCUGUUUAUGGGUAGUGUUGUUUAUUUUUAGGUGUAUGCAAAAAGUAUUCUUGAUGAAAUAUGUUGCAUCACAUAUUCUAGAAUAAAAAAGUGAAAAUAUUGGUGCUCUGUUGAAUUUCAAUUAUAUUGCUGGAAUUCCUUCCUCCAUUUUUUUCUUUUUCCUUUUCUUCAAUUUUCAAUUAUGUUUGAUGGAAUUUCUUUGAUUCAAAUUCGACUAUAAUUUAUUGAGCUUCAUGCACCAAUCGGUUGCACCUAAAGUCUUAACCCGAUUUGGAAGGACGAUAGUUCUAUUAUACUUCAACAUAAUUAACACUCAAAUUCCAAGGAAAACCACUUCAAAUCCCAACAGCCAAGUGGAGCCACAUGGGUAUAGUGGGGAUUUAGGACCUCAUGUUAUACUUGUGCAUUUAACAAAGGUUAGCAACUCUAUUAUAUUUUAAGAGUUUAGGAAUCUAGAUGACUUCAAGGAAAAAGUUCAGAGAUCGAUAAUCAUUAGGAAUAGCCAGACUUUUGGUCCUACAUCGAUUCUUUUUUUCUUAAGCGGCUGGCACCAUUACACUGCCCGACAUAUAUUGAUAGGGUAGGAGGUCUUACAUCCAUUCCACUUGUACAGCAACUAGUGUAACUCAAGGGCUAAACAAUGUGCUCCAAAAAUGCUUGAACAAGUAAACACAAGCCUGAGCAUAUAUUGGGGCCGUUCGGUUGAGCUGGCUGCUGCUGUUAAGCAGCACAGCUGAUCAGCCGGCCAUGCAGCUGCUACAGCAGCGCAUCAGCUAGGCAGUGGCGCAUCAGCUGGGCAGCAGCGGCUGCAGGCAGCUACUUUUGUACCCAGCGAUCAAGUCAAGUUUUGAAAACAAACAAUGUUGUAAACUCAGUUGGAACUGGAUUAUAUAAAAGGCAAAAUUCAAUGAGCAAACAAAGGUCACUUUAAACAAUCAUUGAAAGAGCAAGUACAAAUAUUUUUUGAUUGAGGCUUCAGAAUAUAAUUGCAACAAAUUACAGUACAGAACCACAUUGAUAAUAUUCAGAUGACUAACCUAUUAAAAUAAGAUCACAAAUGCAUACCAUAUUUCAUGAUAAUGUGACCAGUGAAUCAUUAAUUCAUCUAAAAGACACAUUUUUUUUCAGCUCCUUCAGAAAAAAGAAAUACCGUGACAAGCAUUGCCGUCUCAGCUCCUUGAUUGUCUUUAAAAGUAACGUAGGCAAGCAGACAAACAGAGAAAUAGGCCCAAUAUAUUGACUAAAUAUAUGAUACAAGCACAACCACAUAUCUGCAGACAGUGAUAUGAACCAAAUCACCAGAAGCGCUAUCCAUAACUCUCAAACACCUCAUUUUAGUUUCCAAGACCUGGGCACCCUGAUAACAGUCUAGUCUAGCACAAAAUAAAUGGCAUGCAUAUUGAACUCAAGAGUACACAGGGCAUACAAUUAGAACAUUUUAGCCCUACCCUACAAUAGUUGAUCAGUGCUUUCUCAAGUCACAACAACAACAAAUUAGAAAGAAAUUGAUAGGUUAUAUUCAUAACAACAAAAUAGCAAAUUGAGAAAAUAUCUCCGUCAUGUCAACCCAUAAAGUCCCGCUGCAAUCCAAUCACGAACUUUACUAAUAUCAUCGUUGGCAGUAGCGGCAAACCAAUCUGAUGCAGGAUCAUUUUCAUCACUUGUCCUACUAAGAUAGGUCCCAUGAGCAAACAUGUCAGCACCAACCAUUCCCGGUUCGUUGUUGUCCAAUGCAAAAUUGUGUAGCGCAAAGCAUGCAACAAUAAUCUUUGAUUGCUUCUCCAUAUUAUAUAACGGUAUACCUCUUAGAAUCUGCCACUUAUUCUUUAGCACUCCAAAAGAUCGUUCCACAACAUUCCGAAGGCACGAAUGAUGGUAGUUAAAAAUUUCAUUCAAAUUCUCAGGACCUUUGGCAUUAAACUCCGAUAAAUGGUACCUGCCCUUGCGAUAUGACGCCAUAUAACCCUCACGCAGUGGGUAACCAGAAUCCACCAAAUAGUACUUUCCUACAUAUCAACAUUGUUAUACAAAUAGCAAUUUAGAUUGGCACUCCCAUAUGUUGCAUACUAUAAAACUUACAAACAACAUAAGAUCACCUUGGGGUGGGUGAGGGAAAUGCUCAGCUUGGUUUAAAGCCUCCCUCAAAAUAGCAGUGUCAUGCACAGCACCCUUCUUCCCCGUAGCGACAAAUGUGAACCUCAUGCCCAUGUCACAAACGGCUAAGACAUUCUGGCUGGUGAACCCCUUUCUAUUGAUAAAAUCAUCAUGUGCGUGCUCAGGGACUGACACCGGAAUGUGGGUUCCAUCUAUAGCUCCUAUGCACCCAUCAAAAUAUGGUGAGAAUUGAUGCAGCUUAGGAUGCACAUACCUGAACAGUGGAUCCAUUGGUCUAAUAAUAGUACGUGCAAAAGAGACCACGGCAUCUAACACUUCACCGAACUUCCGACUCACGGUGUCUAGUGACCUACGAAAUCUAUCCGACAUUUGUCUCUGGCAUUGUCUUGUGCCACAUGCCCAUAGGAACAUCCCUAAUGCCUCAACUGAAUCACAUUGUCGUGUGGAUUUUAGCCCAUGGUUGGACACUAAGAUUGAAUGCAACAACUGGAAUGCAGAUGGAUGGAGACGGAAAUUUUUGUAGCACUUCUUACUGUCAGCAAGGUUAAUAGCAACCCAUUGACGCCCAGUCAACUCCUGCAAGUGCAACGGACCAUCUUGCAUGCCACAUGCACUUGAGGUAGACGAUGCAUACGCAGCUAACACACCAAUGGUUGCACCCAUGUACCACCAUGUAGACCCCUCAUCGUUCAACCUUGCUGGUGAGGUGCUGGUGUUGCUCGAAUUUUCGGAGCUUGACUUUCCUUUCAUUUUCAGACCAUAACAGUGAUCAGUGGUCCCAGCUUCUGUAAUCAGCGAUCUGGAACAAAUCUGAUUCUUUGUUAAGCCUAGAUAUGCUAGUUUCAAGACGACAUAUAAAAAGCAUGCCAUGUUUUCUUAUCUAAGAAUCUCUAAAACAAAAUAAUAGCAUAUUCAGUACCCAUCUUUUAACAUGUUGUGCCCCUUUUCUUUUCUUUCAAAAAUCCUAAGUACUUAAAUAUGGAAAUAUGAUUUCAUUGCAUACCUUUACGAUCCAUUUGACCUUCACUUGUUGAUAGCCACCUCAUUCAUCGUGAAGACCUUCAGGCUGUAAGGUUGUAAACAAGAAUUUCCAAAAUGUUAAAAACAACAGUAGCAGCAUCAUACUCAAGUGGAACGACACAAAUUUAUAUGGAUUAGUAGCAUGAAUAAUCAAGGUCUAACACAACAUAAUUCACAUUACAAACAUGAUGCCACACCAUGCCAUAGUCACAGUACAAAUACACACAUUCCUAGGUAGAUGCAAAUACAUUGUAAUCAUGGACCGGUAUUACUUCCUCUUGACAUUAUCCCAAGUCCAUCGGAGCCAUGCAAUCCGGUUCUCUGAAGCGGUAAUGCUCCUAUAAGAUGCACGUCGGGCUGGUGAUCUAAACAGCUCAGUAGCUAUGAAGUACAACUCAGACCCAUUCGGUACACCAUCUUGUUCGACAAGGUGCAGCAUUUCCGUAACCUCCUCUUCCUCACGGCUGAUUAGAUUUCUUUCAUUCAUAGUCCUUUGAAUCAUGCUCUCAGAUAUACGCUCGACAUAGUACUCCAUGCUCUUAGUUCUCUUGGGUGAUGGGCUAUCAACAACAUGCUCCUUUCCGGACCUUUGCGACACACGACCCACACUAGACCGUCCAACAGUGUCCUCCAACCAGUCAACAUUUUCAUCCACCAUUGGGUCAGGGGUGUCUUCACUUCCACAGCUUGGUGUUCUAUCUUCAAUUCCACCAACACACAACAUUGGACCGCCUUCAAUGUCCGUUGUCCCGAAAAGAGUGGUUAACUCAUCAUAGAAUGGAAAUGUCUUGCCACGGAAAUAUUUGUUUGCCUCGUUCUCCUAGAAGUCAUAAAUAGGAAAUAUGUAAGCAUGAGGGCAAUCCGAGGUCAAAGCCGAAGGUAAAUGAUAGAAAGCCAUAAUUAUUAGGACAAAAAGUAGGUAACUCAAUUCGGGCUGCCCACCAUUCAUCAUCGCAAUCAAUGGUGCGGGUACUGUUGUUCCACCCGGUACCACUCUUGUCCUUUAGUUUCCUCCAAUCCUUGUAUUGCCUCUUAAAGGCAUUAAAUUUGUUCUGAAGCUGUUUGCAGGAAUAUUUCCUGCCCAUCUAUUGUUUGAAAUUUGUAUACAGGUUGUGCCAACCUACCUUGGUUAGGCCCCUUUUGUUGUAGUUGAGCUUGUUCUUCUCAUCAAUGCAAAGGUCUAGGAAUAUUUUUGUAGUGUUAUCAUCCCAAUUGGCACGACCUGCAUCCAUCUGUGUGCUACUUUGAAUUAUAUGCCUUCCUAAGUACAAGGUGCUACUUUGAAUUAUAUGCCUUCCUAAGUACGAGGUUUGUAUGCCACACACGCAGUAGCAAUGACAACAUGCAAGAUACGAAUCAACAUUUAUCACAAAGGGAACAAAAAAGAUGGAACUGAUGCUUGCCUCAUUGUGCUUACGUCUUGCAGGAGUUGUACACAGCAGGAACCGAGGGGCUUCAUGUGGAGACCAUGACGAUGUAGAGGAGUUUGCCAGUGCUGCUGCCUGUGGAAGUUUCUUUUUUUGGCACACAAGGAAUGCUCUCCUUAGCUAGAGUCGUAUUUACUACUGUAAAAAGAAUAUAUAAAGUGAGAAAAAUUUAAAAGUCAGCCUAAACAUUGUCAUAUUUUAAUGCAGGAAGUAAAUAGUAAUGAGCAAAAAAAAAGAAGAAUAAUAUUUACUGUCAAAAGGGAGGAGAGAAUUUACAGUCACCUAAUUUUUGCAGGCACUUCCCAAUUCCCACCCACUGAAUGUUACUGAGUGGAUUUAGUGGUUUCUAUCACUAAAACUAGCCACUAACAAGAUGAAAGCAGCAGCAGUGCAGAUGCAAAAUAGCAAUGCCCGUGGUGGUGAUGGCCGCAUUUGUGGCACUCCAGAGUAGCAGCAGUGCAGGUGCACCGUCCAGUUCAGUCAGAUAGAUGAGCGUCAGUUGAUUUCCGAGGGCAAGGCAGAUCAAGCUGGCAAUGCAACAUGCAGGCAGAGGUAGCCAACAAUGCAGCCCUUUCAAUUAGAGGUACUGGUCAGUGCAGCUGACAAAAGCACACCAGUAGUAUGCAAGUUCAGAGGUGGUCACUUGAGUUUCAGAUUUGGAACACUUUUGCCUCUUUCUAAAAAUGAGCAGUAAGUAAAAUUGGUGCAAUGGAUUGUUUGCCUGGCGUCUUACUGCCUAUUCUAGCAUAAUUGACCUGAACGCCCCUAAGGUUGAGCAUAGCUCAUGUUUGUUCUGAAUACAGGGAGUCAAUAAGUCUUAUAUAUUUUGUGUUUGCUAAAUAAAAAUUAUAUUACAAUACUACCAAAUGCAUAUAAAUAGAAAGAUAAUAAAUUAACCAAAUGAUAGAUCGGUCUAGUCCGAAACAUCUGUUGGAAACACGCCGGAGUAACUCCGAAACGUCUGUUGGAAACAUGCCGGAGUAACGACUCCCAGGUCGCCGGCGAGUCUCCUGGCCAAAGCACAGGGACACACACGCACACACAGGUAGACACUGAAUUGGUGCUUGCUAACUUGGCCCUCUUCCUUGGCCUUUAUGCCUUGUAUUUAUAGACUAUUACAAGGAAAGUAAUCAGGGCUUCAAUCAGCCCGAUGCACACAGCCACACAAUUGCUAACUGUCUAUUUGCCAGGGCUGUCAUGGAACAUUACAUUUCUGUAGAUGAUCAACAACCAUUACCAUGAGUUACCAUUACAACAAUAUGCUCCUGUCGUCCAACAUACACAAGAUGCACUUACAGUACAGAGCAGAAUAAUGGGAAGCCUUCACACUUCACACUAGUGUAGCUAACAAAAUUGAAGGCACAUGAGAUCUUACUGCCUACUCUACCAAAAUUGACUCAAUUACGCACGAUAUAAGAGGUUACUGCCUAAUGUAAGGCAAAAGAGAUCUUACCCCCAGGUUCUCUGUUGAGAUGCACAAAAUCUAGCAGCAUACAAAUGUAGAUCGAGAAUGGAGAGGAUUGGCGGAGCUGGGUGGACCGGCGAUGGUGGGACGGAGCGGCGGGGCGGAGGUCGGCGGGGGCGUGGCUGGCCGGCGCCGGGUGAGGGGCGGAGCUGGAUCGGGCGCGGACGGUGGGGCGGAGAGGAGGGGCAGAGAGGAGGGGCCGCGACGGCGGGGCGGAGGCCGGCGGGGGCGGGGCUGGCCGGCGGCAGGGGAGGGGCGGAUGUAGGUGGGGCGUCGACGGCGGGGCGAAGAGGGGCGGCGACGAUGGGGCGGAGUCUGGCGGGGGUGGAGCUNNNNNNNNNNNNNNNNNNNNNNNNNNNNNNNNNNNNNNNNNNNNNNNNNNNNNNNNNNNNNNNNNNNNNNNNNNNNNNNNNNNNNNNNNNNNNNNNNNNNCGGCAGGAGGCCCGAAAUUCAAUCUUCCCAUCGGAAUCUGGGAAAUGUAAGGCCGCGGAAAUGGGCCAGAGUCUGGCGGGGGUGGAUCUGUUUUGCGGCGGGGGAGGAUUGGAGCUGGGUGGGGCUUCGAUGGUGGGGCCGUGCCGGCGGGGGCGGGGGCGGCCGGAGGCGGACUGGGCGGCGGGCGCUGUUCGGGAGAUGCAGGACCUGGACAGGGAUUAAGUGCAGCUGUUCGGCUGCCUUGCUGGGCUGUUGCUGUUGGGCCGCAGCCGAACGGCUAGGCUGCACAGCAACAGCUGCAGCCGCCCAAGUAGCUUAAGCGAACGGGCCCAAAAAAAGACACGGGAGACAAUAUUCACUAGUAGAGAAUUCACCUUCUAUACGUCCCAUUUUGUCCCGGUUUAAAGUUGGCCCGGGACAAAAGGUUCACCAACCGGGACUAAAGCUCGAUCACUGGUGGGGGGCUCACCAACCAGGACCUUUUAUCCCAGUUGGAAAGGCUAGUGGAAAAAAAAACCCUGAGAGGCCUUUUAUCCCGGUUUGAAACAUCAACCGGGAUAAAAGGGUCCCCACGAGUUAAUACAAAAAGAUUGCAUCCCCUAUAUAGUCAGAUGUGCUGUGUAGGUGGGAUGGCAAGGAAGCUACGCGCGAGGGUGGAGGUUGCGGGUUCGAAUCCCACGCAGUGCGCACGCGCAUAUUUUGCGUGAAAAAUCGCGUGACUUGUGACUUGCGACGUGUGGGGGGCCCUCCCGGGAUUUCUUUUUUCUUUUUUGCAGCGGGGAUAAAAGGGGACCCGGGACAAAAGACCCCCCCCCUGUCUCGGUUGGUUUAUCUCCGGAUGGAUUUUCGGAAGAUUUGCAUCCUAGCAACCGGGACUAAAGGCCAAUUCUCUACCGGUGAUUAUUGUUACCUUGGAGAGAAUUAAAUGAAAGUUCCAGCAAUGUUAACCUAGUCAGAUUAGCUAUUGAACUUGGUAUGCUUCCAUAAAAAUUGCAACCUUGAAGAACUAACCAUUCCAACUCACUAAGCUGGCCGAUUGCAUAAGGUAUCAACGACCCAAAAUUCUGAUGGCCUAUUGGGCAAGGUGUCGGAGACAGAGAAUUAUAACCAAGAAUACGCAUGGAUUUCAAAUUAGUGAGGUUACCAAUUGCAUCCGGUAUUGGUCCUGAGAACCCACAAUUAUUUAUAUACAUGUUUCUCAAAUUUGUGAGUCCGCCAAUUGCAGCCGGCAUAGGCCCUGAAAACCAACAAUCAAUUAUCCACAUGAUUUUCAAUUUUUUUAGUUUGCUGAUUGCGGUCGGCAUUGGCCCUGAAAACCCAGAAUCAAUUAUACCCAUUUUCCUCAAAUUUGUGAGGUUGCCGAUAGAAGAUGGCAUGGAACCAUAUGUUGUGCAGCGAUCCAUUUCCAGUGUUUGCAAGUCCACGAGAUUCCCAAUUGCACAAAAUACUUCCCUAGGGAGGUUACAAUCAACCAUUUCCAAGCUUCUCAAGUUCUUGAAGUUGCUAACCAAGGUAGGCGUUAUCUCAGAGAAGUUACAUCCAUAGAGUGCCAAAUUCAAACUCAUUAGGUUCUUUUGCUGUCCAAUCCAUGAGAUAAUUGAUCCUAACUCAUUGAGUCCAGCGUGAGGUCCAACUGGCACAGGGACCUAAGUCUACCAAAUGAAGAGAGAAAAUCCACCGAUAAAUUCCCUCCGAGACUCAAAUGCUUCAAGGACUUGAAAUUAUUAGAAGGCAUUGAUCUGGCAUAAGAAAAGUUGGUCCAGUCUAGCCUCAAAGUCUCUAAAGAAUUUGGAUAAGAAAAGUUUGGCAAAUGCCCUCCGGAUUAUUGGACAAAUCGACAACUCUUAAUUUUUUUUUAUUGGAAGGGUUUGAUGGGGAACCGCCCCUCAAGAUAAAUACUAGAAAGUUGAAGCACAGUUAAAUUGAUAAAAUCCAUGAAGAUUUCUGGAAAUGGACCGGCAGUUAUAUCACCAUUUCUUUGGAGGUUGAUCACAACGAGAGAACGGAACCGCGAGAGAGACUCAUGAAUAGGACCACUCAGGCUGCAAGUGGCCAAGCUGAGUAUCUGAUGUCGAGGAACAUGUGUAGCAAGAGAUGUGCACCACUCUUCUCCACUGGUAGACAAAUCCACACUGUCAAGAUAGAGCUCUCUUAGAUUACUGAGGUUUGCCACUAGGGCAUCAAAAUCGGGUCCCCACAGAGAGUUAGAAGUGACAAUAUAGUAGGAGCUGUCGGAUGUGUCAUAAGCAUCAUCAUCAUCAUCUUCAAAGGACUGGAAAGAUCCAACGACACAAGGUUCACGAGUUUACCGAUGCCAAUAGGUAUCUUGCCACACAAGCCCAAAUUGGAGAGGUUAAGGUGAGUUUGUUGGAAAAAUAACGUGGUGGUCAAAAGACCGAGAGGAAAAUGGGAAGGAUAAGAUUGACGCCCGACUCCGACUCCCUCGCGCACGUCCACCCCGCGCCUCGAUCGGAGGUGCAACCGAACAAUUGGUUGCGGCCCCGAGCGACCCGGCCCCGAGCGACCCAACUCUAUAAGAGAAGGGGGCCGGUGGGUUUGGAACAUGCCAACGCACCAAACCCUACUCACACCCCCUACAUGCCUCCCGAUCACAGUGGCGUUGGAGUUGCUCGAAGGCCGUCGCCACACCACCAUUGCCGUCUGUGGACAGAAGAGGUGGAGACCUGAAGGGAGACGCAAUCUACUCCGAGCUAGUACACCUAUGGCACCCGUCAUCCCGGCCUCGUCCACGACCCUAAUGGCCGGAUCGUCACAAGCAGUGGCAGCUGGUUGUACUCUAACAUCUUCAUUGAGUGGUGUUCAUGUUCUAGAUGUGCAAAGAUCCUGUUUUAGUUAAGAUUAAGUAAUGUAGAUUCUUACAUUUGGUAUCAGUUAGUCAAUCCCAUCUAGACUUGGAUCCUAAGGCUGUGUAGAUUGAAUCUUAGUGUGCAAUUGAGUUGAAUUGUACUGGUUUUCUAUGUUCUUGAUCUACACAGUAGCUUUCUAGUACGAAUUGCUAUGCUAUUAGGCUUAAUCUUCUUCAGCUACAUGUCAAUGUUCAAGUUUUAGUUCACUGACUUGAUCUGUUAAGUCAGAUUAGACCAAAUUAGUUCUCAGUUAGCCUAAUUCCAUGCCUAAGCUACUAGAUCAGUUCUUAAUUAAGUCUAAAAUCAAGGUUAAUUAAGUCAAUUAAGUUAGUCUCUAUGUUUAAGUUCAGUUAUUUAGGUCGAGGUCUACUGUUUUCCCCAAACCCCACUGUCUAGCUCCAAUCUGUGCAAUUAAGUCCUCAAUCAGUAAAAUUGGACACGCAAAAGCAUGUAGAAGGAGAGGAAUUGGGCGAAUUUCAGGUCGAAUUAAGGAAAACCCAAAGAAAAUCCCCAUCAGAAAUCCUAACCCUAACUCAAGGAUAAGAACUUACCUCGAAUCACGACGGCCGCAUAGGGCAUGAUGGCCGCUGCGUGUGGAUGCCGGCGUGCACCUCCGCUGAGCCACACCGGCCAUAAGCACGCACAUGAACAAGUCAAGCCGCGGGCCCGGAUGCGCCUCGGUCUCCUUCCCGUGACCCAACCCGCGGCAUCAGAUCCUCCACGCACGAACCUGUCGACGCCGCGGCAAGCUUCAGGUUAGCUCGCCAUCACCGGUCUUGCGGCCGACCGCGCCUUCUGCUCAGUCACCCCCUACCAUGGAAAAGUGCUCCAGUGGAGCCCCCUGACGGCGCGCCGCGCGACUUGGUCGCAUGCACGCGCCGGUGGGAGGGCCCGCAGAGGCAUGGGCGCAGGGUGGCGGCGCAGCUCAUCGGCGGCUGCUGCUCGGGGUUGGGGCAGAAGCAGGCAGAGAAGAGGGGAGGGUUGCAGUGGAGACAGGCAAAAAUGGCCUAGGGUUCGGGAGAGGCGCAGCGCUCGCCGGUUUUGUCCCACCGAAACUCGCGCUCCGCCGUCGGAUGCAACGGAUGGCUUAGAAGAGCGCGGACAAGCGCAGCGCGCUGUUGGGCCAGAUUGGCGGCCCACCCAUUGGCUGCUGGGCUUAGAGUCUAGGCCGGCGCGAGGAACCCGGCAUGGGCUGUUAGCUGGGCUUACUCGGACCAUGAGAAGGCGCGGGCCCACUUAAACUCUGUGUGGCACGUGCUCUUUAGGGCCAUGAGGAAGGAACGCCGUGCGCCAUCGUUCUUGCACGAUUGGGCUGCCUGCGAGCAGGGCUUGCGAAGGUCGUUAGCUAGGCGCGGACUGGUUGUUUUGCGCUGGGCCGAUUUCGGCCACUAGCGGGCUGCUGCUUUUUUGGCUCGCACGGGCCGUCAGAUCGCUGGCAGGCCAGCGGGCCAUUUUGCGCUUGCAUCAGUUGGGCCGUCAGUUGAUAAGUGCGCACUUGGGCUAUUUCGGGCCAAUAAGGGGAGGUAGCUACGGGCCAAAAGUUGAGUUUGCGCUGGUUUUAAGAUUGAGCACGGUCCACUGUUUCUCCCAUUUGUUAUGCUAAUAAGUGUCUAAGUUGCACAUAGUUAAAUAAAAUAAUAUUCUGAUUAAAUUGAACCAACACGAAAUUUAUUUCACAAUUAUUUAUUAAGGCAUGCAAUUAAUUUCUGACCAAUGUUGAUAUUAAUUUGAUAUGCAUAAGUGUUUUAUUUAAGUUUUAAGUUAUUUUGCUUCCGCCCAACAGUGAUGCGAAAUUAAUUCAUGUUAUUUUAUUUAAGUUUUAAGUAUUUUGCUUCUUCCCAACGGUGAUGCAAAAUUAUUUCAUAUCAUUUUAAUUAUGUCUUUGCUUCUACCGAAUGGUGAUGCAAAGUUGUUUAUGUUUUUAAUCGAGCCAACGCAGAUUAAAUUUAUUACUUAUUAUUGUUAUCAUUACUAAUUGAAAUUCUCUCAUUUACUCAGACUUGACUCCAUCAAGCAUCAUAAGCUAUGUCAACAGUACAGAGAAGCUUGGAGGAGACAACUUCACUAAUUGGAAGAACCAGAUUGGAUUGGUCCUAUGCAUUAUGGAUCGGGACCACUUCAUGAGGGAGAAUCAUCCUGUUGCUCCGACUGCUCAAGGGGAUAAUGAUAGUACCCUUCCUGAGCGCACUGCUGCCUAUGAGAAGGAAAAAGAGCGGUAGGAGCGAUCAAACAGGGUGGCCCUAAUGAUCAUGGAGCGGACCAUAAACCUUGCAAUAAGGGAAGCUAUUGAGAAAAAUCCCAAAAGUGUCAAACAUUUUAUGGAGAAGGUUGAGGAGUACUUCAAAAGCUUCAGUAAGGCUAAUGCUAGCACCCUCCUGACUAAGUUAAUGAACACUAAGUAUGAUGGGCAAGGCAAUGAAAGGGAGCACAUCAUGAGCCCCGUUGACCUAAGGGAUAUGCUCAACGACUUGAAUUGCCCUCUUAAUGAUGAGACACUGCUUCACCACAUCAUGCUUUCGCUGCCCUCAGUGUUUGAACCCUUUAAGAUAAACUAUAAUGGCAGCAACAUGAAGUGGGAUAUUCCCACACUCAUCAUGAAGUGUUCUCGGGAGGAAGAAAGGCUCAGAUCAGAGAAAGGCAAUUUUGCCAACCUCAUCAGGCAUGAGGUAAAUAAGGGAAAAAAAUAAGCAAAUUGUCCCUUUUAAGAAAAUUAAGAAGCCUCAUCAACCUUCUCGUAAGAAUGAUGGGUCAUCCUCGUCUAAGGGUCCAAAAUGCCAUCAAUGCGUGGCCUAUGGGCACAUCAAGAAGCACUGUGAAAAGUUAAAGGAAUGGUGCAUAAAAAAUGGUAAUGAUGACUUUAUUUCUACAGUCGAUGAGUCCCUUUAUGUUGAUUUUUCAUUAAGUACAUGGUGGAUUGAUUCUAGGGCAACCAUUCAUAUUACUGAUUCCUCACGGGGAUUACAUGGCGCACAGACUAUAAGAAAGGGGACUCGCGCCGUUAAAGUUGCCAAUGGAGUUGAAGCUGAAGUUGAGGCUGUUGGAGAUCUCACUUUAGAACUUAGUAGUAUCUUUAGGCUUCAUUUAAGUAAUGUUCUUUAUGUACCAUCACUUAAGAGAAACUUGAUUUCUAUUUCAUCAUUAGAUUGUGAAGGUUAUUCCUGCAACUUUGGGAACAACAAGUAUGUAAUAAGUUUUGACAAUAAGAUUAUUGGUCAUGCCCCUUUACAUGAUAAGCUUUACUUGUUGCCUCUAAGUAUUAAUUCCUCUGUGACGAAUGUAAGCGAUGCCAACCAUAAGCGAAAGAGAAACAUUGAGACUUCGUCAAAAUUGUGGCACUUCCGCUUAGGCCACAUCACAUUUCGAAGGGGAGAAUGGAGCGUCUCAUUAGAGAAGAGAUACUUCCAAAAUUAGAUUUCUCUGACUUAGAUCAAUGCGUUGACUGUAUUAAGGGAAAAUUUGCAAAACAAAUUAAAAAGGAUGGAGCUAAGCAGAGUUCAGGAUUAUUAGAAAUAAUUCAUACUGAUAUAUGUGGUCCAUUUAAUGUAAGAUCAGUGGAUGGUUAUAAUUAUUUAAUUACCUUCACUGAUAAUUUCUCCCGCUAUGAAUACAUCUAUCCCAUACUCGAAAAGUCUGAAGCACUUGAUAAGUUUAAAAUCUUUAAAGCUGAAGUAGAAAAUCAGCAUGACUAAAAGAUCAAAGUGGUAAGAUCAGAUAGGGAAGGGGAGUAUUAUGGGAAACACUCCACAUAUGGACAAAUUUUGGGACCCUUUGUCAGAUUUCUCCGAGGUAAUGGUAUAGCAGCUCAGUAUUCCAUUCCUGGUGAGCCUCAGCAAAAUGGUGUUGCUGAGAGAAGAAAUCGCACCGUUAUGAACAUGGUGCAUAUUAUGCUAUGUAACUCUACGCUGCCAGUGAGUUUGUGCAUGCAAGCUUUAAAGACUGCCGCACACAUUAAUAAUUGUGUUCCUAGUAAGUCAGUCCCUAAGACUCCUUAUGAGCUUUGGACUAGUAGGAAGCCUAUAUGAAUUAUUUACAUGUAUGGGGCUGCGCAGCUGAAGUAAAGAUUUUUAAUCCACAACUUGGGAAAUUAGAUCCAAGACUGAAAGCUGUUAUUUUAUUAGAUAUCCAGAAAAGUCAAAGGGGUACCUCUUUUAUUGUCCUAAGCAUACCACUAAGUUUGUGGAGACAAGGCAUGUUGUUUUCUUAGAGGAAACUGGAUGCACUGAGGCUAGGAAAAUUGAUCUUGAGGAGAUUCGAACUUAUGAGCCGUUACCCAUAAGAUAGGAUUAUCAUACUCCUAUGCCAUAUACCACAGUUACAUCUCAGGUGGUGGAACUUCUAGUAGAAAAUGUGGGAGUAACAUCUACCUUAAGUGAUAAUGUAGAUGCACCUUUGAUAAGUGAGCAUCAAGGUGAGGAUGUGGUAGAACCUGCUGGUGGAUUGCAAGGGGAGGCAACUGAUGAGCCCGAGGUGAUUCAGCAGGAACCUGCUCAAGUAGAAGCACCACAGGAAGUAACACCACAACAUCUGAGAAGGUCAACAUGUGAGAGGAAGUACACCCGUUUCGAUGAGUAUGUGUACAUAAGUGAAGAAGGGCACAACAUGGGGAAGGUGGAUGGUCCAAACUCAUUUAAGGAGGCUAUAAUUAGUGAACACUUGCAUAAGUGGAGCGAGGACAUGGAAGAAGAGUUGAAGUCCAUGGAAGCAAAUAGAGUAUGGGACUUAGUAGAAAUUCCUGAAGGAGCCAAAACAAUAGGCUGUAAAUGGGUCUACAAAAUGAAAUAUGACUCUAAAGGGAAGAUCAAAAGGUUCAAAGCAAGACUCGUGGCUAAGGGCUUCACUCAAGUAGAAGGAGUCGAUUAUAAUAAAACCUUAUCGGCUAUCUCAAAGAAAGAUUCAUUUAGAAUCGUUAUGUCUUUAGUAGCUCAUUAUGAUCUUGAGCUACAUCAAAUCGAUGUUAAGAGUGCGUUCCCUAAUGGUGACUUGCAUGAGAAUGUAUACAUGAAGCAACCUGAAGGUUUUGUCGUGGAAGGCAAGGAAUAUUUGGGAUGCAAACUAUGAAAAUCCAUUUAUGGAUUGAAACAAGCAUGCAAAAAAUGGUACCUUAAGUUUGAUGAAGUAAUUAAGAGAAUUGGCUUCAUUGAAAAUAAGAAAGACAACUGCAUAUAUGUUAAGACUAAGGGGAGCUCUAUAAUCAUCCUAGUGCUUUAUGUGGAUGACAUCCUAUUAGCAAGCAGCGAUAAGAACUUGCUGCAUGAGACAAAGGGCUUUCUCUCAUUGAACUUUGAUAUGAAGCACCUUGGUGAUGCCGCUUAUGUCUUAGGCAUUGAGAUUCACUGAGAUAGGUCCAAGGGUGUAUUAGGACUCUCUCAAAGAGCUUACAUAGAGAAGGUCCUUGAAAGAUAUAAUAUGCACCAAUGUUUAGGCACAACUGCUCCAAUUGUCAAGGGCGAUAAGUUUGGGUCAUUCCGAAGUCCUAGGAAUCAAUUAGAAAUUGAUCAAACAAGAACGAUUCCUUAUGGUUCAGAUGUCGGAAAUAUAAUGUAUGCACAAGUGUGUACACGCCCUAACUUGGCCUUUAUAAGCAGGAUGCUUUGAAGCUAUCAGUCUAAUCCAGGAAUAGGCCAUUGGGAAGGAGUUAAGAAAGCUUUGCGUUACAUGCAAGCACUAAGAAUUACAUGCUAACGUAUAGGAGAACUGAGAAAUUAGAGAUAAUCAGCUAUUUCAGAUACUGAUUUUGAGGGUUGUGUUGGCACAAAGAGAUCCACAUCAGGUUAUGUCUUCACACUUGCAAAUGGCGUUAUAUCGUGGAAAAGCUCCAAACAAACAUUAACAGCUGCAUCGAUGAUGCAAGCUGAGUUUGUGGCAUGUUAUGAAGCUAUGGGACAAGCUGUAUGGCUUAAGAGUUUCAUCCUAGAAUUAAGAGUGGUAGACAGCAUAAGUAGGCCACUAAAAUUAUACUGCAAUAAUAAGUCAGUAGUUUUCUAUUCGAAUAACAACAAGUCAAGUGAUGCUGCAAAGCACAUUGAGAUUAAGUAUCUUGAUGUGAAAGAUAGAAUCCAAGAUCACACCAUUGAGUUAGAGCAUAUAAGUACUAAGAAGAUGCUUGUGGAUCCAUUAACAAAAGGCUUAUCUCCCAUUAUAUUCAGUGAACAUGUUGCCAGCAUGGGAUUAUCGGAUAGCUUGUGAUCUUGGAGGGUCAUAAGACAACUGCCUCCCAUCAUGAUAGGUAGUUUUAUACAUUGUGGACAACUGUGUCAUAGUGGGAUUUUAAUCAUCAUUGUCACACAUUAUCUCCCUGCAUAAUGCUGCUUUAAGAAUGGCAUAAAUUAUAGGCCUUUAGACCAAAGGGGAGAACGUUGGAAAAAUAACGUGGUGGUCAAAAGGCUGAGACGAAAACGGGAAGGAUAAGAUUGACGCCUCCCGAUCACGGUGGCAUUGGAGUUGGCCAAAGGCCGUCGCCGCACCACCAUCACUAUCCAUGGACAGACGAGGUGGAGACCUAAAGGGAGAUGCGAUCUACUCCGAGCUAGUACACCUACAACAUCUGUCAUCCCGGCCUCGUCCACAACCCUAAUGGCCGGAUCUUCACAAGCCGUGGCAGCUGGUUGUACUCUAACAUCUUCAUUGAGUGGUGUUCACAUUCUAGAUGUGCAAAGAUCCUGUUUUAGUUAAGAUUAAGUAAUGUAGAUUCCUACAGAGUUAACGAAGCCAACCUCUCGAUUCCAGUAGUAGGGAUGUUUUCUUAUGGCAUAUCUUGUGCCCCACUAACAUCACUCAUGCUAAGGUCAAGGCUAUUAGGCAAUGUAUAGCCGUAUAUAGCUGAUUUAUAGCUUUCCAUGUAUACUGAUUGUAUUCCUUGUAUACCAAACCAUAUUGGCUAUAUAAUAGAGGUCACCCCCCUCAUUAGGGUUCGUGGUGUUUUCCCAAACUCUAUCUAUCUACAUGGUAUCACAAGACCAGGAUCAAUCUGACAGGGACUUUCCUUCCGCUCCACCUCUCCCUGACGCGCCUAACCCUAGGUGCAGCUCCUGUGCGGUGGCGCUUCUCCCCUAGGCUGGCGCCCCUCCCCACCUCCCUUCCUCCCAUGGCCAAUGAUUCCUCUAUCGAGUCCUCCCUGUCCGGUGGUGGCCUUCUGUCCACUGGUGGCCCCAGGCCGGUGCCUGGCGAUGGCUCCCUGCCCAUCUCCGGUGACACCCCCCCCACUGGACUUGAACCACUGGGCGGCUAUGGCACCCUCCUUGGCACCGACGAUGGCCCUGCGUUGCCCCUUGGUGGCGGUCUUCUCCUCCACCAGGCGCCGUCGGCCAUCAUCCACCUGUGGCGGAACCGCCCAGAUUUACUUAGCUAAAGCACCAUUAAGUCACCUGACAUGCGAUCUUAUGCUUUAACCAAGAUAACUCGGCAGUCCGUUUAAUUUCGUCCGAUAAACCACUACACAGGACCGAGAAGCAGAGCUCACACGAAGGUGAGUGGUUCCAGAGAUUUCAAUAGAUCACCCAACUUAAACAAGUACCUUAAUUUUACAAACUCGGGUUCGAAAUUCCACAAAGUUUUACGGAGUUCUCAAGCAGCGGGAAAAUAUAAACCAACGGAAGCUAGCGUCAGGGGUCGGAUGUCACGAUGAGGCCGACCAUGACAUCAAUGGUCCCUAUCCUCACCGUCCGAGAAGGGAUCCCACUCGAUCGUCCACUCAGGAGGAAGCUGGGGAGGCCAAGUGCCAACAGCAGCAAACUCAGGAGCUUCAACAUCACCUGAAAAGAUUGUCACAACAAGGCUGAGCGACUACGCUCAACAAGACUUAACCGACCGUUGGGAACUACUCCACCAACUUCUAGACAUGCACGGCUCUUUGGCUGAGGGGUUGGUUUUGCCAACGCGACUAUAGUAGGUCCUUACUUUCAAGAUUUUAGACACAGGUUCUACUGUUGUUUAUCAUUCUAAGUUAGUAGCUAUACUAAUCAGGCAAAAGUUUCCAAGCAAUUUAUGACAAGCAUACAGGUUAACAUCACCAUCAAGUUCCAUUCUUACUUAGUGUAGCAUAGUGAUCAAGCAGUCCCAAACUGUGAGAGGCAGACGAAUUGAUUCGAAUAUCUUAACCAUGCAUGGUGAACCUAAUCUCACGAUAUCCGCACACCACAAAGGGUCGCUUCCUCUGUCGGUCGCACCCAUCAAUCCCUUGACCCGUGUCGAGCCCACUUCUCUUGGUACAAGGCUCCACAGACCCGGCCUCUGCCGUUCUGUGACCGCACUUGUCACCACAUGCGGCCGGAAGGGAAACUCUAUUCCAGAGACAGUGGAUCGAACCGCUCAUGUCCUGGUUCAAUCAGGUACUAGGCUUCCCCAUCCCAUACUAGAUAUGAGAUUAGUACUUUCAAACACUUGAUCGCGAACACCAUCACCUUUCGACCUUAAACCAAUUUCAUGUAGACAGACGGGGCAAUCCACCAACCACCAAAAUAGUUCACAGAGCCCUGCCCCCUCCAUCGUCCUUAUAGUUGUAACAAAAAGGAGAGCAAGCAACUCCUAUAACUCGCGAGUGACAGGGAAUCACUCGACUUUUACCGAGUCAUGUUAAGCAUUGCAACUACUCGGCCUAUCAUACUAGUGUUCAUAUCAAAGGGAACUAAGUCAUGCAUCUAUGGUUUCAAACAACUCCUGAAACGUAAAUGCACUUACAUACAACAGAAGGCAUGCGCAAGUUUAGAAAGACUGGGUGAUGCUCGGGGGCUUGCCUUCAAGUGGGGCGGAAGCAAACUAAUCUUCAACACUCUCGGGCUCAGCUCCUGCAGGCAGCUUAGCUACAACUUCAUCUUCGGGCACCGGGUGCAGCUCGUACGUGCCGUCGGCGAGGUUCAGCUCUACACGGAAUGCAAUGCAAGGGUGAGACACAGACGGUGAUUUCAACAACACUUGCAAAGAUUUAGCCCAAAAACUGUAGCAAAACUACAGGAAAAGUGUGAAACCCACGUCAUUGGAUUUUACUCAGAAAGAGGAUUCCAACCCAAGUGAUCUCACAUUUUUCUGAUUGUUCCCCGAUUUAAGAUGGAAUUUCCAAGCCUCUGCCGAUUUAGAACAAGAUAAAAGAGUCGGGUCAGGAAAAACUUGCAAUCUGACCCUUAGACCUAAGGAAUAACUGUACCGGGAUCCUUAGAUUUAACACAGAGAAGUCCUCAAAAUUUUACACAGAUGCCCUUGGUCAAAAGAAAAAGACAUAGCCGAGCCCUCGGGCGAGGCAGACAGGGGUCGGGCGAGACGGACAGGGGUUGGCAGCUCACCUUUGGUCCUACUGAUGAAGUCUUAGGGUUGGCAAGAAGCAAGCUCAGGCGGAACGACAAAAGGCGUUAAGUUUCGGGCGGCGGCGACGUCUGGCGGUGCUCCGGCAGUGGUGGUGCUUCUUGCGGACAACAAGCAAGUUUUAGCGCUGCACGAAGGAAAGCGAAGCGGUUGGCGGGGUCGGCAAGGCAGGGUGUUGGACGGAAGGGGGAGCUCCACAGAGAGCUCAGGCGGCGGUGCGUGAGCACGAAACAGAGGAGUGUGUGGUGGAGAGUGCGCUAGAGGAGAAACCAAGCAAGCAGUGCGGCAAGGGCAAUGGUGGCGAAGAGAACUCCCGUAAGAGGCUCUGGUACCCAUUUUAUAGCUGUGCGGAAGUGAACGAGAUCGAGCAGUGUGAGGAUAAGAUCGAGGGAGAAGAGGAGUGCUCUACCGUGGCGGCGAUUGGUCGGUGUCUCCAUUGGCCGGAGAAGCGGAGCUCCAGGGAUAGGAUCCUAUGGCAUUGGGCAAGGAAGACAGUGCUAGGCAAGCGCGGUUUUGCUGAGCAGAAGGAUUGGUGAGGUCGAGCGCGUGCUUGGUCGCGUGAAGCGCCGGAUUGGGUGCGGCGACUCGGUAUUGGCGGACAGGAGAGAGCGAGGUGCACUUCAGGCAAGGGCGCCGUAGGCGAGGUGACAGGGCGAGCGAUGCGAUGCGAGCAUGCGUGGAUUAGCGACUCUGCCGGGGCACACUACUGGCGAGGCGGGGGAAAGGAGUUGUCACUGCCUGCGCGGCGAUUGGCGAAGACGGCAGCGUCGCGGGGCGCACGUGGGCAGCGCGAUUGAGGUUGACGGGAGGGCCGGAAGGUGUUGGGGCGCGCGGCUGGGGGUCCAGGUGAGGCGAUGCGCACGGGAGGCGAGGCGGUACUGGCGCGGCAGCGGCCAAUCUUUGGUCACAGCGGCGGGUAGUGUGCCUGGCGCGACUGGCGAGGUCUCAGGCGAGACGAGACGGGGCGGAGAGGUCUGCAGGGUGCUUCUGCGCGCGAUUGGGAAGGAGGUGCUGAUCCAUCUUGUCGCGGCCGGCGACUGGGUGAGGCGGCGCUUGCCGGUGAGGUCACGCCAUGCGGCGGCAGUGCUCCGAAACAGGGCGCACGCGCGCUCUGGCGCUCUUUGUCCGAUGGAUCCGCGGGAUUCCUUGCCGGGCCCAUCUUCCAGCCUCUUGAUCUUCCGAUUUCCAAACUGCACCACAUUGACUCCCUUCACAAGGGUUGUAGAACACAGGCUAAGGUCCAACUUUUGUAAUUGGACUGAGUUAAAAAACGCGGUGGAUUUGGAGAUCCAAAGCUCCAAAGUUUGGAGGAACAUUGGUUUCAGGACUUAGAGAAAAGCGGCGGUUUGGCUGGUUUUCAAGGGUCAGGACUGAUUUGAGCUGCAGAUUUGGGAAUCUUCUGAGGCGAAUUGGACCAAUGUCCAAUUAACAAAGUUGUGGUAGGAACUUUGUUCUCCAACUUCUAUAAAGGGUUUUCUUGAUGUUCAGUUCAACUUUCCAAAGAUAAACCUUCCUUAAGGCGCUAGGUCAGGCUGAUUUUCCAGACUUAGCCAGAAUGGCUGAAGGAAGUCUGAGUUGACCAGACUAGGGGGCUUGUCUUAAGAUUAAACUCGGCUGAUUUAAAUCUAGGUCGUUACACCACCCCUACGCCACGAUCUCCGUCAAGGCUCACAUCCCCAUGAUGUUGACGAUGAAGACCUCCAGCUACUCCAAGUGGGUUUCCUUCUUCAAAUCCAUGUGUGGCAAGUUCGGCCUCAAGUCGCACAUCGACAGCACCGUGACGCCCCGUCCUGAUGACCCCGAUUGGGAUCAAGCGGAUUGCUGCGUCCUCUUCUGGAUCUUUGGCUCUAUCGUGGACCUCGCCAUGGAGGAUGAUGAGCAGACCGCCAGGGCCCUCUGGCUCACCAUUUAAGGCCUCUUCCAUGCCAACAAGCAAUCCCGGGCGAUCUUCCUCAGCUACGACUUCCACUCCAUGACCCAGGAGGACUCCUCCAUCUCGUAGUACUGCCAGCGCAUGAAGAACCUCGCUGACACCCUCCGUGACAUUGGGCAUCCCAUUCAAAACUCCCAGUUGGUCCUGAAUCUUCUCCACGGCCUCAACCCGCACUACUCCAACACCACCGACGACAUCGGCAACUCCCCCGCCGGCUUCCAGUCCUUUGCCCAGGCUCGUGACAUGCUCACCUUGAAGGAGCUUCGCCUCGUCAACUUGCUGCUCUACGUCGAUGACAUCAUCCUCACCGCCUCAUGUUCGACGCUCCUCCACCACAUCAUGGCUAGUUUUCAGUCCGAGUUCGCCAUGACGGAUCUUGGUGAUCUUCAUCACUUUCUUGGCAUCUCCGUGACGCGCUCCCCUGAUGGCUUGUUCCUGUCCUAAUGACAGUACACCCUGGACCUCCUCCAGCAUGCCAGCAUGGCUGAGUGUCACUCUACGACGAGUCCUGCUGACACUCAUGCCAAGCUCUCGGCGACCGACGGCAACAAGCUCAAGGAUGGCUCUAAGAAACCGCUGGAAGUUAAAUUCAACAAAAGUUCAAUUCGAGAAAAGUUCAAUUCAAGAAAAGUUAAAUUGUAUCACCUCCCCAGGACUUUGUUCUUUUGUUUUUGGUUCCCAAAGCACAAUUUCAUUAUCAGCACUCUGCAAAUCCAAGCUAGCAUAGAUCAGAUUCCUCAUUAUACAGGAACCAAAACUGGCACUGGGAAAAAAAAGGUUGAAAGACUGAACCCAUGCACAGUACAAGAAUACAGGAUCCAGAUACAGUGGUAUUUUGAAGCAUCAAAAGAAUGACGACUGUACUACUACUAUAGCAGCAAUUUGUAUCCAUUUAAGGGAAGGAAUUUCACCUCUGACAGGAUGAAGUCACCAAGCCAUCUUGUACAAUCAACAUAGUUAGAGUGUACUGCAGCAAUCAACACCUGCAAGGAAAGAAACAGGUUGGUUUGAUGGCAUGAGGAUUAAACACCAACAGUAGUUUGCAAAGGAAUAGAUCUAAGAUGAUUAUAGAUGCUAAACAUACCGGAAACUGGACAUAUUUUGUUGGAAACUUUGAUGGAAGGUCAGUCCAGGAAUAUGAUUUGUCAACAUAUUGCCAAAAUUCUGUGACAACAUUGGGAAACUCUAUCAAUGAUAUGCAGCAUGCAAAUGUAAACAUGAUGCUACUUUGAAGUAGUUUUCCAACCUUUCAUUGACCAGAUUUUCACAGUGUUGUCCAUGCCACAACUUGCAAAACGCUCAAUAUCACUAGGGUGGAAGUCCUUCAGCCAAAAUAAUGUAUUUUGGUCAGUACAUUUAUGCCUAACGUAAUGGAAGUACAAAAGCCGUAGUAGUCACCAGGACUAUAUUUAUCCCUGAUGUAAUGCUCAAUAACAAAUAGUAACAUCAGAAGCUGAAAGAGUGGUAGCUUCAGGGCACUUUGAGCAAGUAAUAUUCUGAAACAAUACCAUAAGAGGAGGCAGGAGCUACUUACAACACUCAACACUUCAUUGCGAUGACCUCAAGCUCCAGCAAAUACCAAGAUGCAGAUCCCUGUAUGGACAUUCCAUAGCCUAACAGAUUCAUCCUAUUCAAUAAUGAAUAAUGCCAUAUGAAACAGUGUCAGAACAAUUAUAACAAAGUACAUUCAGCCUAAGAACAGGUUAUCUGCUAACCUUGCUUGCAGAAAUGAUGAGCGAAGGCUUCAACGCUUGAGUCCUUAUCUCAUUUAUUGAGUCACCAUGGCCAGCAAAGCUCUGUAGAAUUCCAUAAACAGAAAUAACAAAUAAACACGUGCACAGUCUAAUUCAUAGGAUAGGAUAGUAUUUAUUGGCAUGCCCUGUCUCGUGACUAUAUGUAUAACGCCAAAAUAGAUACACUAGGUUGAACGUGUCUUGACUAUAACGGACAUGCUGAAGUAUCCAAAAACCAGAAUCUUCUGUGAGCAAAAGUUACAGUUUGCUAGUGGUAUUAAUGCAUAGCAAACAGACAAUUCCUUAAUCAAACCAAAUUCAAAUGACCUUCUGGAUCGGAUAUCAUAGAUGGUAUCUGUCAGGUAAGCAACUGAUGUACAGAUUUGUGCAAAUGAAGCUUCAUUCAAGUUUGACGUAGUAACAAAGACAAGGCUAGGGGUACUAUACCUUAGCUAACUUCUCCGUAGCACAGUUGAUGACCCGAAUGAUCCCAUUGCCUCCUGCUGCUCAAUGACUCCAUUCUUGGUGACCAGUGUGGCAUCCAAUGUAUCAAUCAGCUCUUCCUUCUUCUUGAGCAAGGCGUUCUUCUCCUCUAUCACCCUGUCCCUAGCCUUCAGUGCCUCCUCCAUCCGAACAACUCUCACCUCCAGCGUGACAAUCCUCAGCGAGUCCCUCUUGUCGUAGGUGUCCGGUGCAGUGUCCACCUCGUGCUACAGGCGACGGUUCAUCCGGUCCAGGUCAGUCAAAUAGUGCUCAAGUCCCAUUAUCUUGCCCUCAAGUAUGGCGUUGGUACCGAUGCAGUUGUCCCAACCAUUGUGAAGUACCUCCACCUCUCUGUCAUUCCAGAACAGCGCCAAGUCCUGAGCGUGAAUACAGCGGGAGGCCACGCAAAACUUCUCGUUGGGCUCUGCAUAUGCGUCCUCGUAGUACUGAUGGACUAAACUCUCGAAAUCCCUCAGCCCACGGCAAGCCCUGGUUAGGCAACGGUAGGGAGUCUGAGCCAACCUGUCACGGAGCUGCGCAUGCACCUCACACACAGCCCUUCUGGCGGCAGUCCGGUGAGCCGUUGACACUGACAGCUCAAACCCAAGUAGAAGAAUAAGCAAAGUCUAGUCAGAAAUAGCGGUAGUCAACAGAACUGUCCAUAACCAGUGGACACGGAUUAUAGCUACAGCUUUAUACACUCUGCAGAGGAUGUACAACUAUACCCACACGGAUGGAGUCUAAACGGUGGCGAUCCGUCGAAACCCCACCUAACAGCCGGAGCCCUAGUAGGUGGAUAGCUCUGUCAUAUUUCCUCGAGUCUGGAAUCAUCCUUAGCUGCAGGGCACGCCGUCACCAGUGAGCACCUCGAAGCUAUGAAACCUACCCAUGCCGGGGUGUAGUCUGGUCAAAGCAAGCCAACGCCUUGAACUCAUUACAUGAUCCUCCAAUCUGCCUAGAGGCUGAGCACUAUCCACCACUAGUCUCGAACCGAACUCUGCCCAUAACGUAAGCGAGCGGUAUCUACGUAAAAUAGUUGCUGUGACUAGUGGUAAACUGACUCAGUGCUUAAGCGGCUGAGAGCGAGCACUCUACUCCACAAGUAUGUGCCGAAACACAUGCAACAUAUAAGUACGCUACCUGCUCCUCAGUAACAAACAAGGUACCCACCACAGGUACGGGGUAUAGAGAGAGUCCAGAAUGCUCUCUCCUAGCAAGGCACUCCUUAGUACCAACCAUGGCGCUCCCGCCAAAACAUAUCAAGGAGUCACACUCACCCAAAACUCAAGCGAGAGUGUUCAAUGAAUCCUAUCACCGAAACUGUGGCAUAUGCCCAUCCAUAACUCAAAAGCAUGUAUAUGGAUAUAUGAGCGGUGGACUAGCUAGGGGUCUGUAGCUAGUCCACAAAAGUAGGUAACAAGGAAAACAGAAUACAAAAUUAUCAAGGCAUGGCUAAAAAUAUUGGCUAUGCAAUCCAACAUCAUCAAGCAUCAUAAAUAAAGCACCAGCAACUAAGCAUGCAUAUGAUCUAUGUGAUUGGGAGUGGCAUGACACCUUGUCCGUAGUUGUUUGGAUCUUCCUCGGCAUAGUCGGAGUCUUGAGGGUCUUCUGGGUCGUAGCUCGAGUCUGAACAGACCAAGAUAUGACAUAAAGUAAAUUAAAUGGCAUUACAACUAGGAAGAAACUCCAAGAAAGCCAAAUUUAGUAGAUCCAAAUAACACCAAACUAGUUACAAACAACACGGGCUCCAUUUUACGAAUUUAAUGCAACUGGUUCCAUAUUUUUCGCAGUUAAAAUGAAUUAGUUAUGAAUUUUUUAAGAUUAAAGGAUUCAUUUAAUUAUUUAAAUAAUUUUAGAAAAUAUUUAUUAUUACAGUGACAUGUGCCAGCGCUUGGUUGUGCCAUGUGGGAGCAUAAGAGUGCGCCACGUGUCUCCUAACGCCAAGCUAACGUCAGCGUUGACCGGUCAACAGGGCCCCACCAGUGGGCCCGAGCCUCGGACAUGUCAACGCCUCGUGGCUCCACGUGGCAGCCACGUGGCACUGCCACAUGGCGCACACGUGGUCGUCCCCAGCUGGCCGGGAUCCGCGCGCCACCCGCGUGUGGCCAUGGGUGUGGUGCAGGCCUGAUUGGCUGCGACACAGCGGUGACUGUGCCCACGACGUCAUGGUGUGGCGCGACGUCACGGCGCGGCUGCUGCACGUGUGCGCGGGCAGGAGGUAGUCCCGGCCGCGGCACGACCGCGGCGGCGUGCGGGGUCCCGGGCCCGCGGUGGCUGGCAGCGAGGCGAGCGGCGGCACUACAACCGUGGCUCGAAGGCUGGGCAUACGACAAGCAAACAAGAGGAAAGAGAGGGGCAACGAGGUUCACUGCAGGGAGACGGUGAAAUUGGGCGGCGUCGGGCGGUGGUCGACAGCUCAGGCUCCUCCCUCAGACGGCCCCUCUUCUUCUUCUUCUCUUCUACUUCCCCUCCUUCUCUUUCCUCCUCAUCUCCUACUCCUCCCUCCUCCUCUACUCCUUCCCCCUUCUCUCACUCGGGUGGUCGAUGGCGCAAGGGCGAAGCCCCGAGUGGAUGGCGAAGAGAGGCCCCGAGCGGCUCUACUUAUAGCGGAGAGGCGGCUGUGUUCCAGAGGGAGGUUGCGGCAGCACUUUAGGGUUUGGGGGCGUGGCGUCGGUGAUGUGGAUGGCUAGGAUGUGGUGUUGCAUGGUGCGGGUGACGUGGCGGCCAUCCGAGGCUCCCAGCACAAAAGCAAGGGUGCGGGCGAGGUCAUGGGUGCGCACGCGAGGCGCGCGUGAGCGGUACGGCCGGAGGAAGAAGGAAGAGGAACAGGGGCACCUCACAGGUGGGUCCGGUGCAGCAGCAAGAGAGAAAGAGAGGGAGAGCGGGGCGCGGGUGGCGACUGCGGGCUGGGCCAGCUGGCCGGUUAUGAGGCCUGCUGGGCUGGUCACUGAGCUGCGCGGGCGAGGCAGCUGAGCGGCGCGGGCGAGGUGGCUGAGCAGGCCAGGCCGGCUGUCUGGCUAGGCCGGGGUGAAGGUAGGUGAGGGUGAGGCGCGAGCGGGCCAGGCCGGUGGGCUGCGGCUAGCCUGGUUGGUUAGGAGGGUUAGAUAGGUUUUGUUUUUAUUUAGAUUUAGAUUUAGUUGGAGUGUUGAAUCAAAUUCAAAAUUCAAACACACACUCAAACAUGAGAUCCAAAUAAAAUCUAAAAAGAUCCAAAUCAUUCCACACAAGUUUUGAAAUGGAAUUUUGGGACGAGAAGAGAAUUUGACUACCAUUUUCAAACAAGCACACAAUUCAAACAAAAGUUUUAAAUUUUUGGAAAUUUUACUUAAAUAAAUAUUACAAAAUUCUGGAAUAUUACAAACAUAACCACUUCACCUCGUACCCCGAGAAAAGCGAUACGAAGCUUAACACUCCUCGACAUCUGGGAAAUUUGGUCAGAACGAAACUCUAGAUUUUUCGGACUGUGUGAGUCAUCCUUGAUUUCCUUGGUGGCAAAAAUUAAAAAGGAAGCUUAAGUUUUGUAGGUCUUUUGGAUUAAACCAACUUGGUAAGCUAUCACCCCAAAAGCCAUGGACAUUCAAUUCUCUCAUGAGGGCACAAGCCAUCGAUCACUUCAUUCUCACGUGGUGUCGGCUCGAAAACUCUGGGAUUAGUUCGCCAGUUCAGCUCUAUUUCCUUGAGGUAUUUCUUGUCAACGAGUCUAGCCUCAGCAGCCUGUUCCUUGCUCCUCACAGUAUGAAUAGAAUUAAUGCAUAGCAUUCCGCUAAGCUGAUUCAUGCCCUUCAGCUCACCAAUUGCCCCCCUCCGUGCUUCGACUGUGAAAUAUCUCAAGUUCCUUUAAUAAGUCAAUAGAGGCUUUUACUGGAAGUGCUAGUUGACGCAAGUUGAUUAGCUUUGUUACAUCCUGACGAAUUGUUCUCAGACAUGAACCAAAUGCAACAACAACUUGUAGGCUGUUAAGGCACCAGAAUUUCGAUGGCACUUCAUUUAUAUUGCUGUAGGAUAUAUCAAGAUAUCGGAGGCUAUUCAACCCACAUAUGCUUUGGGGUAGACUUUUCAGCUUGCAACCUUUUAGGCUCAAAAACAGGAUGUUAGAAAGCUGACUGAACCAGGUGAUCUCAACAUCCAAUUCGGUACCAAACCUAAGUGAACGCAGUUUGUUCAAAUUUUGAAUGUUUGUCAUUGUGCCCAAGGACUUACGUACCAUCCACCUCGAUUGACAUGUGGCGAGGUUUAUUUGUCAUUCCGCUCAAAUCUUUCAUCGAGAAACAUUCAUGGAUAGAAACAUACUGCGCAGUAUCAUGGAUCAGGUCAUGCAUUACGUAUUUAUCUUGAUUAGGGAACUUUGGAUCAGUUUGGAAAAGACACCUGCCUCUCAAAUCAUCCAAAUACUUCAUCCCGACAUCUUCAAGACGCUUGCUCACUUGUGGUGAAACAAAGCCCUCUGCCACCCAAAUGUCAACGAUCUCAUGUCUUUUGAAGCUAUAAUCUUUCGGAAAUAUGGAGCAAAAUGCAAAGCAUCUCCUAAGUUCAGUUGGGAGGUACAAGUAGCUCAGUCGAAGUGCUGGUAAUAUGUCGCUAUGUUUUUGUUCUUGCUCCCAUAAUUCACUGUCCUUGAUAGUCCUCCAAUGUUGCUCAGUCAGAUUACUAUUCAACAAGCGUCCGAGAGUUUUGGCAGCCAAAGGAGUACCAUGCAACUUAGAGGAAAUGCUCUGACCAAUCUCUUGUAAGCGAGGAUAUGACUCUGGGCACUCUUUACCAAACGCACAUUUCUUGAAAAAUUCCCAAAAUACACCAGCGGGCAAUCCUUCGAGCUGGAGAGGCUUACAACUGCAUUUGGACCAUGCGGUGACAUUCUGAGCAAUGUUUUUGUGUCUUGUAGUCACUAAGAUCAUGCUACCUUCAAGUCCAUUCUUCAACGGUGCAUAAAAAGACUCCCAUUGUGGUAAUUUCCCAAAUAUCAUCCAGCACCAAAAGGAACUUUUGGAUCUUCAGCAUGUGCCACAGAUCUGCUUCAAGAACACCCAAACCACAAGACAAGUCGAAGUUUGGCUGGAUGAUGAUCUCCUUUUUCAUCCUUUCAAUGUCAAACAGGUCCGAAACACAGACCCGUAUCCUUACAGUAAAGUGGCCUUCACUCUUUCAUCACUGUCGAUGAGCUGAGCCAGGGUGGUCUUCCCCAUCCCGCCAAUGCCAAAAAUUGGCAAGACAGAAACAUUGCCACAGUUAGCAGUCUCAGCAAGCCCUGCACUGCUGUUACUGUCAAAGUUAAGUCGCUUGGCUUUGGAUGUAGAUGCGAUGGCGUCAUGACUUGCUGCUUCUGUGCCUUUUCCUUUAGACCCUGCAGAUGUACUGCCCAUAGUGAGUGGCAUGCCCAUUUGUGAGAUCACCUGAUUAAUUUCGGCAGCACGAUCAAUCGUCAGAGUCACACCCAGCAUCUCCAUCACUUGAUCCCUUUCCGUGUCACGCGGUGAUGAGUUCAUUCGUUGUUGGCAUGCAUGACCUGCACUGGCUGAACACGAUCAAGACCAAUCAAGCAUAGCACUUCUUUAACUUCAGCCAUAACCUUGUGGAGCUGAUCUUUGGUGUCCCUUAUCCUUUUUACUGCUAGCAUGGACGAGAUGUUUGGCAAUAUUCAGAGAGGAUGAUGACACGAGUUGACCUGCCCUGCUCCGGCUGGCGUCCUCAAUCUUGUGCCGCAGCGCCUGGUCCUCGAACUCUCGGUGGAGGUCCUCGGCGUCGUAGGUGGUGUACUUGUGCUGCAAGAGAUGGGCCUCCACCAUGCCCCACUCGCUGCGACUGAUGAGCAGCUUGGUCUUGAGUUGGUCCAGCUCGUUUUCCAGCUGGGUCGGCGCUUGGCUCAUGCUCAUCCCGAAUGACAGGAUGCCUUGCACGGUGUCCAUGGUCGCGCGCGCUCCUAGAUCUUGGUGCGUUGGUGGAGCUGCUCGUGAAGUCGUGAUGAUGGUGCUCCUCCUCCUCUUCCUCCUGCUUGGCACAGGGGCAGAAGGGAGCGAUUACCUGAUGAUGGUGCCACCGAUUACUGGCCUUCGCCCUCCCAACACCGGACUGGUGAUUUUCACCGGAGGGAUCGUAAGAGAGAUCGGGCAGAGAGGUGUAGGAUCAAAUUGCGUGUGCACCCAACGUGGAAUGGCGCUGGAUAUAUCUAGCUACAUGGUUGCAUGCCCUGCCGAUCUGGGCAAUCGGUAUUGCAUUUGCAGAUUUGCUUCGGUUUCAUCGAUGAUCCCUCCGGCGUUGGUUUCUUCGAUCGGUCCUGUCUUGGGUUCCAUCGAACUUGAUCGAGCUGUCUUGAGGCCGGCGGAGUAACUAAGAGAUCCAUUAUUCAUCGGGAUAAGCUAGGAUCGCAGGGGCUCGUUGCGGCUGCGGGCGUGGACCACCAUCUCUUCCUGCCUGCCGCCGGCGGCCGGCGAGUGCAAGACUGGUAGGUUUAGGAGAGGAAAGGCCAAAAGGCGUGAGCUGUGAAGGAAUGGACCUGGCAACCGGGUGCGGCUUGUGUUGUAUCUUGGGCCGGUUGGGCCGAGUGCAAGUUCCGGGGCCUCCUCGGUGGUGGUUUUGUUGGCUGCAAACUGAUGAGGCCUCGUGCCUUGGCUGCGAAGAAGACGGCUACUCAAAAGCAUUUCUCCCCCAGCAGCUUGAAACGGUCGCCCGCGGACAGCAAGCAAGCGUUCGCGAGCCUGACCGUGCACUGUACAGCACAGGACAGGGAUCCAUGCUUUCCGGCAACACCCAUCGGCGCCAGGCUUACCCACCAGUACACCUGGCACCUGCUGGCUGUCCAGCUCCAAACCUCUCCAUCACAAGACAGAGGUCGUCAAUGGCUUCUUCGGUUUGCAACAGCACAGUGGACAAGAAAAGCAGGGGCAAAGCUACAUUGGGCUAGCCGAGUGAUUAGUAACUAAUUUUUACCACUUGUGCACUCCCUAACCUCCAAUUUCGUGCACCACUGUCUGGCCCACCAACAACCUGCAGCCCAGCAGUUAGCAUAGGCCAGCUUUCAGCAACCCAUCAAGCCCACGAUGCACUAUAGGUGCAUGCAGCUGCGGGCCUGCCGCAUCCGCCCGCGUGCGUUGCACGUGACAAGUCCUCACGGAGAACACGAAACAAUCGUCCGCGAAGCCCGCUCGCUCGCCCAAACGUGAGAACUCAUCGUAGAAAGGCGGCGGAAGAGAGGGAGGCGGCACUCGCGCGUCGCCGUGUCGCACCAUCUCCAGUCGCUGCGGUACGUCUCCUCGCCGGAAUCAGCACCCCCAACCUUAAGCGAUCAUCAUCAACUCCUAUUUUUUUGUUUCUCUCCAUUGUUGCACUGCACAUUCUUCUAGCCUCCCCUUUUGCUCAAGCCCACUCCACUCGAAUGGUACACAAUUAUUUUUCUCACAUGUGCUUUUGUGCCAAUCAGCUUCUUUGAAGUAAUCCGUUAGUGUUUCAAUUUCAUGGUUACUUAUUCUCCUAUAUUCAAUUGAAUUGUAGGGUUAGGGUUUGCAAUUGGGGUUUUACUUCUACAAAUUGCAAUGAAAGGGCAAAGGAGAAGGAACUUAGGAAGGAUUCAUUGAGAUUUGAGACUCAAGAAAUAAACAAAAAUCAUGUCAAGUAAGUUUAUGGGUGUUUGGUCAAUUAAUCAUUUAUUUUUCUUCCCUUGAUUCUUGAACAGAUGAACAUGAGAAGCAUUAAUGUAACUGACAUUUUAAAAAAAUGUGUUAUAUGUGUGUUUAUGGAAAGAUGGUUAAAAAGAAAAGCGCCAGAUGAUGCUAACAAUUUUUGGUAAUUCUCAUCAGCAAAACAACAAUAUUAAUGUUAAUCCAAUACCACCAGCUCCAGAAGAUAUCGAUUGGGAGGAGGAGAUCCAACUUCAUCCUGGUAAAAGAGAAGAAAUACGUUCUUGUCACCCUAAUCUUAGAGAAUCGGUAAGAAGAAUGUACUUGGCAAAUGAGCCUUGUCAGCUCGCACUCUUAAUUUUUCAUCUACUCGGAUUGGGGAUAAAAAUUGAAGGUUUAAUCUUGAAUGGUUUGAUGAAUUUGGAAACUGGCUUGAGUACAGUGAGUCUACCGAUAGAGCCUACUGUUUUACCUGUUUCUUGUUUAGAGACCCCACUAAGAAGGAGGCUGGGUACAAGUCAUUUAUUUUAGAUGGUUGGAAUAAUUGGUAUAAUAAAGAAAGAUUAAAGGAGCAUGUUGGCAGUGUUGACAGCUAUCACAAUGUAGCAACGAAAAAAAUGUGAUGAUAUGUUGAAAAGAGAAUAGCACAUUGAUGUUAAGUUACAUGAACAGCUUGAGAGUUCUAAGAAUGCAUAUUUUGUUCGACUUAAUGAUGCAAUUGAUACUAUCAGAUUGCUACUCAAGCAAGGACUACCUUUCCGGGGGCAUGAUGAAUCAAAGACAUCCUUAAACAAAGGGAACUACAGGGAAGUUUAUGAUUGCUUAGCUCAACAUGAUGCAGCUUUAGCCAAGGCAUUGACAAUUGAUGCUGCAUAUAAUAGUAUUUUGGUAUCUGCUGACAUACGGAAAGACAUCAUCAACUGUUUUGCAGAUGAUAUUUUACAUUCUAUCCUUGGAGACAUUGGGAAAGAUGUAUUUUGCUUGCUAGUUGAUGAGUCUAGAGAUGUCUCUUUCAAAGAGCAAUUGGCAGUGGUGUUAAGAUAUGUUGAUAAAUGUGGAUUUGUGAACGAGAGCUUUGUUGGUGCUAGCAAUACGCAAGGUGAGUUCAAUGGCUUAAAAUCUUUGAUCAUGAGAGAAAAUAGUAGUGCAUAUUAUCUCCGUUGCUUUGCCCAUUAACUUCAAUUAGUGGUUGUAGCUGUUGCUAGAAAGCAUACAGGCAUUGCUGAAUUUUUUAACAAUAUCUCUAUCUUAUUGAAUGUGGUUGGUGGAUCUUCAAAGAGAAGGGACAUGAUUUGAGAUAUCAAUCUCAAAGAAGUUAGUAAGGCCUUAGGCUGUGGGUUACUUAGUAUCGGGACAGGAUUGAAUCAAGAACAAUGUCUUCAAAGACCUAGAGUCUCACUAUAAAUCUCUUAGAAGUUUAGUUAAAUUCCAAAUAAUUAUCAAAGUGCUUGAAUUUGUGGAAAAGGAAGGCAGGGAGGGAAAGGCAAGGGUGUUCUUAGAAAAGUACACUCAUGAACGGGAUGAAUGAUACACGAGUUCAGCGUCACCUAGUCAAGCCGGAUUCCAGAUUCCAUCGUACUGACACUUGCUGCGCUGCUUUGCUAUCUAUUAAUUCUCCUCAAUCUAUAGUAACAGAUAACAACUCUGUCCGCAGCAUGAUAUGGAAAUUUUCUCACACUGGCGGGUACACGAUGGCUUCAGCCUAUAGAGUGCAAUUCAUUAACUUCACCAAAAAAACACAAAUCUGCGCAAUCUGGACUUCUUGCCCCUCUCCUAAAUGCAAAUUCUUCGUGUGAUUAAUCCUUCAUAACCAUGCUUGGACUUUGGAUCGGCUUGCUCAAAGAGGAUGGCCUCAUAGCCCAGCUUGCCCCCUCUAUAAACAGAUAAUGGAAUUCUCUCUUCACCUGCUGGCCAAGUGCAGAUUCACUAGGAAAAUUUGGAGUCCUCGUGGCUAUUUAGACAAAGCAGCCAGUACUACACCCACUGGAAUGGGAACAAAGCUACAAUACCUUGGAAUGGUGGACCAACAUUGAAAUGGACCUGAAUUUUCAUUUCUGAGAAUUCAAGCCUACGCACCUCCGUGAUAGUUCUAGGAGGCUAUCACGUGCGAAUCCAUGUCUCAGAUAGUACAAAUUCAUACCAACAUAGAAAUAUAAAGCAACAACAUAGUACCAUAUCAUAAAUAUCAUAAGUAACAAGUACAUCUCUUCGGUACAUGCCAGAACAUGUCCAUCAGGAUUGAAUCAGAAAGGUAAAAUAUCUAUGCAGCGAAAGCGUAAGCUACGGCGAACUCCAUCUCCAGAGGCGACUCGAGCGAAGGACCAUCCCUAGUCUUCCUAUCCAUCAUUGUCGAAGUCGUAGUCGGGCUCCGACCCUAAAAAGCCACCAUCUACUCGAGAAGCGGGUAGGCCAUGUCAACUCCCAAAAGGAGCAAGCUAAGGAAAUGGGGGAAUUAUACUAUAUGCAUGAGUAAAACCUAUAUAUGGUUGUAGAGGUGUAUGCAACAGCAGCAUCAAUCAAGGAAGCAGCAAAGCAUUACCAUCUUCGAGGUCAACACCUCAAAUAAGGAAGUUGGCACAAAUCACCAGAUCCUUCGCCCAUGGGUCCAGCAUCCAACACACUAGUCGAUGUGAGAGCUCCCUUCCCUCACAUCUCAAUGGCAAACUCCAGCCUAUCUCAAAAAGGGGAGGUAGAAGAAUAAGCAAAGUCUAGUCAGAGGUAGCGGUAGUCAAUAGCACUGUCCAUAACUAGUGGAUAUGGACUUUAGCUAUAGCUUUAUACACUCUGCAGAGGUUGUACAACUGUACCUGCAUGGAUGGAGCUUGAACGGUAGUGAUCCGUCCAAACCCCACCUAACAGCCGGAGCUCUAGUAGGUGGAUAGCUCUCUCUUGUUUCCUCAAGUCUGGAACCUUCCUCAGCUGCAGGGCAUGCCGUCACCAGUGAGGACCUCGAAGCUGUGAAAUCUACCCACGCCGGGGUGCAGUCUGGUCAGAGCAGGCCAACACCUCGAACUCCUUACACGAUCCUCCAAUCCGCCUACAGGCUAAGCACUAUCCACCAAUAGUCUCAGACCGAACCUCGCCCAUAACGUAAGUGAGCGGUAUGUACGUAAAAUAGCAGUUGUGGCUGGUGGUAAAUGACUCGAUCCUUAAGCGGCUGAGAGCGAGCACUCUACUCCACAAGUAUGUGCUGAAGCACCUGCAACGUACAAGUAUGCCACCUGCUCCUCAGUAACAAACAAGGUACCCGCCACAAGUAUGGGGUAGAGAGAGAGUCCAUAAUGCUCUCUCUCGGCAAGGCACUCCUCAGUACCAACCAUGGCUCGCUCCUACCAAAAUACAUCAAGGAGUCACACUUACCCAAAACUCACAUGAGAGUGUUUAAGAAAUCCUAUCACCAAAACCAUGGCACGCCCAUCCAUAACUCAAAAGCAUGUAUAUGGAUAUAUGAGCGGUGGACUAGCUAGGGGUCUGUAGCUAGUCCACAAAAGUAGGUAAGAAGGAAAACAUGAUAAAAAAUUAUCAAGGCAUGGCUAAAAACAUUAGCUAUACAAUCCAACAUCAUUAAGCAUCAUAAAUAAAGCGCUAACAACUAAGCAUGCACAGGAUCUAUAUGAUUGGAAGUGAUAUAAAGCACUAGCAACUAUACAUUGGCUUGCCCGUAGUCGUUUGGAUCUUCCUCAACGUAGUCGGAGUCUUGAGGGUCUUUCGGGUCGUAGCUCGGGUCUGAACAGAACGAGAUACGAUGUAAAGUAAAUUAAACGGCAUUACAUCUAGGCAAAAAUUCCAAGAAUGCUAAAUUUAGAAGAUCCAAAUAAUACCAAACUAGUUACAAACAACACGGGCUUGAUUUUAUGAAUUUAAUGCAAAUGGUUUCAUAUUUUUCAGAGUAAAAAUGAAUUAGUUAUGAAUUCUUAAAUAUUAAAGGAUUUAUUUAAUCGUUUAAAUAAUUUCAGAAAAAAAUUAUUAUUAUGGUGACACGUGUCAGUGCCUGGUUUUGCCACAUGGCAGCACGAGAGUGUGCCACAUGUCUGCUAAUGUCAGACCGGUAACGGUCAACGUUGACCCGGUCAGUCAACGAUGACCUGGUCAACGUUGACUGUCAACUGGGUCCCACCGAUCAGCAGUGGCCCCACAGGUCAGUGGGCCCUGCCAAUGGGCCACCAGUGGGCUUGGGCCUCGGACACGUCAUCGCCUCGUGACUCCACGUGGCAGCCACGUGGCCAUCUAGUCGACAUGGCACUGCCACGUGGCCGUCCCCAGCUGGUCAGGAUCCGGUGUGUCAACUGGAUCCUGUGUGCCACCCGCAUGUGGCCACGGGUGUGGCGUAGGCCUGAUUUGUGGCGACGUGGCGUGGCGGGGCGUGGCGGUGACUGCGCCUAUGACGUCGUGGUGCAGCGCGCCAGCUGUGCGUGCGCAUGGGCAUGGGGCAGUCCCCGACCACGGCACGACCGCGGUGACAUGCAGGGUCCCGGUGUCCUAGGCCCACAGUGGCUAGCGGCGAGGUGAGCAGUGGCGCUCCUAUGGCGGCUCGAAGGUCAUAUGACAAGGAAACAAGAGGAAAGAGAGGGGUAGCGAGGCUCACUGCGGGGAGAUGGCGAAGGCGGGCACUGUCGGGCGGCGGUCGACAGCUCUGGCUCCUCCCUCAGAUGGCCCCUCUUCUUCUUCUUCUCCUCUACUUCACCUCCUUCUUCCCUUUCCUCCUCUUCUCCUCCUCCUCCCUCCUCUUCUGCUCCUUCCCCCUUCUCUCACUCGGGUGGCUGGCGGCGCAAGGGUGAAGCCCUGGGUGGAUGGCAACAAGAGGCCCCGGGUGCCUCUACUUAUAGCGGAGAGGCGGCUAGGGUUCCGAAGGGAGGGUGCGGCGGCGCGCUUGGGUUUGGGGGCGUGGCGCUGGCGACGUGGACAGCCGGGAUGCGGCAGCGCACGGUACGGGUGGUGUGGCGGCCAUUCGAGGUCGCUAGCGCAAAAGCAAGGGCGCGGGCGAGGUCACGGGUGCGCGCUCCCAUGUGGGAGUGUGUGCCAGCACGGACGGGGAGGCGCGCGUGAGCGGUACGGCUGGAGGAAGAAGGAAGAGGAACAAGGGCACCUGAUGGGCGGGUCCAGCGCGGCGGCGAGAGAGAAAGAGAGGGAGAGCGGGGCGCGGGCAGCAAUGUGCGGGCUGGGCCAGCUGGCCGGUUAGGAGGCCUGCUGGGCUGAUCACCAGGCUGCGCAGGCGAGGCGGCGGAGCAGGCCAGGCUGGCUGGGUCGGGGCGAAGGCGGGUGAGGGUGAGGCGUGAGAGGAUCACGCCGGUUGGCUGCGGCCAGCCUGGUUGGGUAGAGGGUUAGACGAGAUCCAAAUAAAAUCUAAAAAGAUCCAAAUCAUUCCACACAAGUUUUGAAAUGGAAUUUUGGGAUGAGAAGAGAAUUUGACUACCAUUUUCAAACAAGCACAAAAUUCAAACAAAAGUUUUGAAUUUUUGGAAAUUUCACUUAAAUAAAUAUUACAAAAUUAUGGAAUAUUACAAACAUAACUGCUCCACCUCGUACCCCGAGAAAUGCGAUACGAAGCCUCAACGUCUGGGAAAUUUGGUUAAAACGAAACUCUACAUUUUUCUCGGACUGUGUGAGUCCUCCUUGAUUUCCUUGAUGGCAAAAAUUAAAAAGGAAGCGGCUGCUUGGGUGGGGGCAGGGAAUACUUGUGUCCCACCUUACAUUGAACAACAGAGCACAAUACUUGUGUCAGUAUAAAAAAAAACUUGUGUAAGGCCAGCUACACAAGUUAGCUCGCAUUUCAUAAUUAAGUUUCAGAUUUCGUGCAAGGCCAGAUACUUUAGCACUGCACUCUUGAUGUACCGAAAGGAAGAUUAACAUAUAAGUACAAUACCGAAGUAAUGACUAUGGAAAUAGGCUUAGAAAUACAACAGAAGCUAGGUACAGUGCAAUAAACCUUAGUGCCUCAUCAUAGCUCCCUUAGCUUCCAGGAAAGUAUAAUGCUGUAUUUGCAGAGAAAAAAAAUAUCACCUUCUAGUGGUGAUCAAGUACGCGAGACUCUUGCACUUGCAAUAGAAAGAUCUGCCAAACCGGUCCCAUUUGACCACAAUAGCAGCUGCAAAGCCAACGCCGAAGCCAAGCCCAACGAAGAGAAACAAAACCACAUCAAUAUGACGAGAUGACUUGUCCCCAUGUGCCACACCUGGAGAGUGAGGUGAACUACCACAAGGAAAUUUUGGCAAUUGCAGCCCACACAAUCCAGCAUUCCCUUCAAAUGAGCUGCUGUCAAAUGUAGAGAACUGACGUGACUGCGGUAUCUUCCCCACCAAGUGAUUGUAUGACAAGUU